CAUAGGCGAUCUUAGCUCUAACAGCCUCCACAUCAUCAAAACCAAACCAAACCGUCCCAGUGGAGAAGUAAUUCACCACAUAAGUUGAAUUGUACAUAACUUGAACAUUAGGACCAUAGGUCUUGAUGUGAUUCUUGAUAUCCCUAUAGGUCACAAAGCCACCAUUACUCAAAGCUGGUCCUGUUGCUGCUGCUCCAAUACCAUUGUCUUCAGAUUUCACAAGCGUCCAUGCAUAGCCGUAGAAAGGCAAACACAAAACCAACUUAUCAGCCGAUAACCCUCUCUCAAUCCAUGCCUUUAAAACCUGAUCGGUACUUCUAGCAUAGCCGCCGCUACUUGAGCCAUACAGAGCUGCAUGUGCCGCAGUGAAGUUUGUUGACAUAGGCUCGUAGUAGUUAGAAGUAACAACAUGAACCCAAUUCAAGUUUCGUUGCAUCGAAUUCACAAGGUACGAAUUGUCUGGUGGUGAAUAAUGAAACCCUGCGGUCAAGAUCAGCUGGGAUUGCUGGCGGCUAGAGCUUUUUGCCUCUAAUUGUGUGGCAGCAGCUCGCCACUCGUCAAAGAGUAUGCCCAUAUUGAGCAUAUCGGUGCUUGUGUUAGGAGCUGUCCAAGCAAAAUCUAGGCCCUGAAAGCCAUAAAGCCUAGCUAUUCUUAUUGAAGAGUCGAUGAAAGAUUUUCUGUGAGAAGAAUUUCUCACCAUUGAAGAAUAUAUAGAAUUGUUUGUAUAUAUUCCUCGUCCAAUGGAGAGAAGUGUAGUGAUUGAUGGGUUCUUUUGUUUCACAGCGUCUAUAAAUUUGGGGAAUAUUUGAUUUCCAUCAAACGGUGAUGAUAAAGAUAGCUGGUAAGUGGUGGAAUUGAUAUCAGCGUAAGAGCAAAUAAGGUGAGUGAAGAGAUCAUAAUUUAUGCGCGAAAUGGCGGACACUUCGCCUGAAUACAAGUAACCGACCCUGAUCCACGGUUUUGCUUUCGCGGGAUGAAGUUCUGAAUAGAACAACAUGUGGAAGAUGAUGCUGAUAAUUAUGGAUGCCAUUUGAGAGGCUUAAGCUUCUUAAUUACCACUUCGAUGGGAAUGGAAAUGAAUGCACACUAAGAGAAAUUAAAUAAACACAAGUUUCACAGUUCAUUAAGUUCUCAUGUGUACUACACAUACAUUGCAUGUUAAGAUGAUGAUGGGCGAUGCGACCAUUGCCGGAGAACUAAGAUUUUCUUCUAUCGCCUGUGUGACUUUUCAUGAAGAAACAUGAUGUUUUGAUUGACAUUUGGUUAAACUGAUGACAUAUUUCGGGCUACAAAUAUUAGUAUUGUUUUAUUAAAUAAAAAUAAUAAUAAUUAUACGUGCAUGUUGAAGGUAAUAUUGCAGUCUUUUGAGCCUGUGUUGAAUUUCAUUCAUUAUUACGAGCGUUCAUUUAUUAUCCAUCCCCUUUUUUCUCUGUGAGUCUGCUAGCUGUAGUCAUCUUAAAAGGAUAACAUGUUUAAUGCGUGUAAAUGCACCUCAGAAGUAGUUAAGAAAGACUUGAUCAAACCAGAUAAUUUUCCUCUUAACACAGAAGUAGUUAUCGGACUAAUUAAGAUUCUAAUCCAUUUAAGAAAUAUUCAAAAAGGGUUAUUGUCACUACUUUAGUCCUUGUUGUUUUAUUAAAGAAAGAAACAAAGAAAAAAAAAAGAAGAUAUUUAAAGAAGCAUCACAUAAAUCCUUCCUAAUUAGAUUUUGUUUCAUUCAAGUUCUUGACUUAAUUUGACUGCUUGGAAAAAUUAGUAAAAAGGUAACAAUUAAAAAAAAUGUAAAUUCUAGUUAUUAGACUAAAUAUAUAUAAAUUUGCAACAAGUAGCAAAAGUUUAGAAUAUGAAAAACCCUAUUUUGUUUACGAAAUAAAGAAAAUUCGAAUCAUUUUUAAAAAAAAAAUCUCUAAAAGUUUGAAAACUAAGAUUUUAAGGUCCUUCUAGACUAACCAUAAAUAACAUGAAUUUACCAAAUUAAGCAAACUUGAAUUAUUAUUACACAAUAAAAUUUAACUAAUGGAAAUAAGAAAACAAAAUAAAUAACACUCAAAUUCGAUAUCUAAAAAAUAAAGAUAAAAAUAAUGAAAGCAAUAGAAAAAAUAAAAUAAAAUAAAAUAACUAAAACUUGCAAAAUGACCAUGAAAGAAAUAAUUUUUUUUUGCUGAACCAAAGGGCCGAUACGUAUAGCCCUAUUGUACUAGAUUCAUCUCGCCGCAAGUUUCAAAACAAUAUAUUAUAUGUUUUAAACGAACUCUUAUAAAUUAAGUUAUGACCUUAAAAAAAUUCCUACUCAUCUUACAUAAACAUCCUAUGUCACUAUAUAGUUAUACAAUAAUAAUAUAAUCCAAACACUCAUGAAGCAUAACUCAUGCACCUCCACUAAUAACCGUGAAAUUUAAUCACAUUUUACAAGAGAGAGGAAUGUUCUCAUUUAUUCGAUUUUCUGCUAGGUUGUGUUAGGUUGGGCUUUUUAGAAUUUCUUUGACGAAAAGUCAUUCUCUUCAACGGCCAAAACUUGGGCUAGUGGGCAAUUAUGAAAGUCCAUUGGAUGCAUUGGACCAAACUAAAAGUCCAAAUUUUUUUUUAUUCUUGCAAAAAAAAACUAUAUCUGUAUAUUCUGUUCAACAAUCCAAAACUUGGGCCAAUGGGCAAUUAUGAAAGUCCAUUGGAUGCAUUGCAUCAAACUAAAAGUUAUAUAUAUAUAUAUAUAUAUAUAUAUAUAUAUAUAUAUAUAUAUAUAUAUAUCAAUAAAUGAAAUGACACAAUACAGUUGGCUUGCCGUUGCAAAGCUUCUUUGUUUGUUAUUAUUUAUUGGCUUAUUGCAAUAAAGACUAAAGAGAGCUUUGAGCCAUGCAGCAUGGGAAGCUCCAUUAAAAAAAAUAAAAGAAUUUAAAGCUUCAAGGACAUAAAGCGUGCCCACCCAAUUAAAUUUUUCUUUAAAAAAGAAAAAAAAAAGGCUGAAAUUGCAAUGACUUGAAUUUAUCAUCAAUUCUGGCUUAAUUUGCCCCCCGUCAUUUUUUCAAGGAGAAUGUCCAACUCAAUUGUGACGGCUACUGCUUCAAUUUUAAUUUUAUUUUUCUCAAGAAUAGUCAUUUUCAUCCACCAUAUUCCUGCAUCCUGAUGCGUCCUUAUUGCUUAUAUUAUUAUAGACCACUUUUGGAAGCAUAACAAUUUUUGCACACAUGGUCUCCAUCUUGCGGACCCAAAUGUUGAUGAUAUACUUGCAUGCUCCAAAAUGAGCCCUUUUAAUAACUUAUCAUCUGGUAAAUGAUAGUUUAUUUAUUUAUUACAUUUAAUAACUUAUCAUCUGGUAAAUGAUAGUUUAUUUAUUUAUUACAUAACAAAUAUGUUAUGCCAUAUGCCACCUAUUAGUGAAAGAUGUUUAAAUAACUACUCUUGUAGUAAACUCCUGAAUGAUGGCAAGUUAGAUUUAGACUUAAUGCACUAACUUCGAUAUAUAUUUUUUUUUUUUACAUGGUAAUUAUUUUCUUCUCGCUAGGAAGUUGCAAUGAUUGAUAAUACGGGAGCAUUUUGCUUUAAUACAAUCCUUAAUUGAAGAGUUUCUAGAGAUGUUUAUUAUUAUUAUUAUUAAUACCGCGUUGGUCAGGAUUUGAUUACUAUAAUAUUGACGAUUCGAUUUCUAACAAUUUUGUUUAUUAUAAAAUUAAAACAAAUGAGUAGUCAUCUAGAAAAUCAUAAUCUCUUUAAAGGCAUCAAAAGGCAAUGGCAAUGUAAAAUGAAUGUGAAUCUAUUAGUAACAUGUUUACACGUGUAUUAAUCUUAAAAUAUUUAAAUAAAUAAACCAUAGAUUCUUGGUUCCAAUAUGAGCUUUAUAGUUAAGGAGACCCACUGCGUAUGAUGGACUAGUGAGUUGUGAGAGAAAUCUCUUAGGCCGAAAGAAUCUUAAUCAAAUCGUAUCAUCAUAAAAAAAUUCCAAAUUUUGUUUUCUUCUUUUGACAAAAACCCUCGUUCAAAAUGAUUCAUAUAAAUUUAUCAAUAAAAGAUUUUGAAUCAAUUAGAAAAUGGAAUUGUCUUGCGCACAUCUUUUGCUCGAUCGUUCAGUCCUUAAUCAUGUUUUAAUUAUAACCCAAACACGACAAUGACAUGUACGAUCUACAUAAAUCCUCGAUAUUAAUUGUCAAUUGGUUCUGCGAAUUCAAUGUGCAAAGUCUCACAAGUCAUAAUAAAUUUAGGAAUGAAAAGUACGAGCGGGUAGCAAGAAACCAUCACUCAAUUCCAAUUGAUAUGUACACUUCAUUCAUUUUGUCUUUUACAUAAAUGGAAAAACUAAAAAGCGUAACAAUUAUUAAACACAUGCCCACUGCCCUGCCACUCGGCCAAAGAGGGGCCGUUGCUCUCUUACAUUGGUUCAAUGAAGGGAUUCAUUGAAGGGUGUUUCGACGACGGGAGCGGCAUUAAGAUGAGUGAUCACUUGAAAAAUCUUUGAAUUGUACCUCUCUUUUUAAACCAACGAGCUCGUAGAUCAGUUGGUAUAGAGUUGUUUUAUUAUAAUUAAAAUUUUAGGUUUAAGGUUUGAAAAUGCUGUUAUGUUAAAAUAUUUGUUGGGAGAAUUUUGUCAUUCUAGCGUUCAUAUCGGAUUCGAAUCUGAAUUAAUCGGAGUUUAAUAUAGUCUUUGAAUAUCAUAUGAUUUAAUACACAAAAAAAAUGAAGGAAUUCAUCUCUCAAUUAUUAUUAAAAAUAAAAAUGCGGGAUGUGUAUUUCAGUGUAAAUAAUGACAAUAAUAAUAAUACAACACAUCCCCAUCAAAAUCUCCAUCAAAAACCUAGCUGAUGCUGAUGCUGAUGCUUCUGCAGAUUCUGAUUCCCCCUCCCUUUUAGCCCAGGAAGCAGAUGAUGACAGCAUCACGGUACAAGGAAAGAAAGAAAGAAUAUCAUUAUACUCCCACAUCUUCUUAAACGUUGUGCCCUCUAUAUGCACAUAUGCAUGUACAUAUUAAUUAUUAUCAUAUUGUAGUAAGUAAUGUUUUAGCUUUCGACAUUAACAACAUUGUGAUUAAUCAUAAUGCCACAUUAUACAGUUCAAAUAUGAAAGGUUAUGAAAUUAACUUCUAUAUACAAAUGCGUUACAUAAAGUGCGCGACAUCGUUCUUUUUAAUACAUACAGUAAAUUAAUGAAUAAUCAUUCGUAAAAAAAAAAUGUUGUCCGAUAGUGAAUUAGCUAUACAAGUAGAGCCUCUACAAAUUAACAGGGUGAGACCAUAUGAAAUCUAUUAAUUAAAAAAGAGAUUAAAUAAUCAAUAAUUUAUUAAUUUAUUAAUUUACAGAGUUAUUUAUAAUUCAAUUAACAUACAUCAACAAUACUUCAUAAUUUCCUAUUACAAUUUGAGAAGUCAACCGCAGGGCUUCUAGGUGUUAAGAAAAAUAAGAGAUUGAGGUCCAAUUAGAUUUAAAUUUUAAGAAAAGAACAAGUAACAAUAUAAUCAUAUUUUAUGUAAGUAAGUGAUAAUAGAGUCAUAUUUUAUUCAAUUAAAAUAUUAUAGUCAACUACAUUUAUAAUUUCAGUAAAUUAUUAAUUUGUGAUUUGAAUAAGACGAUAAAGUUAUAUAAAUUUUUUAAAAAAAAUUAUUAUCGCAUUAUUUUAUUAAAAUUAUUAAUUUUAAUGUAUUGUCAUAAAAUUGUGUGAAUUUGUUAUAUAAUAGAUAUUAUUAAUUUACCGAAUAUCAAUUGAUAGAGAUUUUAUAGCAUGAGUACCUAAAUUUUGACGAAAUAAAUGAACAUUUGUUUGUACCUUGCAGGUAUGUGUCCGUUUAAUAAUAGUAUAAUGUACUUUUUUUCUUUUUUCCUUCUUACGACAAAAAGUUAAGUAGAUUUUGAGGUCCAGUCGUAAAGAGACAACUUGGGUAAUUGUGUUUUUUUGUAAUGUGCGCAAUUGCUAGCUUUUCCGAUGAUUUUGAUUUGGGAUUGCGUUGUAUAAUUUGCACAAUCAUCUCCUUCACCUUUGGAUUCUGUAUCUCUCUAUUUUGUGCUCUUUCUCUCUGAAUGGUAGCCACAUAUACGACUCUCUUUGCUCUGAAUACAUGAAAUUAAGGGUGGGCGCGGUUCGGUUCGGUUCGGUUUUUUACUAAAUUUUUCAUAAUCGUUCGAUUACGAUUAUUUUAAAAUCAUAAUCGCGAUUAAUCAAAUUACUGAAAUAAUCAAAUACUCAAUUAAUUGAAAUAAUUUGAUUCGGUUCGGUUCGAUUAUUUCAAUUAUAGGCCUAUUGGGCCUAUUUUGAGCUUUUUUAAAUUUAAAACCUUAAAUUAAUAAAUCUACCACAAACAUAAAAAGUUAACAAACAAAAAAUCAAAAAUAUGUCUCGAACAAUGUUCAAAUAACAAGUUCAAAUCAAAAUAAAUCAUAAUCCCAAUUACUCCUCAGUUGCUUGUUCUUGUUGAGCUAGUAUUGGCCUACCAAAUUCUACAUUAACAAAUUAAAAAAAAAUGUUAGAAUGAUUAGUUAAAAGUGAAAUAAUCAAAACAACAUAUCAAAAUAUAGUAGUAACAUAUUACCUGCUUCAAUAACUUCAUAGAAUUCAGUUCCCUCUUGAGUAGGUUGUAUUAUCCGUUCUCCUAAUAGAGUUGAGCAAAGCCAAUUUUGAGUGCAAAUUAAUGACUCAACAGUUUUAUGAGUUAAAGAACUUCUAAAAGGAUCAAGAACACGCCCUCAUGUGCUAAAUGCCGAUUCCGAAGCUAUAGUAGACACUGGAAUUGCCAAAACAUCCUUGGCAAUCUGAGACAAAAUUAGAUACCUAUGCCCAUUCAACUUCCACCAAGUCAAAAUAUCAAAAUGGGCAUUACUAGUACUCUCAUUAGCAUCCGUCAAGUACUUUUCAACAUCAUUUUUCGAACUAAUGUCAUCAUUUGAACUUUGCUUCAUCAUUUUGAAAGAUGAAAAAAGAUCAAUUGACAUUAUACUACUACUAGCACUAGCACCACCACCACCACCACCACCACCACCACCACCACCACCACUACCACUACCACCAUCAUGGAUAUCACCAAAACAAACACCACCACUAUUCCUCACAUCACUCCCACCAAUAUAGCUAUUAUAUAGCUUCAUCAACAACUCCUUAAUAUUAGAUUUCAAUUCUUCAACCUUCCUAGAUUCAUACAUGUUACUAAAACAAAAUGUAACAAACUCUAAUUUACAUCUAGGAUCAAACACAUUUGCUACAAAUAAUAACAUGUUAACCUGAUCAAAAGAAUCACCACUACCACUACCACCAUCAUGGAUAUCACCAAAACAAACACCACCACUAUUCCUCACAUCACUCCCACCAAUAUAGCUAUUAUAUAGCUUUAUCAACAACUCCUUAAUAUUAGAUUUCAAUUCUUCAACCUUCCUAGAUUCAUACAUGUUACUAAAACAAAAUGUAACAAACCCCAAUUUACAUCUAGGAUCAAGCACAUUUGCUACAAAUAAUAACAUGUUAACCUGAUCAAAAGAAUCACCCCAAUAUUUAGCAAACAUUUGUUCCAUUUUUUCGACCAUUUUUCUUAACAAAUCAUCACUAGAAGUAGCAAGUGACUUCAAAUUAAUUAGAACUUUUGCCAUUUCAUUUAAGAAAUCAUUGGAAGUGACAACAAGAGAGCUACUAAAUUUCAAGGUCACAUAAUAAAAAACCGAUAAAAAUUUGACUAACCUCCUUGCAUUUCCCCAAUCGUCAUUGCUCGGUGGCCCUUCCCUCUUUUUUUCACCCUCCUCCUCAACAAACCAAUUAACAUAAUGUCCAUCAUCUUCCUUCAUCCUAUCAAAUGCUUUUUCAAAUACAAUCGCCUUAUGCAACAUCAAAUAUGUUGAAUUCCAUCUAGUAGGCACAUCCAACACCAUAAGCCCUCCAUAUGAGAUUUUCUCCCUAUCAACACAUGUUUUAAACUUUUGCAAUCUUACUGGAGAGGAUCUAACAUACUUUACUGCAUUGCAAAUACUAGCUAUUGAAUUAUUCACCUCCACCAACCCAUCUUGCACAAUCAAAUUUAUUAUGUGUGCCGAACACCUCACAUGCAUAUAUAUACCAUUCAAAAUCAUUGAAUUCACACUCCAAUUUGCUAACUUCUUCUUCACAUAAGUUAUUGCAACUUUAUUGGCACUUGCAUUGUCCACUGUAAUUGUGAACAACCUCUCAAUCCCCCAAUCAAUCAAAUAUGUCUCAAUUAGCUUCCCAAUACCAUCUACUUUAUGAGUAGCUAUAGGUGUGAAACUAAGAAUCCUUUUGUGCAACACCCACUCCGCAUCAAUAAAAUGAGCAGUAAUAACCAUGUAGUUAGACAUUUGAAUUGAUGUCCACGUAUCUGUGGUAAUACACACCCUCUGCUUGCUUGCACCCAAGACACUUUUUAACAACCCUUUUUCAUGUUGAUACAAUUCAAGAAUAUCCCUUAUAAUUGUUCUUCGCGAUGGCACAUCAAAUCUUAGGCAACAAGUUUGCAUAAACUCUAAAAACCCUUCGGCCUCCACAAAGCUAAAAGGUAAUUCAUCAUUGACAAUCAUCUUCACAAGUGCCAUUCUACAAGCCUCUUGACUAAAUCCGCCACUAACUUUAACAACUCCAUCAUCUUUAUCUUUUCCCUUUUGACGGAAAAGUACUUGUUGCUUCAGAUCCCCUUCAACCUUUACAUCUUGAUAUGACCUACAUCUAUCCAAAUGAUUCUUCAAAUUAGUGGUAUUUCCUCUAUUAGCUACAAAGGUUUUACGGCAAUGAUGACAUUUUCCUUUGUUUCCACAAGAUAGUUUGGUAAAAUGAGCCCAAAUAUUUGAUCUCAAAGGUAUUUUUCUUUUUUUCCCAUCAUCAACCUCCACCUCUUGCACUUCCUCCUCAUCAUAAUUUUCCAUUCUUCACAAAAAAUCAACAUCACAGCAGCAAUAAAUCAACACAAGAGCAGCAACAAAUAAAAAGAACCUGAUGCUCAAUAAUUCUACUAACUAAUAUCAAUUGUACGCACAGAGAACAAUAUAUGUACAAGAAUUGAUUCCCAUAUUAAUUGAUAAAUAAAGCCAAAUAGAUAAAAAUAUGGGAUUUGUAUAAUGCUUUACAAUGCAUAAGAUAGUAAAAAUAUUAAAUAAGGGCUUUGCACCCCAUUUUAUAUGUACGCACAACACUUCACUAGUACAUGAUACUUUUCCACAAGUUCCCACAAGGGGAUCAAGCAGCCAAGAAUGCACAAACUGGAGGAAUGAGGUUAAUAGCAAACAAACUAUGUAGGUACAGCCAAAAAGCCGCUGUGAAGAUAUCAGAAUUAGAUGACAACCCUAAUUAACAAGCUUUACUACACCUGUAUGGACAGUAACAAUAGCUGCAGCUAUUCUAAGUUUUGGAUUCCAUCCCCAAAUGAUGUCAACAGAGGUGCAAUAUUAGAUGGUCUAGGAACAAGUCUCCGUUAAGUAUGCAAAAGGAUCUGAAGACACUAAUGCGAAAAUCACAAAAAAAAAAAAAAAUGGAGCGAAAUGCGGUGCUACAAAGACAUUGAUGUUCCUGAACAUUUACUUUUCAUUUGUUUUGUUGUAGUUGUAGUAAUAGGUAUAUCUGUAGCUGCUACGUAGACCUUAGGCAACAAAUGCCACGAACAUGAACCUAGUGACUUUUUGUGUGUGCGGACUUGAACUUAUCUACAUUUCUAUAUCACAAAAGAAGACUACACAAGCAGAUACUUGUGAAAACAAAACACUUCAAAUGGUCAAUAUCACUAAGUCACUUCCCAGAUCUGAAAAAAGCCUCCAUUCUACUUCAACUCAACAUUAUCAUCACUUAGAACAUCAACUUACAACAAGCCAUCACAACACAUACACAAGAAAUUUAAAUCAAAGCAGAAUAAGUUGAAAUCACAAGGCACAACCAAAUGAAUAAUUUGCAUUCCAGCAAAAUUUAAGUUCGAAAAAUGAUUAAGGCUGCGAUACACAGCCUGCUGGGGAAAGUGGCCCUUCCAUGUUGCCCAUCACGUGGUGAAAAGAAAAAGAAAAAAAAAAGAGAGAAAGAAAUGAAGAAUCAACUCACAAGUUGUAGCUUUGUGGAGAUCACGAUAUUUCCAGAUGACAGCGGCUACGGCGACGAGCAGCAGCGACGGAUACUCAGCGACGAGCAGUAGCGACGGAGACUUGGCAACGAGCAGCAGCGGCAACAGCAAGGACCAGCAGCGCGGAGACAAGCGACGGGGGCGAGAUUCUAGCGGCUGAAGGUCACGAGUUCAGUGGCUCAAGAUCAGAACUCAGAACUGAAGGAAUCUGAAGUGGACAAUUGGUUUAGAGAAUUAGAGUCACUAGGUUCAGGGAUUUCGGAUUUCGGUUUAUUUGAUAAUUGGUUCGGUUUUGCGGUUUUUUUUUUAAAACCGAACCGACUGAUUUUACUAUUUUUACUAUAUUACUUAUUCGGUUUUUUGAGUGUAAAAAAACCGCAAAAAAAACAAAACCGAACCGAACGGUUCGGUUCGGUUUUUGAUUAAUCAACUUUUUUUGCCCACCCCUGAUGAAAUAGGCUUUAGUUAUUUUACAUGAUCAUGUAAAUUAUUCUUGUAUAGUUAUUAAAUAAAAAUUAAAAAUAAUAAAAAUAAUAAGAUUUUAUUAUUUUAUAUUUCCACAGCUGUUGAAUUUUCAUCAAACGAUUAUGAAAAAAUCAUAUAUUUUAUAUGAUUACCCUUUUUUUAUGAUAACAAUCUCUCGUAAAAUAAUUGAUCACCCUUUUUUUUUAUGAAAAAUUGAUAUACUUGCUUACACACAUGACAUAUUCUCCUUGGAAGUAAAGAAAAAAUUUCCAUUAUUCUGCAUUGUGCAUCACAGUCCUGACAGCGUUUUAGGCUCUGUAAAUAGCAAGAAAAUAAUUUGUUUUCUUAUUUCCUUUUGCUAAUUGACAAAAUGAUGAGAAAAAAAAUGAAAAAUAAGGAAAAAAAAGUUUCUAUUAUAACAAGAAAAUAAAGAUUAAAGUAAAAUGCCAUGACACGUAGAAUUCUCUAAAACGAUAUCUAAAUUGAAAAGUGUAAUAAAUAAUUCGGGGAAGCUUGAAAAAUGUAACAACAAAAUUUGUGUCAAAUAAGAAUAAAAAUAAAAACUUAUUGGAUGGAGCCAAUAAAGUUUAGAAAGAUUUUUAUUUCGCUUAAGUUUAUAAUUUAGAGUCACAAGCAACAAGUUCGUAAACAACAUGAAUUUUUGAGGAUUGCAAUAAAAAUUGUGAUUGAUAACAACAAAUUUACAAUUAAUAAUUAAUAACAAACAAUGGCUACGUGGGUAUUUUCCAAUUUACGGAGCCUCAAGGGCCAAGGUUGACCUAAUAUUGCCAUAUAAAAAUAUUUUUUUAAAAGAAAAUAAAAUAUGAUCUAAAAGAAUGUGUACCAUGAUAUAAUUGAUAAAAUUUUCAUUCUUUCAAGUUCUAAGAGAGUCUAAGAGAAACGUGAAAGGCUUAAAGUGCAUAAUAAUAAUAAUAAAAGGAGAAAUUUUAAAUACUUCAGAUAUAUUACAACCACCACUUUAAUACAACCACUAUAUUACAACCACAUAUAUCAUGUCAUUAUUUGUUUGUUGUAUGACUGACAUGGUACAUCAGAUGUAUUCUAGAAUUUCUCUAAUAAAAGAGACAUGUGAAAGUGAGAGCAAUAAAAAAAAUAAAAUAAAACCCCUAAAUUGGAAACUUUUAAAGAAUAGUGAUGAUUGUCGAAGCCAACAAAAAUAAAUACCUACUCUAAAUAAAUUGUGUAUAGUGAUUGAGCUGGAUCGUGUCCACAGAGAUUGGUAAUUAUUUAAAUCCUUUUAACACGUAAAACAUAAAAUGGGGGUUUUGUUGACAAUAAUAAAAAUCAAAUUAAAAUAACAAGAAUGCAAAUUAAAGUUGUAAUUCAAAUUGGAGAAAGCUCUGGUUGAAGGAAUUAACUCAGCUUGAUUCGACUACUGAUCAUUGAUUCAAAUAUAAAUUAUUACUACUUAUGAAUAGACCGGUUAUAGCUACUGAGACCCUCUAAUAGCCAAUCUCUCCUUAACUAGUCGAUAACCAAGGUACGAUCGUUGGUUAUUUCCCUAAUCAAUAGACAACCCUAGAUACGAUCAUAUGAUUUAAUCAAUUGACAGCCUGAAAAACCAGAGAGACCCAAAUCCUAAUCAACAAACGCAUACGAUGGUUCAUUUAAAUUAGAUUGUUUAUUCUCAUAACACAACUCACUGCUAUGUUAUUUGUCACAAACAUUAAAAUCUUCAUACGAUAAAUCCUUUAAUUGACAAUAGAUUAAGUUGAUAAUUAAAUAGUGGCCAGUUAUCUAAUUAACAAACAUAAUCAUGAAAAUAAUUCAGAGAAUAAACAAAUACCAAAAAAGUAAUAAAACAAUUAAAGCAUAAGAAAGAUCUCACAGUAGUGAUGAAUCAAAGCUUCAUUAACCUUCAACCAGAAUAAUAGAUUUAGUUCUUCAUAGAGAGAAUAGAAAAAUUUAGAUCUAGGGUUUCUUUCUUUUCUCCAAUCCCCCUUUUUUUCACAAUAGAUUCCUCCCUUAAAUACUCUCUCUCUCUUCUCCUCUAGAGUUCUAUUUAAAAUAAAAUACUAAUAUCUAAAAUAUUAAAUUCGUAAUUACAAAAAUAACCAAAAAUACAAAACACGUUAAACUAAAAACUGUAGGUCCGUAGUUGACAGCACGCGCCCACGCCUUAUCAAUAAAGUUCUUCUGACGCUCAUUAUUUCUUCAAAAGAACAAUCAUCCUUAAACAUCAUCUUGUAGCUCAAUUUUAGCACCAAUCAAUAGAAUUGCACCUAUAAAAGUAAAACACAAGUAAAUCACUAUUAUUAAGUGCAAAACAUCGAUAUUAAGGGAAGCAAACAAUGCAAAACUAGUGCAUAAAUUGCACUCUAACAAAUUCCCCCACACCAAGAUGAUGCUUGUCCUCAAGCAUAUAACUCAAGACUAAUCACAAAUCUCCGCUCAAUUCUCAUCUCAACUCAUCCAAAAACAAUUUUAAGCAAGCAUACCUCAAGAAAUUAAGUCGAUCAUCAUUCGAAAGACAAGGAUUUUAAAGCAUAGAAUCUCAUAAGAUAGAAGAAGAACAUUCAACCACCAAGAAGAUCCAUUCAAAAUUCAACUGCAAUAAGAUUUAAUAGCCCUCUCAUUGACUUCACUCCAUUCACUCAAAGUGUUUAGGGUAUCAUUUAUGCACUCAAAUCAAAUCAAAUAAUGCUAUUACCAUAAGCUUGCUCAUAUAUCACAUCUCAAUCCACAAAACAUGAAUAAAAUGCAAAAAUCUAAGGGUCUUAAAAAGGUUGUAAUGGGGUUAAAUAAGUUAAAUGAAAAAGAAAGGUCUACGAAAGAAAAAGAGAUCAAAAUGAGAAGAAUGAACUCAUUGAAUGAACUUAUGAUAUCAAAAUGCUUAUUUCUACUCAAGUCACCAAGAAUGUAAACAUUUUUUUUCUUUUUUUCGAUUUUUGUCUUUUUUUUCUUUUUUUUUAAUCAAAAGAAAAGAAACGAACCUUGCACAAUUUAAUUCAAGCAUAAUGCUUGUUGAUCUAAUUGAGAAACUUUAAUACAAGGUAGAAAAAGCAACAAAAUAUAUACAAAAUAUAUCCGCACAAUGAGUCCAAAAAUCUCCUUAAAUUGAGGCUCAAAAAGAAGAAAAAUUGUUAAGUAGACAAAGAGAAUUAGAUGGAUAAUGGUUAAGACUCAAACAAAGAUAGCAAAUAAAGGUCUUCGGGUAGAAAAAAAAAAGAAAAUGCGAGAAACAAAUGUUUACAUAGAAACAAAUGGCGCGCAGUCGAUUUGUCAAUCUAGUACCACUCUCGUAUACUUGGUGAGAUUCGGCUAUACCAAAUUUGUAGCCUAUAUUUUACUUUAAUGAGAAAAUCAAAUAAUGUUUGAACAAAUAAUUUUCUUUUUUCUAUAUACUUUCUUAAAAUGUAUGGAGUGGGUAAAGUACAAAUUGUUUUUUUAGCCCUUUGACUCCUCCAAAAUUCGAACUCAAUUUAAUGUCAAUUAAAAUAAUGCUACUUGAAAAUCAUUCAACCAAAUAUCGUAAAAACUAUAAUUUUACGAAGUGAAAGUUUCACUGAUUAUUGAAUUAUAGAACAUGCUAUCAUUUCCUAGUUAGAAUUUGUUUAAUUCUAUUAAUUUACAAUCAUUCUUUAUUUUAUUCAAUUAAUUAAAGUGAAUUUGUUUUGUAUAAGUUCUAUAUAUGUAAAAUUUUAAAAUUCAGUGUUGAACUUAAUUGUACUAAACCUUUUAUAAUUUUUUAUCACAUCUGCAUGUUUAACAGUCUAGUAUUAAUAUUGAUAGCACAUAAUAUAUAGGAUCAAGAGACAUUGAUUUCGGGUGCCACAAGAUUUUUAGGAUUGCAUGCACAAGGGCUUACAAGAUUUUUAGGAUUGCAUGUAGGGGUGGGCGCGGUUCAGUUCGGUUCGAUUUUUAACUAAAUUUUUCAUAAUCGUUCAAUUACGAUUAUUUUAAAAUCAUAAUGGCAAUUAAUCAAAUUACCGAAAUAAUCAAGUACUCGAUUAAUCAAAAUAAUUCGAUUUGAUUCAGUUCGAUAAUUUCGAUUAUGAGCUUAUUGGACCUAUUUUGGGUUUUUUUAAAUUUAAAACCUUAAAUUAAUAAAUCUACCACAAACAUAAAAAAGUUAACAAACGAUUUGUUUCUUAGUUAAAAGUUUUUAAUCUUUUACUGCUUUUAUUAUUAUCCCAUUUUCGUGAUUGUUGGUAAAUGUGUCAAAUCAUAGGUGGAAAGCCUCUACAAAAUAAAAAUUAACCAAAAAAUCAAUUAAGAUUAUAGUUUAAUUAAGGAUCCAUACAGAGUUAGUUAGCAGAACCAGCUGGAAAAUGUUUUUGUCUGAACCUGUUGCAGAAAAUUAAUACUUGCUAGCGUUUUUUAUUAAUUAAUUUAGUUAUGAAUAUACAAACUUAAAAAGUCAUGAAUGAGACGUGUUUGAACUUGCUUUAGUUUUCAUCAGUAGUAAAGAUAGCACCGGCAAUUCACAGCACCAUCAUUUAGUUAUGAACUUGCUUUACGUGCUCUGGAAAUAUCAGUCAUUUUACAAAUGAAAAAGAAAUCAAGAUUUCAUGUUUCACCAUGCUUGGGUUGCUAUCAAACAUAGCAACACCAAAAAAUCAAAUCCAGUGAAGGAGAAUUACCAAAUACAAGGUCAAGAUUCCACCAUAUUAUCAAAAUUGACAUUUGACCGUCAUUAGUAGCAUUAAUUGUUUUGUAGCGUACAGAGCCACACAAAACACUAAGACUAAAGAAAUCAAAGAUGAAAACAAACACCAUAUCACAUUAAACAUUUUCAAACACGGCUCUAAGAUAUAAAAAUCAUGAUCAAUCUCAACAGUAUCCAGUUUGCGAUUUGGGAAAAGAAACUGAAAAAACCAAUCAUUCAAUCAUCUUUCAGCCAAAGAAACAAACCAUAUCUCACCCAAAUGGGGGAAAAGAAAAAACAAAAGAAUGAAUCAUAAAUCACAAAUCAAUUUUGGUAUACAAAUUACUAGUCAUGGUUAUAACUAAAUACAACAUCUCAAGUGAACGAACCUCAACAAAUUAUGAAACGAAACACGAAACAAUCAGCAGUAGCUCAAGUUAUUGGUUUUUAUUCUCUGCAAAAACAGAACAAACCAGAGAAAUGAGAGACAAAAACAGCAGCGAUAUUUACAUAACUCAAGCACAUUAACAAAAACAUGGGAACGAGGAAAAAGAAAUGAACUUUAAACCAAAUUCAUAAAACCGAAACGAAAAAUGGAACUUUUUUGUUCGAUUUUUUGUUCUGCUGAGAGAUUUUGUUGACAAAAACAAAAGAACCCAGAAAUGCUAAAGAGGAAGAGAGAGAAAUCAAUACGUGAUCGUAGUGUUAAAAAAAAAAAAAACCUCACAACAGUAGUCAGAUGGCAGCAGGGGAGCACCGUGACAGCAGCAACAAUUGAUAGUAGGUGACAGCGGCAAGUGACAGUGGCAGCAGCAGCAGAUGACAGCGGCUACAGCAGGUGGUAGCGGCGGCGGAGAGUCGUGAAGGACAAGCAGCAGCAGCAGCGGGGACGAGAUUCCAGCGGCUGAAGGUGCUGCGGCUUCGGUUUUCGGCUGAAGAUCAGAAGAAAUGAAGAAUGUGUUUAGUUUAGACUUUAGGGAUUGUUAUUUGACAUUCGGUUUAUUUGAUAUUCGGUUCGGUUUUUCGAUUUUUUUUUAAACUAAAAACCGAAUAGACUGAUUUUACUACUUUUAUUAUAUUACUCAUUCGAUUUUUUGGAUGUAAAAAAACCGCAUAAAUGCUGUAGAAAACUUAAAUUUUAUAGUACUUAGUUAGCUGCACAUAUAUAUAUAUAGGGCUACUAUAGCCAAAGAAACUUACAUGCUCUAGAAAACUUAAAUUUUCAUUGAUGCCACGUAACAUCAAAAAACUUUUCCCAGUAACAUUCGUAAAAGCUAAAAAUGUCUGAUUCGGUAGAGUAAACACCUCUAUGAGUGUAUUUACGAGGAAUAUAUCAAUAUAACCUCUACAUUUGAAAAUAACCAACAGUCUUUCAGUAUGUCUGUAUAUAUAUAUAUAUAUAAUCAGCUUCAGGUCUGGAAUUUAAAUUUGAAAAGAGUCUACAAUGUUGUAAAUUGCAUUUAUCACUGUUUUACAAUGGUAUAAAUUUAAUUAUAAAUGACUGUCAAAAAAUUAAUAGAUGGUUAUUAUAUAUGAUUAUAAUUAGAACAUUAAAAUUCAAGUCGACUCAUUUAUCUUUACGUUGAUUUUAUUCUUUGUGGUUAUACUUAGAAUAUUAAACAAUUAAGUCGACUAGUUUAUCUUUAUGUUGAUCAUUACAGGCCUCUUAAAUAUUUUAUUUACCUAUAUUUUCUUUGAUUUGUUAUUUUGAGUUGUAUGAAAUGUAGCUUUACUCCUGUUUUCUUUACUUUACUUUGGUUUUCUUUAUUGUUGAUAGGAAUUUUCUUGUUAAAACUAUAUGAUUCAAAUUCAUACUACAACCAUGAUGAAAUAUUUAAUAAAACCUUCAAACUAAAUCCACAUAUUCCAUGAGUAAGGACCCUGAGAUCACAUUUGUUCAAGUUUAUGCUUUAAGUAAAAUAAAAGUAGAAAUGAGAGUUUUAAAGAAGAAAUUCAGUUAUAAAUAAUUGUCAAAUAAUUAAUUGUUCAGCAUUUAUUUUAUAGGUCCCACUGUUGGGACUCCAUGUGAUCUGCCAACUGGCAGGCCUUAUGUGGUUGGGUGAACCAAGGUGUGCCUACCCCAUAUAAGUUCCUCUCUUCUCAUAGAUAUAACUAUCAACGGCGCUAUGUCAUGUCCAACAAGGACUCUUCGAAACUUUUUAUGUGAAUUUUAAACAUUACCCCAUUACGCUUUUGAAACACCAAAACUACCUCUCUUAAAUUUUUAAAAAAGGAAAAAAAUACAUGUUAAAAGAAUGUUUUAUGUCUUUAGCUUAACAGUUAGCACACGUAUUGUACUCUUGACAUUUUUCUUCUGUAAAUCUUCACUUCUUUUUUCUUUGAUUUUUCACACGUCACUGCUCUUUUAUCUCUAAAAAAUUAAAUUGUCCGUAGAAGCUUACUAUUUAAUUUACGGAUCUAAUUAUUUAGCUCUAAAUAUUUAGAUAAGUUUUCUUAAUUAAUUACCACUUCUUUAAUUUAUUUGGUGAUUUCUCUUAGAUGAAAGAAUUAAGGUUAUGUCCUAGGAAAAAUAUUAACUCUCAUAUUAUAGUGUUGAUAAUGAGGUUAUCCUUAAAUUUUUAACACAUGAAAACACAUCGAGGUAACUAUAAAUUCAUUGAAGGAAAUAUUUUAAUAAAUUUAGAUUUUGGUACAUAUUAUUUGUUGAAUUUUUUUUCUUUCCAAAUUGAACGUAGCCCUUAUGACAUUCAAUUCGUGAGAGUGCCACUAAAUGUAAAGUGUUGAACUAGAUCAUAUUUCUCCCUUAUGCAAACUCCAUCGUUUAUUUAUAUUUCAAUUUUGUGGCCUAUUUUCGAGUUUUCUAGUUUCACAGAGGGCAUCUUGGAUUUCUCUACGCUGUCUAUAGUCUCUAGUCCAAAUGAAGAAAUCGAAUUCACCAUGUACUGUUUGGGAGAAGUACGUCGACGAGACCAGACAUGAUGAGCAGAUAUCUGAUGGCAGAGUUCUGCGAACAGGUGUGUCCUGUAAGAGACUGGUGACCGGGGAGCAGGAGUAGAAAUAUUUUGCUCGUCCGCGAGAAUGCCGUCCACGAGGCUGGGCUCCUGCUGUAGCAUGGAGCAUUCCUGCUAAAGGUUUUAAUCGAGGAGACCCGGUCAACGAGAAUUGGUGCGGCGGGCUCUGCAAUCCGAAAAUCAAGGUACUAAGGCCACGUAUCCACCCACGAUUACAGAAAUAGAGCAUCCACGUUCGAGAGGUGGGAGGAUAACGAGCGCAAAUGAGGGGAAGGUCUGGAGUCAGGAGGACCUAUAAAAAGGUAGCCAACGAAGGUAAAAGGGUUAGACUUUUCGCUAUUAGAACUAAGAAAAGAGAGCUCUAAGAACUGAGAUUAAAAAGAAGCCAUAAGAUUCGUGGCAUAGAUUCCCAAAACCUUCAUUUCUGACUUGAACGUCGGAGGGUUUGCGCCGGGGAACCAACCGGCGUACUCUGACCUGUCUGUGUACGCAGGAACUUCUGGAGAAGAAGCUUUACGAGGAGAGAUCCUGAUCGUGGUGACGUUGAUCGAGCAGAGCUCCUGGUCGUAUAACGAGGAGGACUAGAAUCUCGCAUCAACAUUUUGGCGCCGUCUGUGGGGAGCUGAGCAAAAAGCUUCUGUUGAUAGCAAGAAGAAAAGGGAAGCAACUGAAAAGCAAUGGAGACAGGAGGAAGUAGUGCACAAGGGGGUGAUAUGAGGCUUAACGAUUCCGUGACGCUGAGGGAGAUAGCCAGUGAAGCACGGGAAAAAGCCAUGUUCGACCAGAUGGAACGGAUGGAAAAGCAGAUGGAGACCUUGACAACCAUCCUGCAUGAGCUGCGGAGCGAACGAAGGGUAACCUAGGAGGAAAGGGUGAGAGGUGGUGGAGUGGCACCAGGUCCCGAUAGUGCGAGGAGAAGUCAAACCAUCGGGAGAUUUGGUGGCGAGAGAGGUAACAUACCUCUGCGGGGAGAAUUGCAUAGAGAGGAAGAGCAGUCCCCGACAAGACAGAUUUUUGACGAGGACAACGGGGUGGCGAAUGCAGAGGAAACACAGUUGAGGCAACACUUGCAUGAUGUAGUGCAAGAGCGGGAUCAAGUUGCAGCACGUGACCCUGGUCGUGCAGAGCAGCUGGAGGAGGAAGUGCGCAGACUAGCGCAGAUAAUUGACGACAUGCAAGGAAGGAGCAGAGCUCCUGGUUGGAGAAUAAUGCUGGACGGAGAAUCACCGCUCGCAGCAGAGAUCAUAGGGCAAUUAUUCCGAGAGAUUUUUGCCUCCCAGACUUUAGAUACUCGGGAAGAACUGAUCCGCUGGUGCACAUAGAGUGCUUCAACGACAUAACUGGGGUACAAGGAUUAUCUCAAUCCCAAAGGUGCAGGGUGUUCCCACUAUCCCUUGAGGGACGUGCACGAGAGUGGUACAAGAAACUUCCUCGGGGCAGCAUUAAAACCUUCGAGCAGAUGUGCCAGGAAUUUGUAGAGCAGUUUAGUGGGGCAACGGCACCAGAAGAUGACAUGAUGGAGCUGAAAAGCAUGAAACAGGGGGAGCAAGAAACCCUUCGGGAAUUCAUCAAGAGGUUUCAUCGUGCUGUCCUCGACUUGGGUGCCUUCAACCACCCUCAGGCGUUAAGGGGAUUGAAAGAAGGGGUGAAGAUAGGAAGGUUGUGGUACAACUUGAGAAGCCCAGUUAUUCAGACGUAUGCGGUCGCAUACGAGCAGGCUAAGAGAGACAUUGAGAUUGAAGAGGAGAAGGCAGCACGGAUUAAGACAGACCAGUUAGAAGGGUUGGGGAGGAAAGAGAAGAAAGCAUUACCAGGGAAUGGGCCGAUCAGGAGGAGGGACCACCAAGCCUCGGGUAGUGGAGCAGGAGGUCGGGUAACUGCUUACCAGCCUCAUCAGAGGCCACCACAGUAUCAGCGCAGUAGGGCGCAACUUCCUCGUUCCCCAGCUAGGGAGCCUUGGAGAAGGCAUGAUUCGGCAUAUGGUGGUCUCCAUCAACAUUCCCACGGUAGCAGAGGGAGCAGACCAGAAGUACUACCACAGCCCCCAACUCAGAACGGAGCAAACAGAGAAAGAGCAGUGCACCUGAUCGACCAGAACCAGGACUAUGAGCAGUAUACUUCCUUGAAGAUGUCCCUGGACGAGGUGUACGAGGCCAUAAAGGAUCGGGGGUUGCUAUACCUCCCUGCUCAAAUAACAAAGCUACCCAGCAGGAGGGAUAGGGGACGCUAUUGUAAGUUCCAUGGCACUCAUGGCCACACCACAGCAGAUUGCAGAGAUCUUAAGACCCAGGUCGAAGAUUUGGUGAGAAAUCGGUAUCUGGACGAGUUUGUAGAUGGGACCUUCCCAAUGGUAGCCUCAACAAGUGAAGGGGAGUAGAGUGACAGGAACUUGAGGCGCGAGCAGCCUGCAGUAAGGGUUAUAGCUGGGGGCCCAACAUUGGCGGGAGAUUCCAACAGGUCGAGGAAGAAUUAUGCUAGAUACGCCAUGACCAGCAAAGAGGUAUUCUUCAACACCCCAGCAGCCAAACGUGCAAGAGUCAGGCAAGUGCCAAUCAUGUGGACAGAUGAGGAUGAGGAAGGGAUUCUAUACCCUCACGAGGAUGCUUUGGUCAUCAAGGCCACCGUUGCUAGCAAGAAGUUUGACAGGAUACUGGUUGACACAAGGAGCUCAGUUGACGUAUUGUUUAAGUCAACCCUGGAGGAGAUGGGGAUAGCAGACCUGAAGUUGGAUUACACCAAUACCUUCUUGAAGGGGUUUGGAGGACGAAGGCUGGUCCCUCUGGGCGUGGUCGAGCUGCCUAUCACGAUCGCGAGUUCCCCGACAGAAAGGACAAUGAUACUAGACUUUGUAGUAGUAGAUGAGGAAGGUCCUUACCAGAUGAUCCUAGGCCGGCCAUUUCUGAGGAUGAGCAAAGCGGUGCUGUCCAACCAUUAUCUGGCCCUCAAGUACCGGGUGAAUGAAGUAGUUGGAGUGGUACGAGGAGACCAGAGAAUCGCAAGAAGCUGCUACUCUUCGGCAGCAAGGGAAGCAAUGCAGAUAACAUCCAUUGACACCCGAGUGGAAAACGAGAAUGGCAGACAAGAACCUGUAGAGGAGCUGGAGACAGUAAGCCUGGGAUCAGAGAAUCCGGGAAAGACGAUCAGAAUCGGGUCGAGACUUAAAGAAAAGCAGAAGCAGGAGUUGGUGAAAUGCUUACAGGCUCAUGCAGAUGUGUUUGAAUCUUGAUCUGCUAACGGAAAAAAGGGAGCAAGCAGCUGGUCAAUCAGCCAUUUACCAGCAAAGGGUCACUCGUUAUUAUAACCAGAAGGUUAAUGUACGACAAUUCAGGGUCGGAGACUGGGUACUGAGAAGAGUGAAUCAGAGUACCAAAGAUUCGACUCAAGGAGUGCUGGGACCGAAUUGGGAAGGGCCAUAUAGAGUCAAGCAGAUAGUGGGACACGGAGCUUACAAGCUGGUUCGCACGGACGGCCGCGAGGUGAAACGCCCUUGGAACGCAGCACACCUCCGCAAAUACUUCCAGUAAGAUCUGUUCACAUUUUAAAGCUAUUUCCGCUCGUGCUCGUUAUCUUUUAUUUUUUAUAUUUUAUGUCAAAGCAAGUUCAUGUAAAACCAACUCCUGCAAUUAAUGGAACGUCGAGGAAUUUCAUUCAGUUGAAACUGUGAUAAAUUUUCUAAGGCAUGCGAAGGCUCACCAAGUCUCAAAGCCUGUUUAUGGCGAGACCAGAAGCCAAGCGUGCCGGGAUCUGCUCGACCACGCGAAGGCGAGCAGAAUCCCAAUCAUUGAAGAAAAUAACUAAGGCAUGCAAAGGCUCACCAAGUCUCAAAGCCUGUUUAUGGCGAGACCAGAAGCCAAGCGUGCCAGGAUCUGCUCGACCACUCGAAGGCGAGCAGAAUCCCAAUCAUUGAAGAAAAUAAUUAAGGCAUGCAAAGGCUCACCAAGUCUCAAUGCCUGUUUAUGGCGAGACCAAAAGCCAAGCGUGCCAGGAUCUGCUCGACCACGCAAAGGCGAGCAAAAUCCCAAUCAUUGAAGAAAAUAACUAAGGCAUGCAAAGGCUCACCAAGACUCAAAGCCUGUUUAUGGCGAGACCAGAAGCCAAGCGUGCCAGGAUCUGCUCGACCACGCGAAGGCGAGCAGAAUCCCAAUCAUUGAAGAAAAUAACUAAGGCAUGCAAAGGCUCACCAAGACUCAAAGCCUGUUUAUGGCGAGACCAGAAACCAAGCGUACCAGGAUCUGCUCGACCACGUGACGGCGAGCAGAAUCCCAAUCAUUGAAGAAAAUAACAAAGGCAUGCAAAGGCUCACCAAGUCUCAAAGCCUGUUUAUGGCGAGACCAGAAGCCAAGCGUGCCAGGAUCUGCUCGACCACGCGACGGCGAGCAGAAUCCCAAUCAUUGAAGAAAAUAACUAAGGCAUGCAAAGGCUCACCAAGUCUCAAAGCCUGUUUAUGGCAAGACCAGAAGCCAAGCGUGCCAGGAUCUGCUCGACCACACGAAGGCGAGCAGAAUCCCAAUCAUUGAAGAAAAUAACUAAGGCAUGCAAAGGCUCACCAAGACUCAAAGCCUGUUUAUGGCGAGACCAGAAGCCAAGCGUGCCAGGAUCUGCUUGACCACGCGAAGGCGAGCAGAAUCCCAAUCAUUGAAGAAAAUAACUAAGACAUGCAAAGGCUCACCAAGUCUCAAAGCUUGUUUAUGGCGAGGCCAGAAGCCAAGCGUGCCAGGAUCCGCUCGACCACGCGAAGACGAGCAGAAUCCCAGUCACUGAAGAAAGUAUCUAAGGCACGCAAAGGCUCAUAAAGUCUCAAAGCCUGUUUAUGGCGAGACCAGAAGCAAAGCGUGCCAGGUUCUGCUCGACCGCGCGAAGGCGAGCAGAAACCCAAGCAUUGAAAAAUUUUCUAAGUAAUGUAGAAAGACCAUAUUCUUAACCAGAGCCUGCUCGGCCAAGCGAAGGCGAGCAGACCCUCAACAGAAAAUUUACUUGUAAAUACAAAACACAAGAAAGUAAUCAAAAACAAUUUUCAUUAAUUUAUCAAUAACCAACAAAGUUGUUCAUUACAACGCAUGAAAUAUGUUCAAGAAGAUGGCGGAUCAGUAAGCCGAGUAGCGUCGGUCGGCUGGACCUCCUCGGGUACAGGGGGGUAUCACCAGUUGCGUCCGGGGGGGUGCUCGCCUCGCCGACGUCAGCAGGGAUUGCACGAGGAGGAGAGUUUUCCUCCUCAAUCACGAUCGGCUCCACCCCUUCGGCAUCUUCCUUGGCCGCCUCCUCGUCCAUAUGUUGAGCAACACCAGCUGCAAGGUCAUCCAUCUUCAGAUCAGGAUGCUGCUUCCCGAGGACGGCCAUGAUGCAACGAUAAGAAUGCCGGAGUCCCUGGUCGUACUGGUUGUCGGCCUCCUUCUCUAAGUUUUCGACCUGAACCCGGUGGGAAUCGCGGAGAGAUUCGAGCUGAGCCUCGUACAAAGCUUUCUGACUCUGCAGAUCCUCCUUGACCUUGGCCAGCUCUUCCUCGAGAGUGAUAGCCUUUGCUUGGGCAAGAGACUCUCGCUCAAUCAACUUCAGAUUCUCGGGGUUCAAGUCCCCUGCUUUCUUUUCGGCAACACCAGCUCUGGUCGUCGCCGACUGAAUGUCCUCCUUCAUCUUCCUAUCAUAGCGGCCAACUUUGGCCUUAUAGUAGGUGGUCAUGCAGCUGAGAUGGAAGGCGCUAUACUGCAUGGCCCCCACCAGCUCGCCUAGACUACAUCCAUCAAAGUCCUCCAGAUCCUUCUUGCUCACGAGUUUGGAAAGCUCGUUGAGAUAGGGAGCCAAGUGUUCUGCUCGGCUAUCAGGCAAACGAGAUCUAGGCCCGACAGGUGGAGAAGAGGAAGCAGGAUCAGUGGCUGCUCCACUGGUCUCGCCGAGUUUGGCAGGAGGAGGAGGUAAAGUCUUCAAGGGAGAGACCUGCUGCACGAUGUUGGCCCGCUUUGCAGUAGGGGCGUCCUUGUUCUGGUCCCUCUUCGUGGUUUGAGGUCGAGAACGUUUCCUGUUCAGAGCCCCAAUCACAGCGUCCUCCAUCUUAUGGCCAGGGAGUACCAAGCGAGACUCGAGCAAGUUGUAAGUAGUUAGCAGUUCUCGGCUCGGGCAGGUAUUGGGUAGUACGGCCUCAACCUGUUUGAGCUGGUCAGGUUGGAGUGGGAAAUGAACACCCCAAGAAACUACAACACAAACAGACACUUGGUUAGAGGUAAGCCAAUAAAGCAGGAACAAUUAUGCAUACAAGACAUCUAAGCGAGCAUGCAACCUGGGACCGUGAAACGGGGUGGGAUGCGACAAUCCUUCCCGUCUAUUUGUGCAACUUGACCCCAAGGACCCCCAGCAAAAAAGAAUUUUCUCUUCCAAGUCCCACCACCACCAGUUGGAAGAUCAGUUAUGGGUUUCCUGCUCUUGGUACUAGAUUGGAAGUAGUACCAGCCGGCAUCUUUGGGGCUGUUCUUUAGCUGGUACAGGUGUUUCACCUCGUCGACCGUGGGCUCGCUUUGACAACAUCUGUCCCACAAGAUGAAUAGACUAGAGAGCACUCUCCACCCGUUGGGGUUCAGCUGACCAGGAGCUAGAUUCAACCCGCUAAGAAUCCGGGCAAAGUAGGGUUGCAAGGGACACCUCAGCCCAUGCUUAAAACUCUCCAAAAACAAGGUAACAUAUCCCCUAGGAGGCCGGCUAGAGGUAUCCUUCUUUCCUGGGAUCUUAAGAAGUAUCUCACCAGGAAUGCUAUACCUAAGCCGGAGGUUAGCGAGCUCGUCAAACGUGGUCGUGCACGUCAUAUAAUCAAUAGCGUAAUCCCGCGAUAGGGCUCUACCUCCUGCUGUACUCUACCCUUCUGGUCGUGACGCUCCUGAUGGUGAUGCCUCACCAGAAUCAUCUCCACGAUCCUCACUCAGGGUGUUCUCCGAUCCAGAAGACCCUUCCUCAUCGCUAUUUCCGCUCGAGGAGGUUGUUUGGGGGGACAUCCUCCUAGUGCUAGUGCCAACACUAGAUCUAAUGGGCUCUAAGGGGAUCCCGGGGUCAAAAGCAGGAUCGGUGAGCAGACUAGGCAAGAAGUCCAACUCAUCGUCAUCAACCUCAAUGACCUUCUCUUUACCUCUCGACAUUCCCUAAGCUCUAACCACAACACCACCACCAACUACUACCCAAACAAAAGAGAAGAGAAAUUAUCUACAACUAUCCGAGACCAGGGAGAUAGAAGAAGUACCUGAAGUAAUGGUUCAGUCGGAGAAAGACAGAGAUGGAGGCCCCUAUGCCGGAACUUCUUUCCGGAGAGACAGAGACGAAGACGGAGUGAAUGACGAAUUUGUCGUUCGAAAGGAUUUGGGUUUCCUAAUGGAGACGGACUCUUGGGUUGCCAGCAUUUAACGACACCAAAUCUCAAGGGCCUCGUAACCGUUGGUUUGAAAUUCGAAUAGAGGGGCAGAUGUCUGCCACAUCACCUCGUCCGCAAUUAAAUGCGACAUGACUCUUGGCAGCCUUUUCCCAUCCCACGCGAGCAAGUACUGUUGAGUUUCUACUGCUGGUCCACUACAUUACCCAAACACUAGAAACUGGGGGACCGAUGUUUGGGAGAAGUACGUCGACGAGACCAGGCAUGAUGAGCAGUUAUCUGAUGGCAGAGUUCUGCGAACAGGUGUGUCCUGUAAGAGACUGGUGACCGGGGAGCAGGAGCAGAAAUAUUCUGCUCGUCCGCGAGCAUGCCGUCCACGAGGCUGGGCUCCUGCUGUAGCAUGGAGCAUUCCUGCUAAAGGUUUUAAUCGAGGAGACCCGGUCAACGAGAAUUGGUGCGAUGGGCUCUGCAAUCCGAAAAUCAAGGUACUAAGGCCACGCAUUGUUAGAGUGCAAUUUAUGCACUAGUUUUGCAUUAUUUACUUCCCUUAAUAUCGAUGUUUUGCAUUUAAUAAUAAUGUUUUACUUGUGUUUUACUUUUGUAGAUGCAAUUAUAUUGAUUGAUGAUAAAAUUGAGCUAAAAGAUGAUGUUUAAGAAGGAUUGUUCUCUUGGAGAAAUUUCUGAGCGUCAGAAGAACUUUGUUGAUAAGGCGUGGGUGCGUGCUGUUAACUGCGGACCUGCAGUUUUUAGUUUAACGUGUUUUAUAUUUUUGGUUAUUUUUGUAAUUACGAAUUUAAUAUUUCAGAUAUUAGUAUUUUAUUUUAAAUAGAAUUCUAAAAGAGAAGAGAGAGAGAGUAUUUAAGGGAGGAAUCUAUUGUGAAAAAGGGGGGAUUUUUGGAUUGGAGAAAAAGAAACCCUAGAUCUAAUUUUUCUCUUCUCUCUAUGAGGAACUAAACCCAUUUUUCUGGUUGAAGGAUAAUGAAGCUUUGAUUCAUCACUACUGUGAGAUCUUUCUUGUGCUUUAAUUGUUUUAUUGCUUUUUGGGUAUUUGUUUAUUCUCUGAAUUAGUUUCAUGAUUAUGUUUGUUAAUUAGGUAAUUGGCCACUAUUUAAUUAUCAACUUAAUCUAUUGUCAAUUAAAGGAUUCAUCGUAUGAAGAAUUUAAUGUUUGUGACAAAUAACAUAGCAGAGAGUUGUGUUGUGAGAAUAAACAAUCUAAUUUAAAUGAAUCAUCUUAUGUGUUGAUUAGGAUUUGGGUCUCUCUGGUUUCUCAGGCUGUCUAUUGAUUAAAUCCUAUGAUCGUAUCUAGGGUUGUCUAUUGAUUAGGGAAGUAACCAACGGUCGUACCUUGGUUAUCGACUAGUUAAGGAGAGAUUGGCUAUUAGAGGGUCUCAGUAGCUAUAACCGAUCUAUUCAUAAGUAAUAAUAAUAAUCUAUAUUUGAAUUAAUGAUCAGUAGUCGAAUCAAGCUGAGUUAAUUCCUUCAACCAGAGCUUUCUCCAAUUUGAAUUACAACUUUAAUUUGCAUUCUUGUUUAUUUCAAUUUGAUUUUUAUUAUUGUCAACAAUUCCCCCAUUUUACGUUUUACGUUUCAAAAGGAUUUAAAUAAUUACCGAUCUCUGUGGACACGACCCUGCUCAAUCACUAUACACAAUUUAUUUAGAGUAGGAAUUUAUUUUUGUUGGCUUCGACACCCAUCAAAUUUUGGCGCCGUUGCCGGGGAUUGGUGUCAUUUAUUUAAUCCUUUUUACGUUUUACUUAGUGUAUGGUUCGUUCUUCUCGUACAUGUACACUUUCAUUUGAUCCUGAAAUUGAGAAGACAGCUCGCCAGCUGAGACAGCAGACAAAGCGAGCUAAGCAACGAUCCUCGUCGCCUUUGCUUUCUGAAACAGAUACGGUGCCUGAUUUAGUUGAAUCAUCUAGAGAUUCAGAAGAACAAGUGAUGGAUAGACCUGCACCUGUAGAAAGAACUCUUAGAGAGUUAGCUGAACCAGACUUGAAUCAACAACCACUCUGCAUUCAAUAUGUAGACUUGGAGGUAAAUUUUGAAUUAAAGUCUGGUCUUAUUCAUUUAUUACCCAAGUUUCAUGAUUUUGCAGGUGAAGAUCCCCAUAAACAUCUUAAGGAGUUUCAUGUUGUGUGUUCAAGUAUGAGACCACAAGGCGUGACUGAAGAGCAGAUUAAGCUGCGUGUUUUUCCGUUCUCUGUAGAUGGGCUAACUAAAGAUUGGUUGUACUACUUGCCUCCUGGAUCGAUUACAACGUGGAAUGGUUUGAAGAAGCAGUUCCUUGAGAAGUACUUUCCUGCUUCAAGAGCUGCCAACAUCAGAAAAGAUAUUUGUGGGAUCAGACAACUUCCUGGGGAGACUUUGUAUGAGUAUUGGGAGCGAUUCAAACAAUUGUGUGCCAGUUGUCCUCAGCAUCAGAUUUCUGAUCAACUUCUUAUUCAAUAUUUUUACGAAGGAUUGUCAUUUAUGGAUAGGAGUAUGAUAGAUGCUGCUAGUGGAGGCGUGUUGGUGAACAAGACCCCUACUCAAGCAAGGGAGUUGAUAUCAAAUAUGGCUGCCAAUGUACAACAAUUUGGCAGCAGGCAAGAUCUCACUUCAAGGAAGGUGAAUGAGGUAAAUAUUUCUUCUGUUGAACAACGUUUAGAUAAACUCACUUCUCUUGUGGAAAAGUUUGUUGUAGGUAAUGUACAACAGGUGAAGACUUGUGGUAUUUGUUACAAUAUGGGUCAUUCAACUGAUAUGUGUCCUACACUUCAAGAAGAACCCGUUGAACAAGCCAAUGCAGUUGGAGGAUUUCCAGGCAUGCCUCAGAGGAGGUAUGAUCCUUAUGCACAAACAUACAAUCCGGGAUGGAAGGAUCAUCCCAACUUCAGCUAUGGAGUUAGGCCGUCAAGAUUCCCACAACAGUAUCCACCAAGACAACCAACACCUCCACAGUCAAACUCCAAGUCAGGUAUAUCUCUUGAAGAAAUUGUUAAAUCACUUGCGACUAACACUCAACAAUUUCAGCAGGCAACUACAGCAAGCAUUCAGAACUUGGAAAACCAAGUGAGUCAAUUGGCAACUACGAUGAGCCGUCUAGAGUCUCAAGUAUCUGGGAAAUUGCCUUCACAAACUGAGGUGAAUCCAAAGCAAAACGCCAGUGCCGUCAUCCUUAGAAGUGGGAAGGAGUUGCAAGAGCCUAGUAAGAAAGUGACAGAGCAUGUAGAAGAUGAGCUUGAAAAGAAUGAAUUGAUGCCUAAAUCUCAGGAUGCGCAACCCACCAGAGCGAAACCCCUACCUAUUGUGAUACCUCCUCCUUUUCCAAGCAGGUUUGCAAAAUCCAAGAAGGAGGAACAAGAGAAAGACAUCCUUGAGACAUUUCGCAAGGUUGAGGUAAAUAUUCCCUUAUUAGAUGCUAUAAAACAAAUACCUCGAUAUGCUAAAUUUCUUAAGGAACUGUGCACCUCCAAGAGAAAAUUAAGAGGAGAUGAAAGAGUUCAUAUGGGGGAGAAUGUUUCAGCAGUUCUCCAAAAGAAAUUACCUCCCAAGUGCAAGGAUCCAGGUAUGUUUACUAUCCCUUGCAAAAUUGGUAGUGUUAGAGUUGAGAAGGCUAUGUUAGAUCUAGGAGCUUCUAUUAAUGUCAUGCCUCGUUCUAUUUAUUCGUCUUUGAAUAUUGGUGCAUUAAAAGAAACUGACGUGAUAAUUCAACUAGCUGAUAGGUCUAAUGCAUAUCCUGAUGGGGUAUUAGAAGAUGUCUUAGUACAAGUUAAUGAGUUGGUUUUUCCUUCUGAUUUUUAUGUACUUGAUAUGGAAGAUGAUAACUCCUCUAAUUCUAUCCCAAUUUUGCUAGGAAGACCUUUUCUUAAGACUGCUAGAACUAAAAUGGAUGUACAUAAAGGGACUCUUACUAUGGAGUUUGAUGGAGAGGUUAUAGAGUUCAAUAUGUAUGAUGCCAUGAAAUAUCUCAGUGAGGAACAUUCGGUAUUUUCUAUGGAUGUUAUUAACCCUAUAGUGCAGGAAGUUUUUUAUUUGGAUGUUGAAGAUUCAUUAGUAGCUGCUUUAAAUAACAGUUUGGGCCUCAAAGGAUUGCAAAAGGAUGAAAAUGAGUUUGUUUUAAAUUCUGUAUUGCAAGAGACAAUUUAUGAAUUAAAUUCUUUGAGAACUUUAACUCAUUAUAUGUCUAAUAAUGAAUUACCUUCAUCUAAUGCAAAACUUCUUCCAUCUAUUUUGCAGGCACCAAAAAUAGAGCUUAAACCAUUGCCUAGUCAUCUAAAGUACAUGUUUUUAAGAGAUGAUGAGACACUUCCGGUGAUCAUCUCUUCAAAGCUUAGUACUUUAGAGGAAGAGAAACUUAUUAGAGUGCUACGAGAUUACAAAAAGGCUAUUGGGUGGACAAUUGCAGAUAUUAAAGGGAUAAGUCCGUCCACGUGCAUGCAUAGAAUACUGCUGGAGGAAGAUGCCAAACCUUCAAUUCAAGCUCAACGCUGUUUGAAUCCACUCAUGAUGGAAGUAGUGAAGAAAGAAAUUCUAAAACUUCUUGAUGCAGGUAUAAUCUAUCCAAUUUCGAAUAGCAAAUGGGUAAGUCCGGUACAAGUGGUACCAAAGAAAACUGGUAUAACAAUUGUUGAGAAUUCUUAUGGUGAGUUAGUUCCUACCCGAGUUCAGAAUGGGUGGAGGGUUUGUAUUGAUUUUAGAAAGCUUAAUUCACUCACUAGGAAGGAUCAUUUUCCUAUUCCUUUUAUUGAUCAGAUGCUUGAAAGGUUGGCAGGAAAAUCUCACUUUUGUUGUCUUGAUGGCUAUUCAGGUUUUCAUCAGAUACCAGUUGCGCCUGAGGAUCAGGAGAAGACUACCUUCACAUGUCCUUUUGGAACCUUUGCAUACCGACGUAUGCCAUUUGGUCUUUGUAACGCUCCCGCCACUUUUCAGAGGUGCAUGGUUAGUAUUUUUUCAGACUAUGUAGAAAACACUAUAGAGGUAUUUAUGGACGAUUUUACAGUCUAUGCUGAUUCUUUCGAUGAUUGUCUCUAUAAUCUGAAGAAAGUGCUUGAAAGAUGCAUUGAAACAAACCUUGUCUUGAAUUAUGAAAAAUGUCAUUUUAUGGUAGAUCAAGGCAUUAUUUUGGGUCAUGUAGUCUCUGCUAGAGGAAUUGAGGUAGAUAAAGCUAAAAUAGAUGUUAUUAAAUCUUUACCUUAUCUCACAUGUGUGCGGAAAGUUCGUUCUUUCCUUGGUCAUGCAGGUUUCUAUAGACGAUUUAUCAAGGAUUUUUCGAAGAUAGCUCAGCCUUUAUGCAAGCUUCUUCAGAAAGAUGUGACGUUUGAUUUUAAUAAAGCAUGCAAGGUAGCAUUUGAUAAACUUAAGGAGUUGUUGACUUCAGCUCCAAUUAUACAGCCACCAGACUGGAGCCUCCCUUUUGAGAUAAUGUGCGACGCCAGUAAUUAUGCUGUUGGUGCUGUUCUCGGACAAAGGGUUGGAAGAGCUGCUCAUGUGAUAUAUUACGCAUCAAGAACACUUGAUAGUGCUCGGUGCAAUUACUCAACAACAGAAAAAGAACUUUUAGCUAUUGUUUUUGCUUUAGAAAAAUUCCGUUCAUAUUUAUUGGGUACUAAAGUGAUUGUUUUUUCUGACCAUGCAGCUCUCAGAUAUUUGCUCGCCAAGAAGGAAGCAAAACCGAGACUUAUUCGCUGGAUCCUAUUGCUUCAAGAAUUCAACUUGGAGAUCCGUGACAAGAAAGGAACAGAAAACUUAGUUGCAGACCACCUUAGUAGAUUGACCACGAGUGAAGAAGCAGCACCUUCGAAAGAUGAUUUUCCAGAUGAGCAUCUCUUUAUAACUCAAGGUAUGGUUCCUUGGUACGCUGACAUUGUCAAUUACUUAGUUACAAGAAUACUACCUAGUGAUCUGACGAGGGCUCAAAAGGAUAAAAUUAAGAGCGAUGCUAAAUACUAUGUUUGGGAUGACCCUUACUUGUGGAAACAUUGCUCUGACCAAGUCAUCAGAAGGUGCGUAUCUGAGUUUGAAAUUCCUUCUAUUCUUCAAUUUUGUCACUCAUAUGCAUGUGGUGGUCAUUUUGGUCCCAAAAGGACAGCAUCCAAGGUGUUAGAAUGUGGUUUAUUUUGGCCUACUUUAUUUCGUGAUUCAUAUAUGUUUUGUAAGUCGUGUGAGAGUUGUCAAAAGACUGGUAAUUUAAGUCAUAGAAAUCAAAUGCCACUUACCCCUAUUCUUGUAUAUGAAAUAUUCGAUGUGUGGGGCAUUGAUUUUAUGGGACCUUUUCCCUCAUCUUUUGGCAAUUCUUACAUUCUUUUAGCAGUGGAUUACGUUUCUAAGUGGGUAGAGGCUAAGGCCACCCGGACUGACAAUGCUAAAGUUGUUGUAGAUUUUGUCAAGUCUAAUAUUUUUGCUAGGUUUGGUGUACCGAGAGCGAUGAUAAGUGAUAGAGGCACUCAUUUCUGUAAUCGAGUGGUGGAAGCUCUGUUCAAAAGAUAUCAUGUUACCCACCGAGUGUCUACCGCCUAUCAUCCACAGACAAGUGGACAAGCUGAGAUAUCAAACAGAGAAAUCAAGUCUAUUCUUGAAAAGACAGUUAGUCCAAAUCGAAAGGAUUGGAGUUUGCGAUUAGAUGAUGCAUUAUGGGCGUAUCGCACCGCUUACAAAACUCCCAUAGGUAUGUCUCCUUAUCGUUUAGUAUUUGGUAAGCCUUGUCAUUUACCUGUAGAACUUGAGCACAGAGCAUACUGGGCAGUUAAGCAAUGCAAUAUGCGGAUGGAUGAAGCGGGAAAGCAGAGGAAGUUGCAGCUGCAAGAGUUGGAGGAGAUUAGAAAUGAAUCCUACGAGAGUUCGCGAUUUUACAAGGAAAAGACGAAGACAUUUCAUGACAGAAUGAUUUUGAGAAAGGAGUUCUCUGUUGGUCAAAAAGUUCUUCUCUUUCACUCUAAACUUAAACUUUUUCCUGGUAAAUUACGUUCUCGUUGGGUAGGACCUUUUAUUGUUACUAAUAUUUUUCCUCAUGGUGCAAUUGAGAUUCGGAGUCCAAUCUCGAAUAAAGCCUUUAAGGUUAAUGGUCAUCGUUUAAAACCUUUUUACGAAGGUUUUUCGGUGAAUAUUGUGGAGGAAUUGGCUCUCGAGAAUCCUAUUUAUGGAGAUUGAUACAUAAAUGUGUCUAGCCAAAGACAUAAAACAAAGGCGCUUUUUGGGAGGCAACCCAAAUGAUUUGUUUAUUUUGGUUUUUGUUUUAUCUUCUUUAAAAAAAAAAAAAAAAAAAACCAAAAAUCGAAAAUCACUGUUUACAAAUCCCUAAUUCAAAAAUUACUGUUGAUUAUCGUUUUACAGCAGCAUCAGCUCCAGCCUUCACCGCGCAACCAGCAGCAGCAGACGAGUACGCCCAGAACCAGCAGCAAGCUCCAACAUCCCCAGCCCGCGCGCGCAGCGCGAAUCAGCCCCAACCGCCGCGCACAGCAUCGCGUACCCCAACCAGCAGUAGCGCGAAUCAGCCUCAGCGCAGCAUAUCAGUCCCGCGCGCGUAGCGCAACAGAUCCGCAACGCAGACCCGCAACGCGAACUGGCUCUCGCGCGCAACAGCCCCGCGCGCGCAACACAACAACGAACCAGCACCCGCAAAGCAAGCCUCAGCAGCGCGCACAACCAGCCCCAACUCGCGCAACAAGCUCCAGCCGAGCAGCAAGCGCAACACAACCAGCCUACGCCCUGUAUUCCAGCCGGGUAAAUCGAAAUCCGUGAGUGCAAUUAUUGUAACAAUGCCGAAGAGGAAAGCAUCUACUUCCAAGUCGUCGAAAAAGACACCCGUCGCAAAGAAAUCUAAGAUUGCCGCUCCCACUACGGUUCCAUGGAACAUAAUUUCAGAUUCACGCCAAGCCGUGAGACAAAGAUCGAAGCAUGGAAAAGGCAUGAGUGUUUUGCCACUUGCGGAAUCCAAUCUCGGAGGGUGCCUCGCAUUCGCGACUCAACAAGAGAAAGAGAGGUACAAAGAUAUUUCCACGCGCAAAAUACUUCCAGCUAAGUAUAUUCAUUACCCGACUCUUGAAAAAUUAAAUGUUAAAGAUAAUUUUGAUUCUUUGAUAGAUAAGAUUGGGUUGCGUAAGUUUGUUGAUGUUGAUUGCUUGGGUUAUGUUGAGUUGAUUAGGGAGUUUUAUGCUACUUUUCAAUUCACUAUGCCGAAUGAUUUUACUUUGCAUACCCCGGAUGUCAUUAAGUUUAGGUUAAUGGGACGAAAUUUUUCACACUCUAUCACGGAUUUUAACCUAGCUUUAGGAUUCAUUGAUGAUGAUUAUUCUACUAGUGAUGAAUAUUUAGGAACAACUUGUGACUUUAGCGAAAAUUUUGAGCCUUAUGGUCUUUGGCGUAAUUUAUCUGUUGAUCACAAUGCCUAUGACCCGAGUAAAUCAAAGAGUUCUUUCUUACGUGAUCCUGUUUUGAAAUGUGUGCAUCGAUUCUUAGCAUAUAAUUUUUUAGGCAAGAAAGAUCACUCAGGAAUUUUCUCUAAAACUGAAUUUUAUUUUAUCUGGUGCAUGUUAAAUGAUGUGAGGCCUAAUUUAGGUUUUUGGUUAGCGGAUCAAUUUCAAAGUGUGCUUAAACGGUAUAGGACUUUAUUUCUUGGUCCAUACAUUACUCUGUUAGCUAUAAACCUAUGUGUGCUUGAUCCUGACAAUAAUGAUUUGCAUCCUGCUUGCAAAAAGGAAUUUUUGGAUAUGUCUGUGUUUGAAAGAACAGGUGUGGUCGAAUUCAAGGAGGGGAGAUUUCAGUUUACUGAACCAGGACCCACUCAACUUCCGAAGAAGCUUUAUGCUAGGAGUGGUGCUACCUCUGAUGACGAGUUUGACGACGACACUGUUGCCCCGCCAACUAUUCCUUCUACAUCCGCACCACCUUUGAGCAUUCAGUUAGAGAAAAUGGAGCACAAGUUGAACAAAAUGGAGCAGAAUUUGGCCGCAUACUUCGAGAGUGUGGGAUUUACCCCACCAUUUCCGCCAAGCCCAUAGACGUUAUGUGGAUCAAAGCUCACAAUUCAGGGAAGUUUCUUUUUGCCCUUAAACUUUUAUCCUUAUGCUUUAAUUUUUAUGUGAGCUUUGAUUAUCUUACAUUGGGGACAAUGUAAGUUCUUGGUGUGGGGGAGGGAUUUUUGCAUUAUUGAUGUCUGGAAUUAUUGUUUUCACUCUACUUAUCUUUUUUUUUUUCUUCACUCUACUCAUCCUUAAAUGAUUUUGGAGUUAGUAUGCUUUAUAUAUUAUUAUUUUUUCUUUUCUUUUAUUUCUCACUACUUUUUUUUUCCCAUCUAUCUCAAAUUAUUUACAUCUAUUUUUAUUCUAUCAUACUCUUUCAUCACUCACAUUUUAUCUUUCACUUUUCAUCUUUCUCACUUCUUAUCAUUUUUACCUUUCCUUUUAUAUAUCACUCAUACCUUCUUCUCAUUCUACACCACUAUUGAUGGUUGAUUCAUUUGAAGAGUGUACAUGAUUUGAUGGCAAAUUUACCAACUUUGUGAGGAUUUGAGCCUAUGAGCAACCACUUUGCUCUAAUUAUUUUUGUUAUGUGAAUAUCAAUCCUAGUUUGUUUAUUCUAGAACUUGCUUUGUUAUGCAUGUUGAAGCCACAUUACGGGAUUUUAGGCAUUAAAAUGAUAAGGGCAAACCAUUUACCAUUUUUCUAUUCUCGCAUUUUCAUUUUUCUUUACCCGAAGACCUUAAUUUGCUACCUUUGUUUGAGCCUUAACCAUUACCCAUCUAAUUCUCUCCGUCUACUUAACCAUUUUUCUUCUUUUUGAGCCUCAAUUUAAGGAGAUUUUUGGACUCAUUAUAUGGAUAUAUUUUGUUGCUUUUUCUACCUUGUAUUAAAGUUUCUCAAUUAGAUCAACAAGCAUUAUGCUUGAAUUCAAUUGUGCAAGGUUCGUUUCUUUUGUUUGAUUCGAAAAAAAAAAAAAACAAAAAAAAAAAUGAAAAAAAAAAAGAAAAAAAAAGAAAAAAAAAAGAAAAAAAAAAGAAAAAGAAAAAUCGAAAAAAAAAAUCGAAAAAAAAAAAUGUUUACAUUCUUGGUGACUUGAGUAGAAAUAAGCAUUUUGAUAUCAUAAGUUCAUUCAAUGAGUUCAUUCUUCUCAUUUUGAUCUCUUUUUCUUUCGUAAACCUUUCUUUUUCAUUUAACCCAUUUAACCCCAUUACAACCCUUUUAAGACCCUUAGAUUUUUGCAUUUUAUUCAUGUUUUGUGGAUUGAGAUGUGAUUUAUGAGCAAGCUUAUGAUAAUAGCAUUCUUUGAUUUGAUUUGAGUGGAUAAAUGACACCCUAAACACUUUGAGUGCAUGGAGUGAAGUUAUUGAGAGGGCUAUUACAUCUUGUUGCACUUGAAUUUUGAAUGGAUAUUCUUGGUGGUUGAAUGUUCUUAUUCUAUCUUAUGAGAUUCUAUGCUUUAAAAUCCUUGUCUCUUGAAUGUUGAUCGACUUAAUUUCUUGAGGUAUGCUUGCUUAAAAUUAUUUUUGGAUGAGUUGAGAUGAGAAUUGAGUGGAGAUUUAGGAUUAAUCUUGAGUUAUAUGCUUGAGGACAAGCAUCAUCUUGGUGUGGGGGAAUUUGUUAGAGUGCAAUUUAUGCACUAGUUUUGCAUUAUUUACUUCCCUUAAUAUCGAUGUUUUGCAUUUAAUAAUAAUGUUUUACUUGUGUUUUACUUUUGUAGGUGCAAUUAUAUUGAUUGAUGAUAAAAUUGAGCUAAAAGAUGAUGUUUAAGAAGGAUUGUUCUCUUGGAGAAAUUUCUGAGUGUCAGAAGAACUUUGUUGAUAAGGCGUGGGCGCGUGCUGUCAACUGCGGACCUGCAGUUUUUAGUUUAACGUGUUUUGUAUUUUUGGUUAUUUUUGUAAUUACGAAUUUAAUAUUUCAGAUAUUAGUAUUUUAUUUUAAAUAGAAUUCUAAAAGAGAAGAGAGAGAGAGUAUUUAAGGGAGGAAUCUAUUGUGAAAAAGGGGGGAUUUUUGGAUUGGAGAAAAAGAAACCCUAGAUCUAAUUUUUCUCUUCUCUCUAUGAGGAACUAAACCCAUUUUUCUGGUUGAAGGAUAAUGAAGCUUUGAUUCAUCACUACUGUGAGAUCUUUCUUGUGCUUUAAUUGUUUUAUUGCUUUUUGGGUAUUUGUUUAUUCUCUGAAUUAGUUUCAUGAUUAUGUUUGUUAAUUAGGUAAUUGGCCACUAUUUAAUUAUCAACUUAAUCUAUUGUCAAUUAAAGGAUUCAUCGUAUGAAGAAUUUAAUGUUUGUGACAAAUAACAUAGCAGAGAGCUGUGUUGUGAGAAUAAACAAUCUAAUUUAAAUGAAUCAUCUUAUGUGUUGAUUAGGAUUUGGGUCUCUCUGGUUUCUCAGGCUGUCUAUUGAUUAAAUCCUAUGAUCGUAUCUAGGGUUGUCUAUUGAUUAGGGAAGUAACCAACGGUCGUACCUUGGUUAUCGACUAGUUAAGGAGAGAUUGGCUAUUAGAGGGUCUCAGUAGCUAUAACCGAUCUAUUCAUAAGUAAUAAUAAUAAUCUAUAUUUGAAUCAAUGAUCAGUAGUCGAAUCAAGCUGAGUUAAUUCCUUCAACCAGAGCUUUCUCCAAUUUGAAUUACAACUUUAAUUUGCAUUCUUGUUUAUUUCAAUUUGAUUUUUAUUAUUGUCAACAAUUCCCCCAUUUUACGUUUUACGUUUCAAAAGGAUUUAAAUAAUUACCGAUCUCUGUGGACACGACCCUGCUCAAUCACUAUACACAAUUUAUUUAGAGUAGGAAUUUAUUUUUGUUGGCUUCGACACCCAUCACGCAUCCACCCACGAUUACAGAAAUGGAGCAUCCACGUCCGAGAGGUGGGAGGAUAACGAGCGCAAAUGAGGGGAAGGUCUGGAGUCAGGAGGACCUAUAAAAAGGUAGCCAACGAAGGUAAAAGGGUUAGACUUUUCACUGUUAGAACUAAGAAAAGAGAGCUCUAAGAACUGAGAUUAAAAAGAAGCCAUAAGAUUCGUGGCAUAGAUUCCCAAAACCUUCAUUUCUGACUUGAGUGUCGGAGGGUUUGCGCCGGGGAACCAACCGGCGUACUCUGACCUGUCUGUGUACGCAGGAACUUCUGGAGAAGAAGCUUUACGAGGAGAGAUCCUGAUCGUGGUGACGUUGAUCGAGCAGAGCUCCUGGUCGUAUAACGAGGAGGACCAGAAUCUCGCAUCAACAUGUACAUUAGUGUUUUUUUUUUUUUUUGGGGGGGGGGUGGAAUUUUUUUAUUGGCACAGGAAGAAAGCUCUUCGGCACUACUCGGAAGAAGAAUAUGAGCAACACAUGGUCCAAUUCGCAUUGUAUGGAAGUAAAACCGAAGCAUUAGACCAAAAGCAAACCUUAUUCAUAUUUUUAGUUACUGAUAACAAUUUCUUUCCCCUCUUAUUAUCAUCUUAAUUAAGAAAUAUAGUAAUUCGUUAACUUUUUGGGAAAUUAAAAAGGAUGGCAAUAUACAAUAUUCUUGUGUUGAUGACCUUAAAAGCUAGUUCCCUUGAAACAGGAAAACUGGUAUCGUUUUUCAAAGCACAUAAAUGAUAUAUCCCAGCUUUCAAUGUGAUCGAAAGAUUUCAUAGCCACACUCAAAAUUAAUAAAUGAUCCCUAAGAAUUACGAAAAUGAUAUCAAUGAAAUUACAAACUCUUCAAGAGUUUAUAGAACAUUAAUUGAUCCAAAGCCAAUACAAACUGCUUACUAGUACAGCAUCAAGAGAGCCAUUUAUUUUUUCAGUAGGCAAAUUAAACAACUGCAGCAGUCACUAGCGAGCUAGUAUAGACCAAUUGUUCAUCUACCAACUAAUUGUGAAAUUGUUACAUCAUUGCUUGAACAUAUUUCUGAUCCAAUCGUGGCUUUAUUUUGUUCGUCUUCAUAAUCUUUGUUUGAGAAAUCGGAGUCCAUUCGAUGAGUCUAUCAGCAUUCUUUAACUAAUUAUUAGAUUAAAUGUAUAAAUUUAAAACUAGUAAAAGUUUAGAAUAUGAAAGAACCUUGAUUCAUUCAAGAAAUAAUUAAAAUUUUAAUCCUUUUCAAACUGAUUAAUAUUAACCUUAUCAUUAUAAGAAAACACGAUUUAAAAGAAAAAAAAAAUCUCACAAAGUUGGUGUGUGGAAUAGUCAAUACGUUGUGUCCUUGAUUUUUUACAAACUCUUAAGAGUCUAUAGAUGUAGUUAGUGAUAUUACAUUACAUUAAUUGAUCCAAAUCCAAUACAAACUGCUUACCAGUACAGCCUCAAGAGAGUCAUUUAUUAUUCAAUUGGCAAAUUAAACAACUACAGUAGUCACUAGCAGCUUGCCAAGAGCUAUAGCGUAGAUCAAUUGUUAUCUACCAACCAAUUGUGAAAUUGUUACAUCAUUACUUGAACAAAUUUCCAAUCCAAUCGUGGCUUUCCUUUGUUCAUCUUCGUAAGCUUGCUUUGAGAAAGUUUCAGGCUUCUUUGGAGUCAUUAUAUCAGCCGUGCUCUCAUUUUCGAGCAUCGAAGAAACUUCCAGCAUAGAAGGUCUAUCGUCUGGGUUCUCCUGAACACACAACAGAGCUAUUUGCAGACAUGUUAGCAAUUUCCACGAGGAAUGCGUAUCAUCUAGUGAUGUAUCCAUUAACCCCAUGCCUUUCCCAUCUUUCCACAGCUCAUAAGCCUGUAAAUAUCGAAUAUGUUAUUGAGUUACAUUCAAUUAAUUAGCACUAUAAAGUUUUGAUCCAGUGUGCAUUAUAAAGGGGGUUAUGAAGAAACUUACAUACUGUACAAGGCUUAAAUUUUCAUUCUGGCCAGAUUGAACGAACAAUCUUCUUCCACUUAUAAUUUGCAAAAGUAAAACCCCAAAACUGUAGACAUCAGAUUUGGUGGAGUAGAUGCCUCUCGUCACAUACUCAGGAGGGAUAUAGCCACUGUUGUACCAAGUACUUACAAAUAUCAGUUAAAUUGUUUGACCUAAAAGGUUAAGCUGAUUGGUAAAGGCUCAACAAUAGUAUUAAAGACAAGUCGAAAAAUAGACGUAUAUACACUUACUGUGUUCCAACAAUUCGACUGGUGUUUGCUUCAAGGUCGUCUUUCACAAAAAUUCUAGCUAAGCCAAAAUCUGAUAUUUUAGGCUUCAUAUCUUCAUCCAAUAAAACGUUACUAGCUUUCAAAUCUUGAUGAAUAAUUGUUAAUCUAGAAUAUUCUUGAAGAUAGAGAAGCCCUUGAGUUAUUCCUUAAAUGAUAUGAAUGCGUUUUUUCCAAUCCAAAAUAAACCUUCGGAUGGAAUCUACAUCAAAUAUAAGUAUAGUUGGACGGUCGGUAGCAUUAGCAUUUGGAGAUGAGAAAGCAAAUGGAGGCACAUAAAUUAAAAAUUAAGCAGUUAAGCUCAUACCAAAAAGGAAAUAGUCCGAGCUUCGUUUUGGCAUGUACUCAUAGAUCAGCAUUUGUUCUUCUCUGUCAAUGCAAAAACCUAAAACCCUAAUAAGAUUUACAUGUUGGAGUUUUGCAGUAAGCAUAACCUCAUUCUUGAACUCCUCAAAUCCUUGUUUGGAUGUCUUUGAGAGUUUCUUCACAGCUAUUACCUGUCCAUCAGGUAAUACACCCUGCAAACAACCCCAAAACAUUAAAAAGAAAAAAAAACGCAAUGUUCAUAUACAUGUGUGUGUGUGUAUUUCGCUAAUUAAUUAAUAAGAUGAGAGAUAGCCAAGCUAUCGAUAUAUAACCUUGUAAACAGGGCCAUAUCCACCCUCCCCGAGCUUAUUUUCAAUUGAAAAUCUAUCCGUGGCCACCUCAAUAUCAGCCAAGCUAUAUUCUCUAAGAUCAGGAUCAUUGCUGUUAAAAUCUCCAGCAUGUGCUUGACUGUUUGCUCCGUCCUUUGAUGACUUGGCUGAGUCAAUUACUAUCCCAAUUAAUAUCAACCAAGGAAAAAAAAAAAAAAAAGCUAAUUUAAGUAAAUUGCCCACUUCUUCAACUGCGCUAAAUAGAAUAGAAGUAAAAAUAAUCCUAAACCAGUGUAGAAGAAGUUACCUUUUAAUUUGGGGUUUUUCAUCCAGCAGUAGUAAUAUAGACAAAAACCUAGUAGAAGAAUACAAGCUGCAGUUGUAGGCAAAACAAUUACCCAUAAUGGUCGCUUAUUUUGACCAUUCUUGUCAUCCUCUUCAGCUGAAAAGUCAAAUCACUUUGCGUUGGUUAGCCAUUGAUGCUGAAAUAAAGAUCUUAAUUCAAGUCAUUAUCCAGAAAAGUGAUCAACGGAUUGCAGUGAGUGCGGAAUUCCAUUUGCUUACCUGCAGCUUGAGAAAGCAUCCAAUCAUGAUCAUAGGAAACUAGCCACACAUGGUAACCGCGUAGCUUCUUCUCCUUGGCAUAAGCAACCUUCACUCUAAUGGCCUCCACAUCAUCAAAACCAAACCAAAUCUUCCCAAUCGAGCAGUAGUUCACCACAUAAGUUGAAUUGUACAUAACUUGGACAUUAGGACCAUAGCUCUUGAUGCGAUUCUUGAUUUCCUUGUAAGUCACAAGACCAUUUUCACUCAAAGCUGCUCCCGUUGCUGCUGCACCAAUACCAUUGUCCUCAGGUUUCACAAGCUUCCAUGCAUAGCCAUAGAAAGGCAAACAUAAAACCAAUUUAUCAGCCGAUAACCCUUCCUCAAUCCAUUCCGUGAUUCCGUAUUCAGUACUAUAGUCACUAUUUGGAUCAUACAGAGCCGCAUGAGCACCAGUAAAAUUUGUCCACGUAGGGGCUGAGUAAUCAGUAGUGAAAACAUGGACCCAAUUCAAGUACUGUCUUAUAAAGUCGACUGGAUAAGUUGCUUCUGUUAAGAAUGGUGAAUAUGAAACCGUUGCCGUCAAAAUCAACUGUGAUUGGCUCGAGUUAUUUCUUGCUUCUAAAUCUACGGCAGCUCGCCACUCUUUAAAGAGAAUGGCAAUAUUGUAAUUAUCCCAGCUUGUGUUUGCCUUAGACCAAGACAGAUCUAAGCCUUGAAAGCCAUAAAGCCUUGCUAUGUUUAUUGAGGAGUCAAUGAAGGAUUUCCUGGAAGAAGGAUUGCUUGCCAUGGAAGAAUAAGUUGAAUAGCUUACAUCAUUUCCUCCUCCGAUGGAGAGAAGUGUAGUGAUUGAUGGGUUCUUUAUUUUGACUGUGUGCGUGAAGUUGGAGAAUUGUUUUUCAUCCGAAGGUGAUAAAGAGAGCUCGUAGGAAGUUGAGUUGACAUCAGCAAAACCACACAUAAGGUGAGUGAAGAGAGCAGAAUUUACAUCUGAAACAGGGAACCCAUCGCCUGAAUCCCAGUAACCAGCUCUGAUUAAAGUUUGUGCUCUUGCAGGAAGCGAUUCUGAAAAUAUAAAAAUGUGGAGGACAAGAAUGAUAAUUUUGGAUGCCAUUGUGGGAACCUGGCUGCUUGAGGCAUACCUAGUAUGUGAUUAUAUAUUUGUACACACACAAAAUGUAAUGGAGAAAUUAUCCUAUACCGAUUGAGAUUAGUUAUUGCACUAAUAAUGCAAACUUGAGUCAACUUUCAACUUAUGAGCUUAGUCCAUAAGUUUUUAUAAUACGAUAUCAAAAUCAAGUUAUGAAUGAGGGACCCUAUAAUACCUUCCAACCUAACUUAAUAAUUAAUCUUAGCCAAUGUGACAUACUUGUUCUAUCGCUUUAUCACGACCAAGUCGAUCUUUUAGCUUUGUCUUUUUUUCAUGAUAAUAAGUGAUAAGAUUGAAGUUCUUAAAUUAAGCUAUGACUUUUUACCUCCGCUUAGCUUGACUUCUGAAGUUGGAGACUCGUUCUUUUGUAUUGACUUUGUUGGUAUUUAAAUGAACUCGGAGUCCUCGACGAGUUUCUGAAGCGAAGUCAUUAUUCCUCUAUGACUCCAUCCAUGCAAUUGGAAGGCAAAAUCUUGUGAAAAUAUUUUCUAAGUUGAUUCAGUCCAUGAUCAACGUGCACAAAACGCAAAAUCUUGCGAAAAUCAAACCCGUCCUCACUCAUGAGCUCGAUUUCUAGCUUAAACUCCUCCUCACUCAUGACCUCACUUUAAUUACAGCUUGUCAUUGAAUUGAGUGUUGCCUUAAUUAAGCCAUCAACUUAAUAAAGUGAUGGUCAUUAAGAAAUACACUUAGUUACUUCCUGAUGGUAAGAUUCAAUAAUAUUGUAAUUUAAAAAAAAGAAGAAAAGAUCCAUAUACCUUUUCCUUGUGUAAUUUAAUUUUCAGUCCAGUCCACCCUCCCAUUUUAUCAUAAAAGUCUAUACAAACAUACGUUUUACUCAAUGUUUACUUAGAAACAAAUGGUGGGCGUACGAGUGCCGAUCUAGUACCACUCUCGUAUACUUGGUGGGAUUCGGCUUCACCAAAUUUGUAGCAUAUAUUUUACUUUAAUGAGAAAAUCAAAUAAUUAUUGAACAAAUAAUUUUUUUUUCAAUAUACUUUCUUAAAAUGUAUGGAGUUGGUAAAGUGCAAAUUCAUUUUUUAGCCCUUUGACUCCUCCAAAAUCCAAACUCAAAUUAAUGGUCAGUUAAAUAAUGUUACUUGAAAAUCAUUUCCUAUCUAGAAUUUGUUUAAUUCUAUUAAUUUACAAUCGUUUUUCAUUUUACUUAAUUAAUUAAAGUGAAUUUAUUAUGUAUACAUCUACAUACGUAAAAUCUUAAAAUUCAGUGUUGAAUUGAAUUGUACUAAAUUUUUUAUAAUUUUUUGUGAGACCUGCGUUUUUAACAGUUUAAUAUUAAUAUUGAUAGCACAUAAUAUACCGGAUUAAGAGAGAUUGAUUUCGACUGCUACAAGAUUUUUAGGAUUGCAUGCACAAGGGUUUAAAAACAAAGUAUACACUUAAUUACACUAAACGAGGGUGCAUUUUUAUGAUGAAAUAAAAACUAUGUACAGGUUGUAAAAGUGGCUCCAUAAUUAGUGUACAUUAACAAUCAUCUAGCUACCACUUCCGAAAAUGAUAAAUCACAAGCCGAACAUUUUUCCAAUUGUGUUGUAGAUAAUAGUUCAAUCCCAAUUUCAUCAACUUGUUUUGAGAAAGCAGGCUUCUUGGGAGUAUUUAUAUUUGUGGUUUCAUUCUUGAGCAUUGAGGAAACUUCCAGCAUUGAAGGUCUAUCGUUUGGAUUCUCCUGGACACACAACAAAGCUAUUUCCAGACAUCUCAUUAAUUUACAAGGGGAAUUUGUAUUGUCUAGGAAUGAAUCCACAAACUCCACGCCUUUGCCACCUUUCCACAACUGAUAUGCCUGAAAUUAUCAAGUACCAUCUCGUUACAUAAUUUAUACUUCUUAAUUAAGUGCGCAUAUGUGUACUCAGGGUUACUAUAGCCGAAGAAACUUACGUGCUCUAGAAUGCUUAAAUUUUCAUUGAUGCCACAUAACACUGAAAGCCUCUUUCCACUUAUGAUUUGUAGAAGUAAAACUCCGAAACUAAAAACGUCUGAUUUGGUAGAGUAUACACCUUGUCUGGCGUACUCAGGAGGAAUAUAGCCUCUGCAUUCAAAAUAACCAAGUAUAUAUGAGUAAGGGAUUUUGCAAUUUAAUAAAUUUGUAAAACCCAUUUUAAAUUGUGGUAAAAGUCCAUUCUGCAUUUUAUUAAAGUGCUGAAUUCCUUAUUCGAAACCCAAUAUAUGUAUAACAAACAGAAGCUUGAGUAAAGGAUAUCAUUUAGAUGUAAUAUACUUACAUUGUUCCCACAAUUUGUUCUGUAUUCGCUUCGAGACUCUCUUUUGCAAAAAUCCUAGCCAUACCAAAAUCUGAAAUUUUAGGUUUCAUACCUUCACCUAACAAAACAUUACUGGCUUUCAAGUCUCGAUGAAUAAUAGUCAGUCUUGAGUAUUCUUAGAGGUAUAAAAGCCCUUGAGUUAUCCCUUCAAUGAUAUGAACACGUUUUUUCCAAUCCAAAAGAAGUCUUUUGAUGGGAUCUACAACAAAUAUAUAGUUUUGGACAAUAAGUGAUAUACAAAUGAAUUAUAUACACAUUUGAUAUUAACUUGAUUUCAGAACAAACCAAAAAGGUAGCAAUCCAAGCUUUUGUUUGGCAUGUAUUCGUAGACCAGCAUCCGUUCCUCACUCUCAAUGCAAAAACCUAAAACUCUAAUAAGAUUUACAUGUUGGAGUUUUGCAGUAAGCAUAACCUCAUUCUUAAACUCCUCAAAUCCCUGUGCGGAUGAUUUCGAAAGUUUCUUCACUGCUAUCACCUCUCCACAGGGUGAUACACCCUGCAACCCAAAAAAAAAAACCACGUUCAUAUAAAGCUUUCACUAGUUAGAGAAGCUGAGAAAUGUUAGCCAAACAAUAUGCUACCCCCCAAAGUUGAGGGCACCAUUUUAAGUUCUUUAAGUCCCCAUGGACGCAAAAUGUAAAUCUCCUCUCACAGAAUAUGGAUAUGGGUAGAGGUAUCUUCCUAAAAUGUUAGUCGAAGUAGUUAUAUCCCUCUAGUGUGAGGUUAGAGGUCUCAUCUCUAAUAGGCAUAGAUUUUUAAAUUAUAUGUUUUGGGCCUCUGAAUUCUACGACGAGUGUACAAAUUCAAACUUCCGAUAGGAUCCAAAUUGAAACAUUGUGGAUUGUAACAAAUUAAAAUAUAGGUACACACACACACACACACACACAUGUUACCUUGUAAACAGGACCAUAUCCACCCUCCCCAAGCUUAUUUCUAAUUGAAAAUCCCUCGGUGGCCGCCUCAAUAUCAGCCAAACUAUAUACUCUGAGAUUAGGAACAUUUCUGUUAAAGUCUCCAGCUUCUGUUUCAUUAUUUGCUGUCGUGUUUGAUGCUUUAGCAGAAUCCUCUGUUCCUAACAUCAACCAAGAGUACAUAUUAGAUAAAUAAUUGUAUGUCAGCCUCAGAUUUAUGUGUAUAUAUAUGAAUGAAAUUCAUGCUUAAUUAUAAUUGAUAGCUGAAACUUGUUACCUUCUAUUAAAUUGAGCCUUUUCAUCUGGUUGUAUUUAUAUGCACAACAGCCUAGAAGGAGAGUCAAAGCUGCCGCUGCAGUAGAAAUGAGUGCAAUGGACAGAUGGCGGUUAUUACUAUGUUCAUCUUUGUCAGCUGAAGCAGAAGUAAUCCUUUCUUUUUGUGCUGGAAAUAUGUAUAGUUCACCAAUUAAUAAUUACUAGCUAGAGAUGCCAUAACAAUCAUUAUUAAUCAGAGAGAACAAUUAUUGCAUAGAUAAAUACCUGCAGCCUGAGAAAGCACCCAAUUAUGAUCAUCAUAAUCAACUCGCCACACAAAGUAACCACGUAACUUCUUCUCCUUAGCAUAUGCAACCUUCAUUCUAACGGCCUCGACAUCAUCAAAACCAAACCAAAUCUUCUCAAUCGAGCAGUAAUUGACCUCAUAAGUUGAAUUGUACAUAACUUGGACAUCAGGGCCAUAGGUCUUGAUGUGAUUCUUGAUUUCCUUAUAAGUCACAAGGCCGCUAUCAUGCAAAGCUGGUCCUGCUGCUGCUGCAACAAUACCAUUGUCUUCAGGUUUCACAAGCGUCCAUGCAUAGCCAUAGAAAGGCAAACACAUAACCAACUUAUCUGCCGAUAAUCCUCUGUCAAUCCAUGCCUUUAAAACCUGAUCGGUACUUCUAACAAAGCCGCCGCUACUUGAGCCAUAGAGAGCCGCAGGUGGCGCCGUGAAGUUUGUUGACACAGGCUCGUAGUAGCUAGCAGUAACCGCAUGAACCCAAUUCAAGUUUCGUUCUAUCGAAUUCAAAAGAUAUGAAUUCGCUGGUGGUGAAUAAUGAAAUCUUGCGGUCAAGAUCAGCUGGGAUUGCUGGCGACUAGAGUUUUUUGCCUCUAAUUUUGUAGCAGCAAUUCGCCACUCGUCAAAAAGUAAACCAAUAUUGAACAAAUCGGUGCUUGUGUUUGGAGCUGUCCAAGCAAAGUCUAGGCCCUGAAAGCCAUAAAGCCUAGCUAUUCUUAUUGAAGAGUCGAUGAAAGAUUUUCUGUGAGAAGAAUUGCUCACCAUUGAAGAAUAAAUAGAAUAGUUUGUAUCCAUUCCUUGUCCAAUGGAGAGAAGUAUAGUGAUUGAUGGGUUCUCUUUUUUCACAGUGUCUACGAAUUUGGCGAUUUGAUUUUCAUCGGAUGGUAAUGAUAAAGAUAGCUGGUAAGUGGUGGAAUUGAUAUCAGCGUAAGAGCAAAUAAGGUGAGUGAAGAGAUCAUAAUUUAUGCCCGAAAUGGUGGACACUUCGCUUGAAUCCAAGUAACCGACCCUGAUCCACGGUUUUGCUUUCGCGGGAUAAAAUUCUGAAUAGAAUAACAUGUGGAAGAUGAUGCUGAUAAUUAUGGAUGCCAUUUGAGACUUUGUUAGGAAUGGAAAUGGAUCCACACAAGAGAAAUUAAAUAAACACUAGUUUCACAGAUCAUUUAAGUACUUAUGUAAACUAUUAACUUAUAGGUUCAUUUCGUUCCAAAAAAAUCUUAUGUGCUUCUGAUAGGGAAACAUACAUUGCAUGUUAUGAUGAUGAUAGGCGAUGCGACCAUUGCCUGAGAACUAAGAUUUUCUUCCAUCGCUUGGGUGACCUUUCACGAAGAAAAAUGAUGUUUUGAUUUACAUUUGGUUAAACUGAUGACAAAUUUCGGGCCAUAAAUAUCACUAUUGUUUUAUUAAAUAAUAAAAAAAUUAAUUUUACAUGUACGUUGAAAGUUAAUAUUGCAAUCACCAACAAGUGCGUAGAUCAACUGACAAGGGGUUGUUCUAGCUUAACCAAGGUCCUUGGUUCGAGACUUGAGAAUGCAGCUACGUUAAAUACUUGUUGGGAGAGUUUUGUCAUCCUAAUGGCCUUACACGGCUCGAAUCUGAAUUAGAGUUUUGUCACCCUAAUGGUCCUACACGGCUCGAAUCUGAAUUAGUCGAGACCCACUGAUACCAAAUGGCUUCAUAUACCAAAGAAAAAGUUAAUAUUGCAGUCUUUUGAGACUGUGUUGACGUUUAUUCGGUUCGUUUAUUAUAUAUUCCCGUUUUUCUCCCUGUCUGUUUGCUACAGUGCUCUUACAAGGAUAGCAUCUUUAAUGCACCUCAGAAGUAGUUAAGAAAGUCUUGAUAAAAAACCAGACAUUUUCUAUCUACUCAAAACGUAGUUAUUGGACUAAUUAAGAUUCUAAUCCCUUUAAUAAAUAUUCAAAAAGGGUUACUGUCACUACUCAGUCCUUGUUGUUUUAUAAAAAAAAAAAAAAAAGAUAUUUAAAGAGGCAUCACAUAAAUCCUUCCUAAUUACAUUUUGUUUCAUUCAAGUUGUUGACUUAAUUUGACUGCCUGGAAAAAUUAGUAAAGAGGUAAAAAUAAAAAAAAAGGUAAAUUCUAGUUAUUAGACUAAAUAUAUAGUAUAAAUUUGCAGCAACUAGCAAAAAGUUUAGAAUAUGAAAAAUCCUAUUUCAUUUAAAAAACAAUGAAAAUUCUAAUCAUUUUAAAAAAAAAAAACUCUGAAAGUUUGAAAAACUAAGAUUUUAAGAUCCUUUUACAAUAACCAUAAUUAACACAAAUUUCCGAAUUAUUAUUACAUAAUAAAAUUUUACUAAUAGAAAUAAGAAAACAAAACAAAUAGCACUCAAAUCGGAUAUAUAAAAAAAAAUCUUGAAAUAAAUAGAAAAAAUAAGAAAAUAACUAAAACUUGCAAAACGACCAUGAAAGAAAUGAAAUUUCCGGCCGAACCAAGGGGCCAAUGUGCAUAGUAUUAUUGGACUAGAUUUAUCAGACCACAAGCUUCAAAACAAUAUAUUAUAUUUCCUAAAUGGACACAUGUAGGUUAAGUUACUCAAUUGUAUUAGGAGCUGUCCAAGCAAAAUCUAGGCCCUCAAAGCCAUAAAGCCUAGCUAUUCUUAUUGAAGAGUCGAUGAAAGAUUUUCUGUGAGAAGAAUUUCUCACCAUUGAAGAAUAUAUAGAACAGUUUGUAUAUCUUCCUUGUCCAAUUGAGAGAAGUGUAGUGAUUGAUGGGUUCUUUUGUUUCACAGCGUCUGUAAAUUUGGGGAAUAUUUGAUUUCCAUCAAAUGGUGAUGAUAAAGAUAGCUGGUAAGUGGUGGAAUUGAUAUCAGCGUAAGAGCAAAUAAGGUGAGUGAAGAGAUCAUAAUUUAUGCGCGAAAUGGCGGACACUUCGCUUGAAUCCAAGUAACCGACCCUGAUCCACGGUUUUGCUUUCGCGGGAUGAAAUUCUGAAUAGAACAACAUGUGGAAGAUGAUGCUGAUAAUUAUGGAUGCCAUUUGAGAGGCUUAAGCUUCUUAAUUACCACUUCGAUGGGAAUGGAAAUGAAUGCACACUGACACCAGACACAAUAGAUGAGAAAGUACAACGUCACACACUCAAGAAAUCACAAGCUCACCACCACAGCAAACAACAAAAGGAUACAGAAAAAUAUUCACCACCUAAAGUUGUUAAGCUACGGAUACAGAGCUUAAAACACUCACCACUCAAUGGAAUCCACCAAAGAGAUACAGAGUUUGAUAAUAGCUCAAAGUUCAUUCAAUUUCUAAAAUUAAUCUUCGUCCUUUUGUUACAACUACAUAAGCUUAAAUAAUUUUCUUGGAACAAUCCUCCAAGCAUAGAUUUACUACAAAGAAACCCUUCAAAUAACUUGACUUUAAAGACCAACAUUAAAGCUAGACAUUAAUAAAACAUUAGUAUGCUUAAAACACAACAAAGAACAUUAAAAAAAAUCUAAGUCCCGAAAUAUUCUUCUUGACUCAAAACUGAACAGUCUGCACUUAACUGAUCAUAACUUACUGUAGAAAACUCCAAAUUUAGAUUAGUAAAAUUCAUUGGAAAGCUAACAGAAAUAUCUUUCCAAUGAUGUAUGGCUCGAAAAUUAAUUCGAUCUCAUGCAGUACAGUUUAAUUCCAAAAGAUGCCCCUUCUGCACAGAAAUUCUGCUCACUUGAUUAAUGUAAGAACUUGAGCUGCACUUGGUAUAACUUGAUUACCAAAUAUUUCAAACACUCCUGUGUUACACACUAAGAGAAAUUAAAUAAACACAAGGUUCACAGUUCAUUGAGCUCUCAUGUUAACGUAUAGGUUCAUUUCGUUGCAAAAAAAAAAAAUCUUACGUGCUCCUGAUAGUGACACAUACACUGCAUGUUAAGAUGAUGAUGGGCGAUGCGACCAUUGCCUAAGAACUAAGAUUUUCUUCUACCGCCUGGGUGACUUUCCAUGAAGAAACAUGAUGUUUUGAUUGACAUUUGGUUAAACUGAUGACAUAUUUUGGGCUACAAAUAUUAGUAUUGUUUUAUUAAAUAAAAAUAAUAAUAAUUUUACGUGCAUGUUGAAGGUAAUAUUGCAGUCUUUUGAGCCUGUGUUGAAUUUCAUUCGUGUGCGUUCAUUUAUUAUCCAUCCCCUUUUUUCUCUGAGUCUGCUAGCCGUAGUCAUCUUAAAACGAUAACAUGUUUAAUGCAUGUAAAUGCACCUCAGAAGUAGUCAAGAAAGACUUGAUCAAACCAGAAAAUUUUCCUCUUAACACAGACGUAGUUAUCGGACUAAUUAAGAUUCUAAUCCAUUUAAGAAAUAUUCAAAAAGGGUUAUUGUCACUACUUUAGUCCUUGUUGUUUUAUUAAAGAAAGAAAAAAAAAAGAAUAUAUUUAAAGAAGCAUCACAUAAAUCCUUCCUAAUUACAUUUUGUUUCAUUCAAGUUCUUGACUUAAUUUGACUGCUUGGAAAAAUUAGUAAAAAGGUAAAAAUAAAAAAAAUGUAGAUUGAUAUUAAGGAAUUCAGCAAGCAAGCUACAAGAAUAUCCAAAAGCGUGUAAUUUAUGUUUAAGGAAAUAAGUGGAGAUAGAGAUGAAAUUGUAAAUUCAUCCCAAUCUUAAGUGGUUUAAUUCAAGAUGUAUGUUAGCUACAAGCACAGUAAGCAUGGUGAUGUCUCUCUUUAACGCAGGGGACACAACAAAAACACUGUAUUUCUACCCUUUUAAAAAAUUCCAAUAAUAUGUACACGUUAUAUAUAAGAUAUAAAAAUCAUUACUUUUAGUAUAAGAUAUAAAAAAAAAAUCAAUUAAUAACCAUUAGAGAAUAAAAAUUUAUGUAAUUGAUGCAGAUAAAUGGAAUCAAGUAGUAACAUUUCCUUCUCAUUGAAGAGAAAAGAUUUAAAAAAAAAAAGGGGAACGCAAACAUGACAAUUUUUUUUAUCCGCACACGCCAUGAUAAUCGAUAAUCCGAUAUACCAACCGCGUCUAAUUGUCUGAAUUCUCCAGCUUACCAAGCUUGCUCAAUCGCACCGACAGACACUGACAAUGGGAGAUUAAUCACCACUCGCAGUAUUCGACGCGUGAAGGACACAUUCACCAAUAAUUUAUAGCGGACAGUAGCAUUCCCGAUGCUGCACGGAGAAAAAUAGUUGGAUUUGCGUAAGUUAAAUUGACUUGACUCGAGAGAGUGAAGAAUGGUGGUGGUUGCUGUUAAGCAGUCAGUACUUCUGGCGACUGCUUGGCUUACACGCAGUUCUUGGGGGUGUCAUUUGACUGUGAAAAAGAAUUUUGGCUUUAUUGAUAUCAUGUUGGAUUUGGAAUUUUGGAUGGCUUCGUUUGGACCAUAAGACGCUAUCUCAUCCAUAACACGUUAGCAGUCCUUCUCACGGGAGAAAAACUGGGGUGGGAUUGAGCAAGAUUAUAUGAGUCCUCGAAGUGUCACUUACAAAUUUUUAAUUAUAAAUGACUGCCGAAUAAUUAAUCAAAAUUUUAUUAUUUAUGGUUAUAAUUAGAAUGAUAAGAAAUCAAUUCGAUGUUAUUCUUUGUGGCUCUGCUUAGAAUACUAAAAAAUCAAGUCGACUUACUUAUCUUUAUGUUGAUCAUUACAGGCCUUUUGAAUUUUUUAUCUACUUUAGUUGUAAGUAAUAUAACUUCACUUUUUUUUCUUUACUUUGGUUUGGUUUUCUUUAUAACUCAUAAAAAUUUUCUCGUUAAGAUUGUAUGAACCAAUUGAAACUUCAGAUUUGUAUGAACCAAUUGAAACUUCAGAUUCAUACUAGAAUUAUGAUGAUUCAAUAAAACCUUCAAAUUAAAUUCACAUAUUCCAUGAGGGAGAACCCUUGGAUUACAUUUGUUCAAGUUUAUGCUUUGAGUAAAAUAAAAGUAGAAAUAGGAAUUUGAAAGAAGAAAUUUAGUUAUAAAAAAUUAUCAAAUAAUUAAUUGUUUGGCAUUUAUUUUAUGGGUCCCAACCCAUGUGAUCCGCCAAAUGAGACGUCUUAUGUGAUUGGUUAUGCCAUGGUGCGCUAGCCACAUUUAAGUUUCUCUCUUCUUAUGGAUAUAACUGUAUAUGGGUGGCGUUAUAUAGUGCCCCACAUGGGCUCAUUAAAAUUAUUUUAUGUGCAUUUUAAACAUACCCUCUUUAUUGAUUUGAAACACCAAAAAUACCUCUCUUAAAUUUUAAAAAUAUAAAAAAAAAUUACGUGUUAAAACAAUGCUUGAUGUCUCUAGCCUAACAGUUAGCACACCUAUUGUAUACACUUUUACUUUUUUCUUCUCUAAUUUUUUACUCCUCUUUUCUCUAAUUCUUCACACUUCACUACUCUUUUAUCUCUAAAAAAAUUAAGCAAUCUCUAGAAGCUUAUUACUAAUUUUUUGAUCAAAUUACUUAUAUAAGUACUCUUGAUUGAUUAACACUUCUUUAAUUUUUUUUGGGGAUUUCUCUUAGAUGAAAGAAUUAAGGUUAUGUUCUAAAAAAAAUUUAACUCCCAUAUUAUGGUUUUGAUAAUGCGAUUAUCCUUAAAUUUUUCAACAUAUUAAAAUACUUUGAAACAACUGUAAAUGUGUUGAAUGAAAUAUUCUAAUAAAUUUAUAUUUUGGUACUUAUUAAUUAUUUAACUUUUUUCUUAAAAUUACAUUACUAUUUCAGCUUAGCCCUUGUGACAUUAAAUUCCUGAUAGCGCCACUAAAUGUAAGUUUUAAACUCAUGUUCGAUUUCUCCCAUGUUCAAACUCUACCUUUAAUUUAUAUUUCAAUUUUGUGGCCUACUUUUGAGUUUCUAAUUUCACAUAGAAGGCAUGUUAAACUUACCUUAGAUGCAAUAUUAAGAAAUCAAAUACACCAUGUGCAUUAGUGGGGGCGAAAAAAAAAAGAAAAGAAAAAGUCUUUUAUUGGUAAAAGAUGAAAGCUCUUCGGCACUGAUCAGAAGAAAAAUCAUUCUCCAUACAAUGAGCAAAACAAAGUCCAAUUCGCAUUGCAUAGAAGUAAGACCGAAGCAUUGGACUAAAAGCAUACACUAGUCUUAUUUUUCGUUACUGAUAACAUUUUUUUUCCCCUUAUAUUAUCACCUUAAUUAAGAAAAAUAAUAAUUUGUUUAACUAUUUGCGAAAAAGGAUGGCAAUAUACAAUAUUAUUGUGUUGAUGACCUUGAAAGCCAAUUCUUUUGAAACAGAAAAACUGUUUUUGUGUUUUGAUUAUGUUAAGCAAAUGAAUGGUCUUUAAGAGUUAUGAAAAUGUUAUCAAUAAAAUUACAAACUCUUAAGAGUUUAUAGAUGUAGUUAGUGAUAUUACAUUACAUUAAUUAAUACAAUACAAACUGUUUACUAAUAGAGCCUCAAGAGAGUAAUUCAUUAUUUAGUUGGCAAAUUAAACAACUGCAGCAGUCACUAGCAGCCUUCCAUGAGCUAGCAUAGAUCAAUUGUUCAUUUACCAACCAAUUGUGAAAUUGUUACAUCAUUACUUGAACAUAUUUCCAAUCCAAUCAUGGCUUUGUUUUGUUCAUCUUCAUAAGCUUUGUUUGAGAAACUUGCAGGCUUCUUUGGAGUCAUUAUAUCAGCUGUAUUCUCAUUUUCGAGCAUCGAAGAAAUUUCCAGUAUAGAAGACCUCUUGUUUGGGUUCUCCUGAACACAUAGCAAAGCUACUUGGAGACAUGUCAAUAAUUUCCACGAGGAAUUCGUAUCAUCUAGUGAUGGAUCCAUUAACUCCACGCCUUUCCCAUCCUUCCACAACUCGUAUGCCUGAAAACAUCAAAUAAGUUAUCGAGUUACAUUCCAUUGAUUAGCACUAUAAUGUUUUGAUUCAGUGUGUAUUAGAAAGGGGGUUAUGAAGAAACUUACAUACUCUACAAGGCUUAGAUUUUCAUUUUGACCAUAUCGAAUGAAAAGUCUUCUUCCACUUAUAAUUUGUAGAACCAAAACUCCAAAACUGUAGACAUCAGAUUUAGUGGAGUAGACUCCUCUUCCAAUAUAUUCAGGAGGAAUAUAGCCUCUAUAGUAUCGAGUAAUUACAAAUGUUACUAAAACUAUUUGACGUAAAAGAUUAAGUUGAUUGGUAAAGGUUCAACAAUAAUAUUAAAGACAAGUCAGAAAAAAAAUAGAAAAAUAUAUACUUACUGGGUUCCAACAAUUCGAUUUGUGUUUGCUUCAAGAUCAUCUUUCACGAAAAUUCUAGCCAAGGCAAAAUCUGAUAUUUUAGGUUUCAAAUCUUCAUCCAACAAAAUAUUACUAACUUUUAAGUCUUGAUGAAUAAUUGUUAAUCUAGAAUAUUCUUGGAGAUAGAGAAGCCCCUGAAUAAUUCCUUGAAUGAUAUGAAUACGUUUUUUUCCAAUCCAAAAUAAACCUUCUGAUGGGAUCUGCAUCAAAUGUAAAUUUAGUUGGACGGUCAGUACCAUUAGCAUUUGGAGACGAGAAAUGCAAAUUGAGGCACAAAAAUUAGAAAUUAAGCAGUUAAGCACAUACAAAAAAGGAAAUAGUCUAAGCUUCGUUUUGGUAUAUACUCAUAGAUGAGCAUAUAUUCUUGUGUGUCAAUGCAAAAACCCAAAACUCUGAUCAAAUUUACGUGUUGAAGCUUUGCAGUAAGCAUAACCUCAUUCUUGAACUCCUCAAAUCCUUAUGUGGAUGUCUUCGAUAGUUUCUUCACUGCUAUUAUUUGUCCAUCAGAUAAUACACCCUGCAAGCACCCCCCAAAAUAUAUGUUUUUUUAAAAAUCAGUGUGUUCACACAUGUUGAAAAGUCAUGCACGUGACAUUGAAAUUCAAAAAUGAAUGCAAAAUUUCAAAUGGCUACCAAACAUUUGAAGAAAAAAUGGAAAGUUGGCAAAUUUGUCAAAUUUGCCAAAUGGACACCAUUGACUAUUGGCUUAGGUUAUGUGGAAUAGUAAAAGGGUUGGUGCAAUAGUGCCAUUAUUUUCCCUAUAAAUAGAUGGCACUUCUUCCAUUCUAAAUCAUCCCAAAAUUGUUAAGCUUAUAAGUUUCUAAGCUUUUGAGAGAAGUGAGAGAAGUGUGUCUGAGGAAUUUAUCUUUCCUGCAGAGUGUGAGAGUACUGGGUAUAUUUGGGUUUCUGGGAAGUGAGAUUCGUUACUCAAAUAUUGUAUUCUAUUAAUUGUUAAAUAAACAAUUAUUCUUUCUUGCCUUCGUGGAUGUAGGUUUAAUUACCAAACCACGUAAAUUCUUGUGUCCUUUAUUUUUCAGUAAUUAUUUGGUGCGCUUGAUUCCGCAUUCCGCGCACAACAAGUGGUAUCAGAGCCGACGGUUCGUACUUGGGGGGAUACGGUACUAUUCACGUAUACGGUACUGUUCACGUAUACGGUAAUGUUCAUGUAUACGGUACUAUUCACGAAUACGUUGGAGACGGCCAUUUGUACUUGGGAGACAGUCUAUUGUAAGUAGUGUGUAUUUUUGCAUGUCUAGGAAAGUUCUGUCAAAAAAGGCGAUAAGAGUCUAAGGAUUCUGGUUUUUAAUUGGGACCGAAUUCCCGUCCAGUUUUCUGGGAACUUUCCUGGUGCAUUUAUUCACGCGAAAUUAACAUCAUAGAGGCUGUUUUUCAAGUGGAAAUAGUUCGUUGAGAAAAAUCGUAGAAGGUGAAACUUCCAGAAUUGGGGAGAGAUCUACCGAGACUAUUUCAGGAGACAUUUCAGGUGGGAGGCGAGAUUUGUCAAAUCGCUAUUCAGCACCUGUUAUAGGAGGCCAGAAGAUCGAUGUUGAAAAGUUUGAUGGGAAAAUCAACUUCGGCAUGUGGAGGCGCGAAGUUAUGGAUGCCCUUAUUCAAAUCGAUCUCGAUGUUGUCCUGAAAAAUAAAAGACACUUGUAUGAUGAAGAAAUUUGGGAUCGUAUGAACGAGAAAGCCUGUGGUCAGAUCAGAUCUUGUUUGACCAAGGAGGUGAAAUACUUGGUGAAAGAUGAGGAGUGUGCAGUGACUUUGUGGCGUACAUUGGAAGAGAAGUACCUGGUGAAAAGUCCUGAAAAUCGUCUUCAUGCAAUGAGCCAAGUAUAUGGCUUUCGAAUGAAGUCUGGGGUGUCAAUGCACGAUCAUGUUUCAAGAUUUAAAAAGUUACUUGCUGAUUUGAAGAAUCUUGAUGAAGAUAUUAAAGAUGAAGUCAAUGCUAUGAUUCUGUUACACUCACUACCAGAGGAAUAUAGCCAUUUUGUGACUACUUUGAUAUAUGGGAAGAGUGUGAUCGUCUUUAAAGAUGUUUGCACAGCAUUGACUAGUUUGGAGAUUCGGAAUAAUGAUAAAAAUUCUGAACGAGCAUCGUCUGAAGCUUUGGUGAGCAGAGAUUGGGCGAUGGAGAAAAAGAUAAAUGGUGGUGGAAAGAAUUCUCGAUCCAAAUCGAGAAGCAGAAAUAUAGCUCGAGAUGAGUGUGCCUUUUGUCAUGAAAAGGGCCAUUGGAGGAAAGAUUGUCCAAAGGCUCAAAAGAGAGAUGGGAAAAAACCAGCAUCAGCAAACAUGGCACGGAAAGAUGAGGACUCUGAUUAUUCACUAAGUAUCACUCCUGCAGCAUAUGUGGCUAGUUCGAGUGAGUGGAUACUUGAUACUGGAGCAACCUAUCAUUUGUGUCAUAUUAAGGAAUGGUUUACGGAUUUUCGUAAUCUGGAAUCCGGUGCAGUUAUGAUGGGGAAUAAUCAACCUUGUCGCACAAUGGGGAUAGGAACAAUUCGGCUCAAAAUGUUUGAUGGAAUGGUCAGAGAACUCAAAGAGGUUAGAUUUGUUCCAGAGAUAAAGAAAAAUCUAAUUUCUGUGGGUGCUUUGGAAGCUAAAGGUUACAAAGUUACCAUUGAAGAUGGCACAAUGAAGUUUACACAUGGGGCUAUGGUGAUUCUGCAAGGGGUUCGGCGUCACAAUCUGUACUAUUUGAAAGGAGGUACAACUGAUGAAGCAAAUGUUGUUGAGGCGCACAGUGACACCACCAAGCUAUGGCAUGUACGACUGGGACAUGCAGGAGAGAAGUCUUUGCAAACUCUGAUGAGGCAUGGACUCUUAAAAGGUAUCAAAACCUGUAAAUUAAAUUUCUGUGAGCAUUGUGUAGUAGGCAAAAAAACAAGGGUCAAGUUUGGUACAGCUAAUCACGAUACUCGUGAGAUCCUUGAAUAUGUUCAUAGUGAUGUAUGGGGACCAACCAAGACUGCAUCAAUUGGUGGAAGCCAUUAUUUUGUUAUAUUUGUUGAUGAUUUCUCUAGACGUGUAUGGGUGUACACCAUGCGAGCAAAGGAUGAGGUUCUAGAGAUUUUCGUGAAGUGGAAGAAAUUGGUGGAGACUCAAACUGGCAGAAAGAUCAAAGUAUUACGAUCUGAUAAUGGGGGUGAAUAUACUUCUGAUCCAUUCUUGCAAGUAUGCCAGAACGAGGGUAUUAAAAGACAUUUCACAGUGAGACAUACUCCGCAACAGAACGGUGUGGCUGAGCGUAUGAAUCGUACUUUACUGGAGAAGGUACGAUGUAUGUUAUCUAAUGCUGGUUUAGAUAAAAAGUUUUGGCCUGAAACUGUGAGCUACGCAAGUCACUUGGUAAAUCGGUUGCCUUCUGCUGCAAUUGGAGGUAAAACUCCUAUGGAAAUGUGGUUUGGAAAGCAUGCACAAGACUAUGAUUCCCUUCGUGUAUUCGGGUGUCCAGCUUAUUAUCAUGUCAAAGAUGGUAAACUGGAUCCUCGUGCUAGAAAAUCUAUCUUUGUGGGAUUCAAAGGUAGAGUAAAGUGCUUCAAGCUUUGGGAUCUCGAAGACAAAAAGUUUGUGUGUAGCAGAGAUGUCACAUUUGAUGAAGCUUCAAUGAUAAAAGCUUCAAGUUCUCAGCAGGUGGAGAACAAGACCACAUAUGUAUUGCAGCGGGUGGAGUUUGAUGCAACUCCAUAUGUACCAGUUAGUUCUACAUCAAAGAAUGGUUCAACUAUGGAGGUGACACCUAAAGUUGAAGAAGAGGUUGUUUCUUCUGAUGUCCCACAAAAUGAAGAAACAAUUGAUGAUGUAGAUGAUGAUGAUUUUAUAGCAACAAGGAGGCCAAGAAGAGAGAUAAAGAAACACGGAUGGCUUACUAAAGAUAUGGUGGUAGCCUAUGCACUUUCAGUUAUUGAUGAUGACAUCCCCAAUACUUUCGGUGAAGCAUUACGCAGUAAUGAAAGUGAUCAGUGGAAGCUAGCCAUGGAGGAAGAGAUGAAAUCUCUCCAUCAAAACCAGACUUGGGAACUUGUAAAGUUACCAAAGGGGAAAAGGGCUAUUGGCAAUAAAUGGGUCUACACCAAAAAGCAAGGAUCUCCGAAUCAAACAACUCCUCGAUACAAGGCAAGGCUCGUGGCAAAAGGUUUUGCUCAAAAGGAAGGUAUUGACUACAAUGAAGUUUUGUCUCCAGUUGUAAAACAUACUUCCAUUCGUAUCCUACUUGCCUUAGUUGCAGAAUAUGAAUUAGAGUUGGCUCAGUUGGAUGUUAAGACGGCGUUCUUACAUGGAGAUUUGGAGGAGGAAAUCUACAUGAUUCAGCCUUGUGGUUUUAGAGUUGCUGGAAAGGAGAAUCAUGUGUGUAGGUUGAUUAAAUCUUUGUACGGACUGAAGCAAUCGCCAAGGCAGUGGUAUAAAAGAUUUGAUCAAUUUAUACAAGGGCAGAAAUUCACCAGAAGUGAACACGAUCAUUGUGUUUACUUUAGAAGACUACCAGAUAGAGCUUUCAUCUAUUUGCUACUCUAUGUCGACGAUAUGCUUAUAGCUUCGAAGAAUAGAGAUGAGAUCGAAAGAUUAAAGAAGCAGCUGGCUUCUGAGUUCGAGAUGAAAGACUUGGGUGAUGCACAGAGAAUACUUGGGAUGGAGAUUUGUAGAGACAAGAAGAAUGGGAGCGUAUGGUUGACUCAAAAGUCUUAUUUGAAGAAAGUGCUAGAAAGAUUCGGUAUGGAUGACAAAACUAAACCGGUAUGUACACCUCUAGCUCCUCAUUUCAAAUUAGGCUCUUCUUCAUGUCCUAAAUCUCAAGAGGAGCGCGAUUACAUGGCUCGUGUUCCAUAUGCUAGUGCUGUGGGUAGUCUUAUGUAUGCUAUGGUAUGUACAAGGCCCGAUAUAUCUCAAGCAGUAAGCAUGGUUAGUAGAUACAUGCACGAUCCGGGUAAAAGUCACUGGCUUGCAGUAAAGUGGAUUCUUCGAUAUCUGUAUGGGACAGUUGAUGUUGGGUUAUUGUUCAAGAAGGAUUGUGGUCAACAAUGUGUUGGCUAUUGUGAUUCUGAUUUCGCUGGAGACCUUGACAAGCGAAGAUCAACAACGGGCUACGUAUUCACAUUGGGUGGAGGUCCAGUUAGCUGGAGGUCAAUUUUGCAAUCGACAAUUGCUCUGUCCACUACGGAAGCAGAGUACAUGGCAACAACUGAAGCUGUAAAGGAAGCUAUCUGGUUGAAAGGCUUGUUAGGUGAUUUGGGAGUAAUCCAGGAGAACAUUACGGUCUUCUGUGAUAAUCAAAGUGCGAUAUUCCUUGCGAAGAAUCAAACAUAUCACGCUCGGACAAAGCACAUAGAUGUGAAAUAUCAUUAUGUGAGAGAGAUUAUCGAGAGCGAUGUUGUGUUGUUGAGAAAGAUCGAUACCAAAGAUAAUCCAUCAGAUAUGUUGACGAAGGUAGUUUCUGGAGUUAAGUAUCAACAUUUCUUGAAAUUAAUUCAAAUCCUUCGAUUGUGUUAAAGAUAUGUCCUUCGGGAAUUUUGAACUACGGUUGGCUUGAUCCCAAAUUUUGGGUACGUAGGCAGUCGAAACGACACAGCCAUUCUGGAUCCUUAUUGAAGGAUCACUUUGGGGAUGAGGGUUCGUUGGUAGUCGGCUCAGAUUUGGACAAAUUUUCGCCGAGGUGGAGAAUUGUUGAAAAGUCAUGCACGUGACAUUGAAAUUCAAAAAUGAAUGCAAAAUUUCAAAUGGCUACCAAACAUUUGAAGAAAAAAUGGAAAGUUGGCAAAUUUGUCAAAUUUGCCAAAUGGACACCAUUGACUAUUGGCUUAGGUUAUGUGGAAUAGUAAAAGGGUUGGUGCAAUAGUGCCAUUAUUUUCCCUAUAAAUAGAUGGCACUUCUUCCAUUCUAAAUCAUCCCAAAAUUGUUAAGCUUAUAAGUUUCUAAGCUUUUGAGAGAAGUGAGAGAAGUGUCUGAGGAAUUUAUCUUUCCUGCAGAGUGUGAGAGUACUGGGUAUAUUUGGGUUUCUGGGAAGUGAGAUUCGUUACUCAAAUAUUGUAUUCUAUUAAUUGUUAAAUAAACAAUUAUUCUUUCUUGCCUUCGUGGAUGUAGGUUUAAUUACCGAACCACGUAAAUUCUUGUGUCCUUUAUUUUUCAGUAAUUAUUUGGUGCGCUUGAUUCCGCAUUCCGCGCACAACAACACACACACACGUAGCUUGCACUAAUUAAUUAAUAAGCUGAGAGAUAACCAAGCUACCGAUACAUAACCUUGUAAACAGGACCAUAUCCACCCUCCCCGAGCUUAUUUUCAAUUAAAAAUCUAUCCGUGGCCACCUCAAUAUCAGCCAAGCUAUAUUCUCUCAGAUCAGGAUCAUUGCUGUUAAAAUCUCCAGCAUCCGCUUGUCUAUUUUCGCUGUCCUUUGAUGCUUUGGCUGAGUCAAUUACGGUCCAAUUAAUAUCAACCAAGAGAAAGAAAGCUAAUUUAAGUGAAUCGCCCACUUCUUCAUCUGUGUUAAAUGGAAUAGAAGUAAAAAUAUUCCUAAUCCCGUGUAGAAGAAGUUACCUUUUAAUUUGAGGUUUUUCAUCCAGCAGUAGUAAUACAGCAAAAAGCCUAUUAGAAGAAUACAAGCUGCAGUUAUAGGCAAAACAAUUGCCCAUAAUAGCCGCUUAUUUUGUCGAUUCCUUUCAUCCUCUUCAGCUGAAAAGUCAAAUCACUUUGUGUUAUUUAACCACUGAUGGUCAAAUAAAGAUCUUAAUUGAAGUCAUUAUGCAGAGAACUGAUCGAAUGGGUAGCAGGCAGUGAGUGAGGCUUUGCAUUUGCUUACCUGCAGCUUGAGAAAGCAUCCAAUAAUGAUCACUGGAAACUUGCCACACAUAGUAACCACGUAGCUUCUUUUCCUUGGCAUAUGCAACCUUCACUCUAACAGCCUCGACAUCAUCAAAACCAAACCAAAUCUUCCCAAUCGAGCAGUAAUUCACGACAUAAGUUGAAUUGUACAUUACUUGAACAUUAGGACGAUAGUUCUUGAUGUGAUUCUUGACUUCCUUAUAAGUCACAAGGCCAUCAUCAUGCAAAGCUGGUCCUGUUGUUGCUGCGCCAAUGCCAUUGUCCUCAGGUUUCACAAGCGUCCAUGCAUAGCCAUAAAAAGGCAAACAUAAAACCAAUUUAUCAGCCGAUAACCCUUCCUCAAUCCAUUCCGUGAUUCCAUAUUCAGUAUUAGAGACACUAUUUGGAUCAUACAGAGCCGCAUGAGCACCAGUAAAAUUUUUCCGCGUAGGGCUUGAGUAUUCGGUAGUGAUAACAUGAACCCAAUUCAAGUACUGUCUUAUCGAGUCGACUGGAUAAGCUGCUGCUGUUGAGAGUGGUGAAUAUGCGACCUUUGCUGUCAAAAUCAACUGUGAUUGGCUCGAGUUAUUUCUUGCUUCUAAAGCAACGGCAGCUCGCCAUUCUUUUAAAGAGAAUGCCAAUAUUGUACUUAUCCCAGUUUGUGUUUGCCUGAUUCCAAGACAGAUCUAAGCCUUGAAAGCCAUAAAGCCUUGCUAUUUUUAUUGAGGAGUCAAUAAAGUAUUUCCUGAAAGAAGGAUUGCCCGCCAUGGAAGAAUAACUUGAAUAGUUUGGAUUAUUGCCUCCUCCGAUGGAAAGAAGAGUAGUGAUUGAUGGGUUCUUUAUUUUGACAGUGUCUGUGAAGUUGGAGAAUUGUUUUUCAUCAGAAGGUGAUAAAGAAAGCUCAUAGGAAGUUGAGUUGACAUCGGCAAAACCACACAUAAGGUGAGUGAAAAGAGCAGAAUUUACAUCUGAAACGGGGAACCCACCGUCUGAAUCCCAGUAACCAGCUCUGAUUAAAGUUUGUGCCCUUGCAGGAAGCGAUUCUGAAAAUAUAAAAAUGUAGAGUACAAGAAUGAUAAUUUUGGAUGCCAUUGUGGGAACCUUGCUGCUUUGAGGCAAACCUAGUAUGUGAUUACAUAUAUAUGUACAGACACAAAAUGUAAUGGAGAAAAUAUCCGACACCGAUUGAGAUUUGUUAUUGGACUAUAAUACAAACUUGAGGCAACUUUCAACUCAUGAGCUUAGCUCAUAAGUCUUUAUACGGUAUCAAAGUCAAGUUUCGAAAGAGUGACUCUAUACUACCUUUCAAUUUAACAAAGAGAAAGAAAAGAGAUCAGCCUACACGUGGUAGGAAGAUAGAAAAAGUAUAUCACAUUGGCUAAGAUUAAUUACUAGGUUGAUAAUAUAAGCUCAAAACAACAUUUAACUGUUGCGGAAAUGUGGGUUGAGCAAUUACUAAUACUGCAACUUCUGAAGAAAUAUAAAUGUGGUGUUAAACAAAUGCAAAGAAAAUAUAACACAAUGAUUUACGUGGUUCGGCGUAAUGCUUACAUCCACAGGCAAAAACUAAAAGAUAAUUUUACUAACAAUGAAAAUUUACAAAAGUGAGAAAAAUUCACAAAACCCACAACCCCAAUACACCCAAAUGAAACCUAACUAGAACACUCAAAUGGAAGCUCUCGUAAAUUCUCUCAAAGAACUCACUUGCAAUUGCUCUCUCCAUUUCUUUCAAAUUGGGAUGAUUUACAAAUGCAUUUUGCUUCUCUAUUUAUAGGCAAAGCAUGCUCACCCACCACACGGCUUCAAUUUGACUUUAAUUGGCUAAAUUGACAAAUUUGGCAAUUGGUGCCAAAUUUGUCAUGCAAUGCAUGCUAGCUGUUCCAUGCCAUUUAUUCAAUUUGCAUAUUUUCAAAACCUAACUUUGCUUUUUUGAAAUUGGUAAGCCGACCAUUUGACUUUUCAACAUCAACUCCAUAACAAGCUGUAAUUUAAUAAAGUUAGGUCAACUCGAUAUUUUAUAUAGUACGUCAUGAGUGAGGAGGAGUUUAAGCUACAAAUCGCAGUCAUGAGUGAGGACAAAUUUGAUUCUCUCAAGAUUUUGCGUUUUGUACACGUUGAUCAUGGACUGAAUCAAAAUAGAAAAUAUUUUCACAGGAGUUUGCCUUCAAAUUGCACGAAUGGAACCAUAGAGGAAUACAUCGAAAAGUUUGUCUUCUUGCCAUGAUGUUAAGUGAGAAGAUUGAAGUUCUUAAAUUAAGCUAUGACGUUUUACCUCCACUUAGCUUGACUUCUGAAGCUGAAGACUCAUCCUUUUGCAUUGACUUUGUUGGUAUUUAAAUGACCUCGGAGUCUUGGACGUGUUUCUGAAGCAAUGUCAUGGUCUAUGAGUAGAUUUUAUUUUUUGGGUAAGAAAGGGAAAGUCUGUCGUUAGGAAAACAUCCUGACAACGAGAUGGUGAGAGGGGAUGAAAAAGAAAUUAUACACUUAGUUACUUCCUCAUGAUAAGAUUCAGUGGUAUUGUAAUUUUAAUAAAAAAUUAAGACCAUUUUGCCUUUUUCCUUGUGUAAUUUAAUUUUCAGUCAAGACCACCCUCCCAUUUUAGUACAGGGAAAUUAUCAUUUGUAUAUUCUUAGUUUACUCCAUUAUCAAAAAUAUUACAACACUUUGAGGGUGUAUCAAUCGUCUACCCUAAGUUGACAAAAUGUAUUAGCUGACCACCAAACCGUUAGUUGCCGUUUAAGUAUGAUGAUAUCAGAAGGGUAAUUUGGUUUUUUCAUAUGAUACAAGUGAUAAUUUAAGGGUAUACAAGUGAUAAAAAGAGAAUUUAAGGGUAUACAAGUGAUAAUUUUCAAGGGUAAAAUCGUCAAUUCACUGUAAUUCCGUUAACUUUCAAACGGCAACUAACGGUUUGGUGGUCGGCUGAUACAUUUUGUCAACUAAGGGUGGACGAUUGAUACACCCUCAAAGUGUUGUAGUAGUUUUGAUAACAGAGCAAAUAUAAGGUAUACGAAUGAUAAUUUUCCUUUAGUAUAAAAGCCUAUACAAAUGUACGUUUUACUCAAUGUUUACAUAGAAACAAAUGGCGCGAAGACGAUUUGUCAAUCUAGUACCACUCUCGUAUACUUGGUAAGAUUUGGCUUCACCAAAUUGUAGCCUAUAUUUUACUUUAAUGAGAAAAUCAAAUAAUAUAUGUUUGAACAAAUAAUUUUCUUUGCUCUAUAUACUUUCUUAAAAUGUAUGGAGUGGGUAAAGUAUAAAUUGAUCUCUUAGCCCGUUGACUCCUCCAAAAUUCAAACUCAAUUUAAUGGUAAGUUAAAUAAUGCUACUUGAAAAUCAUUCCACCAAAUAUCAUAAAAACUAUAAUUAAGUUUCACUGAUUAUUGAAUUAUAGAAUGUGCUAUCAUUUCCUAGCUAGAAUUUGUUUAAUUCUAUUAAUUUACAAUCAUUUUUAUUUUAUUUAAUUAAUUAAAGUGAAUUUAUUAUGUAUAAGUUCUAUAUAUGUAAAAUUUUAAAAUCUAAUGUUGAAUUGAAUUGUACUGAACUUUUUAUAAUUUUUUAUCACGCCUGCAAAUUUAACAGUUUUGUAUUAAUAUUGAUAGCACAUAAUAUAUAGGAUUAAGAGAGAUUGGUUUCGAGUUGCUACAAGCAUUUUGGGAUUGCAUGCACAAGGGUUUAUAAACAAAGGGUGCAAUUAAUUACCCCAAACGAGGGUGCAUUUUUAUGAUGAAAUAAAAACUACGUGCGGGGUUGUAAAAGUGGCUCCAUAAUUAAUGUACAUUAACAUUCAUCUAGCUAUCACCUCCGAAAAUGAUACAGCAUAAGCCGAGCAUUUUUCCAAUUGUGUUGUAGAUAAUAGUUCAAUCCCAAUUUCAUCAACUUGUUUUGAGAAAGGAGGCUUCUUGGGAGUAUUAAUAUUUGUGGUUCCAUUCUUGAGCAUUGAGGAAACUUCCAGCAUUGAAGGUCGGUCGUUUGGAUUCUCCUGGACACACAACAAAGCUAUUUCCAGACAUCUCAUUAAUUUACAAGGGGAAUUUGUAUUGUCUAGGAAUGAAUCCACAAACUCCACGCCUUUGCCACCUUUCCACAACUGAUAUGCCUGAAAUUAUCAAGUACCAUCUCGUUACAUAAUUUAUACUUCUUAAUUAAGUGCGCAUAUGUGUACUCAGGGUUACUAUAGCCGAAGAAACUUACGUGCUCUAGAAUGCUUAAAUUUUCAUUGAUGCCACAUAACACUGAAAGCCUCUUUCCACUUAUGAUUUGUAGAAGUAAAACUCCGAAACUAAAAACGUCUGAUUUGGUAGAGUAUACACCUUGUCUGGCGUACUCAGGAGGAAUAUAGCCUCUGCAUUCAAAAUAACCAAGUAUAUAUGAGUAAGGGAUUUUGCAAUUUAAUAAAUUUGUAAAACCCAUUUUAAAUUGUGGUAAAAGUCCAUUCCGCAUUUUAUUAAAGUGCUGAAUUCCUUAUUCGAAACCCAAUAUAUGUAUAACAAACAGAAGCUUGAGUAAAGGAUAUCAUUUAGUUGUGAUAUACUUACAUUGUUCCCACAACUUGUUCUGAUUCGCGUCGAGACUCUCUUUUGCAAAAAUUCUAGCCAUACCAAAAUUUGAAAUUUUAGGUUUCAUAUCUUGACCUAACAAAACAUUACUGGCUUUCAAGUCUCGAUGAAUAAUAGUCAGUCUUGAGUAUUCUUGGAGGUAUAAAAGUCCUUGAGUUAUCCCUUCAAUGAUAUGAACAUGUUUUUUCCAAUCCAAAAGAAGUCUUCUGAUGGGAUCUACAACAAAUAUAUAGUUUUGGACAAUAAGUGAUAUACAAGCGAAUUAUAUACACAAUUGAUAUUAACUUGAUUUCAGAACAAACCAAAAAGGUAGCAAUCCAAGCUUUUGUUUGGCAUGUAUUCGUAGACCAGCAUCCGUUCCUCACUGUCAAUGCAAAAACCUAAAACUCUAAUAAGAUUUACAUGUUGGAGUUUUGCAGUAAGAAUAACCUCAUUCUUAAACUCCUCAAAUCCCUGUGCGGAUGAUUUCGAAAGUUUCUUCACUGCUAUCACCACUCCACAGGGUAAUACACCCUGCAACCCAAAAAAAAACCACGUUCAUAUAAAGCUUUCACUAAUUAGAGACGCUGAGAAAUGUUAGCCAAACAAUAUGCUACCCCCCAAAGUUGAGGGCACCAUUUUAAGUCCUUUAGUCCCCAUGGACGCAAAAUGUAAAUCUCCUCUCACAGAAUAUGGAUAUGGGUAGAGGUAUCUUCCUCAAAUGUUAGUCAAAGUAGUUAUAUCCCUCUAGUGUGAGGUUAAAGGUCUCAUCUCUAAUAGGCAUAGAGUUUUAAAUUAUAUGUUUUGGGCCUCUGAAUUCUACGACGAGUGUACAAAUUCAAACUUCCGAUAGGAUCCAAAUUGCAACAUUGUGGAUUGUAACAAAUUAAAAUAUAGGUACACACACACACACACAUGUUACCUUGUAAACAGGACCAUAUCCACCCUCCCCAAGGUUAUUUCUAAUUGAAAAUCCCUCGGUGGCCGCCUCAAUAUCAGCCAAACUAUAUACUCUGAGAUUAGGAACAUUUCUGUUAAAGUCUCCAGCUUCUGUUUCAUUAUUUUCUCUCGUGUUUGAUGCUUUAGCAGAAUCCUCUGUUCCUAACAUCAACCAAGAGUAAAUAUUAGAUAAUUAAUUGUAUGUCAGCCUAAGUUUUAUAUAUAUAUGAAAUGCAUGCUUAAUUAUAAUUGGUAGCUGAAGCUUGUUACCUUCUAUUAACUUGAGCCUUUUCAUCUGGUUGUAUUUAUAUGCACAACAACUUAGAAGGAGAGUCAAAGCUGCCGCUGCAGUCGAAAUGAGUACCAAGGACAGAUGGCGGUUAUUACUAUGUUCAUCUUUGUCAGCUGAAGCAGAAGUAAUCCUGUCUUUUUGUGCUGGAAAUAUGUAUAGUUCAGCAAUUAAUAAUAACUAGCUAGAGAUGCCAUAACAAUCAUUAUUAAUCAGAGAGAACAAUUAUUGCAUAGAUAAAUACCUGCAGCUUGAGAAAGUACCCAAUUAUGAUCGUCAUAAUCAACUCGCCAAACAUAGUAACCAAGAAAUCUCUUCUCUUUGGCAUAGGCGAUCUUAGCUCUAACAGCCUCCACAUCAUCAAAACCAAACCAAAUCGUCCCAGUGGAGAAGUAAUUCACCACAUAAGUUGAAUUGUACAUAACUUGAACAUUAGGACCAUAGGUCUUGAUGUGAUUCUUGAUAUCCCUAUAGGUCACAAGGCCACCAUUACUCAUAGCUGGUCCUGCUGCUGCUACUCCAAUACCAUUGUCUUCAGGUUUCACAAGCGUCCAUGCAUAGCCGUAGAAAGGCAAACACAAAACCAACUUAUCAGCCAAUAACCCUCUCUAAAUCCAUGCCCUUAAAACCUGAUCAGUACUGUCAAAGAAGCUCAUAAUGCAUGGAAGGAUGCAGCACACGUGUGAGAUGAAUAUAGUCAGCUGAAUCAAUUGAAGAGUGGAGUGCCAGCUCAGCUGAAGUUAGUUAGACACGUUAAGAUCAAGUUUUAGUUAGUUCUUCAUUUUCUGUUAAGCUGAAAAACAGCUGAGUAUAAAUACAAGCAUAUUGUAAUCAUUUUGAGGUUAAGUAAAAAUAAAAUAAAGCAUUUGAUUCCAGAAUUUCUUUUACAAAUUUUCUUAGCACUUUAGAUACAUUUUCUCAGUAACCAAACAGUUUGUUCAUUCAAGCUUUUAAGCUUUCAAACAUGGUAUCAGAGCCUUACAGAGCUAGUUCCAGUAAUCAACAGUCAAGCCUUCGUAAUCAAACAACAAACAACACAAAUCAACCUACUCAAAUCAACUUCUCUUUUUCUAAUCCUAUCAAGCUAGAUCGAUCCAAUUACUUACUCUGGCGUUCUCAAGUUUUGGCCUCAAUAAGAGGCAAUCGUUUGGAAGAUUUCGUCACAAGAGCCAGAUCAGUACCUGAUAAGUGUCUUCUGUUAACUGAAGCAGAUGGAUCUACACAACAAGUUGAAAAUCCAGAAUAUCAGAUCUGGAGAUCACAGGAUCAGACACUUCUUGGCUGGCUACUGUUGUCAUUAAGUGAAGGUAUCUUAAGUCUUGUAAUCAAUUGUGAGAGUUCAUUUGAUAUAUGGAAAACUUUGGAAAAGAAAUUUGGAGUUCAAUCUGAAGCUCGAGUUCUUCAGCUCAGAUACGAACUAAACACUCUUAAAAAGGAAGCCCUUAGUGUUGAAGAUUAUUGUAUUAAAAUGAAAGCAAUAGCAGAUAAGCUGGCCAGUGCUGGUAGUUCAAUUACAGAGAAGGAUCUUAUGCUAACUAUUCUUAAUGGAUUAGGAUCAUGAUAUCGUGAUAUUGCUACAUUUAUAACUGGUUCACGAAUGGAGUUUGAUGAUGCUUAUGCACUGUUACUCACUCAUGAGACUAGAUUAGAGCAGGAGCAAGGUGACAAAAGUAUGUUUAAUGCAAACUAUGCAUACACAAAUGCAUAUUAUCCUAGAGCUUAUUUUGCACAGCCUAGAAGAAGUUUUAAACGAGGAGGUUAUUCUGGUGGUAGAACUCCUUUCUUUGGCAGAGGAAAUAUGAAUUACUCUCCAAGAAUGUUUAAUGGAGGCUUUAGAAAUGGAUAUGGCAGAGGAUUUUUUCCUGGAAAUAACUCAACUGAUUUCAAUCAUUUUCCAGCUCCUAGGAAUCCAGUACCUAGGAACUCAUCUUUUCCAGCUAGAAAUGGAUCUGCUAACAUGAGUGGAUCACAAGGAAGUUUUAAUAAUGCUGGAGAGAUGACAUGUCAGAUUUGUUUUAAGAAUGGCCAUACUGCUGAUGUCUGUUGGCACAGAUUUGUUGAAGAUUUUGUACCUGUUCCAAGAGGUUUUGGCAAGGGAAGAACACCAAGAGCAGCAUAUUUAUCAAACUUUGAUGGCUCCAUUUCUAAUCCAGAUUUUGGCUAUGAAAAUCUUAAUACUAUGUUUCCAGGUUAUGACUCUAUAUCUGGCAAUAGCUACUAUUCUGGAAUGGAUGGAUACACUUCUGGAGCAGCUAGAACAGCUUUCAUGGCAAAUUUUGAAGGGACUGCUGAUGAUGGAUGGUAUCUGGAUAGUGGGGCAACUCACCAUUUAACCAACAAUAUGGAGAAUUUGCAGAUCAAUGAAGAGUUUAAAGGUACUGAUUAGCUUAUCAUUGGAAAUGGUCAAGGUUUGUCUAUUACUCAUGUUGGACAUGCAUUUCUGGUAUUAAGAGCUUCUAAACCCUUAUCUACACAUGCUAGAAUAAAACUUAAAGAUAUGUUACUUGUCCCUUCAAUUACCAAAAAUCUAUUAAGUAUUUCUAAACUCACAUCUGAUAACCCUUUAUCUGUUGAAUUCUGUGGAAAUGCUUGUUUUGUGAAGGACAUGAAGGGUCAAGUUCUUCUGCAGGGUAUUGCUGAAAAAGGCCUUUACAAGCUGCUGCUGAACUCAAAUUCUCUUUCUUCAUCACCUACAUCUUAUCUUUGUAAAUCCCAGCCAAAUAAACUAGUCUCUAUGUUGUCUGCUUUCAAACACUCUGAUAAUGGUACUCGAGCUUGUUUUCAGUUUGUUUUAAAUAAGUGUAAUGCCAAACCUAAUGUAAUAACUUUGUUACAUAGAAAGUUUGGUCAUCCAAGCUCAAUGACAUUGAUGCAUUUGCUCAAAUCAUGUAAACAGUUUAAAGUCUCUCCAAAAGACAUGUUAUCUUCUGCAAGUACUUUAUGUGAAGCAUGUCAGCUAGGCAAAGUCCAUAAGCAACAUUUCUCAAUAACCGAAACAAAAACAAAAGAGGUAUUAGAAUUGAUCCAUACUGAUCUUUGGGGGCCUUCACCCACUGUGUCUAGAGAUGGAUACAAAUAUUACAUUAGUUUUGUGGAUGAUUACACUAGGUACUCUUGGAUCUAUCCUCUUAAGCUCAAAUCACAAGCAUUUGAAGUUUUCAAAUUGUGCAAAACUCAAGUUGAAAAUCAGUUUGAUACCAAAAUUAAGAUGCUACAAUCUGACCUUAGGGGAGAGUUUAGAGCAUUUACUGAUUUUCUCAAUCAAAAUGGAAUAAUCUUUAGGCACUCAUGUCCUUACAUCCAUCACCAGAAUGGUCUUGUUGAGAGGAAGCACAGGCAUAUAGUUGAACUAGGAUUAACCCUCAUGGCUCAAGCAAAUCUUCCUCUUCAAUUCUGGUGGGAAGCUGUUCAUACAGCAGUGUAUCAUAUUAAUAGAUUGCCUACCCCUGUUCUGAAAUUCUUAUCUCCUUAUGAGAAACUUUUCAAACACAAACCAGAUUACACAUUUCUAAAGUGUUUUGGUUGUCUUUGUUAUCCAUACUUGAGAGACUUUAACAAACAUAAGUUUGAUUUUCACACUUCUAAAUGCAUUUUUAUUAGAUACAAUCCCUCUUAUAAAGGAUACAAAUGCUUAGCAAGUUUUGGUAAAGUCUAUGUUCUUAGACAUGUCAUUUUUUAUGAAACACAUUCCCUUAUCCAAUAAACAUUGCAUUCUCAACAGAAAAUCACAUAUCUUCUAAAACCUCAGUGUCUAAUUUCUCUCAGCAACAUAUCUAUCAUCUUUCUACAAUAGCCUUACUCAACAGCAGCUUUGAAGGUCUUCAGUCAGCAAGCUCAGCAAGAAAUGAACAAAUGCCCUUUGGUCCCACACAUACAGAUGUUUUGAAUCAACAAGAACAUCCAUCACACACAUCCUUAGAGUUAUCAUCCUCAACCUCACCAUCACCAAACACAUUACUAAUGCAAUCAUCCAUUCUACAACCAGAGGAAACUUCUUCACAGAAUAUAGACCAAAUUCAAACCAGAAAUCAUUCCCAACCAUCUUCUCAUCCAAUGAUUACCAGAUCGAAAUCUGGAAUCUUCAAACCAAAGGUCUAUACAGUCACCUUAGCCAACAAAGAACCCAGUACAGUUCAAGAAGCUCUUAGUAGUCAGAAUUGGCAUCAAGCCAUGGUAGAUGAGUAUGAAGCUUUGAUGAAGAAUAAGACUUGGUCACUGGUACCAUUUUCAAAUGCAUACAAAGUAGUUGACAACAAAUGGGUGUUUAGACUCAAGCAAAAUACUGAUGGAAGCAUAGCCAAACACAAGGCCAGAUUGGUUGCCAAAGGUUUUCAGCAAACUGAAGGUGUGGAUUACUUUGAGACAUUUAGCCCAGUUGUAAAAGCUUCAACAGUGAGGAUUGUUUUGAGUUUAGCUGUGAUGCAUAAAUGGAAAAUAAGGCAAGUGGAUGUGAAUAAUGCCUUUUUGAAUGGAGAAUUGACAGAGGAUGUCUAUAUGUAUCAGCCUGAAGGUUUUAUUGAUCAACAAAAACCUAAUCAUGUAUGCAAGCUGAAGAAGGCCUUGUAUGGCUUAAAGCAAGCUCCUAGAGCUUGGUAUGACAAGCUUAAGAAUUGUCUGAUUGCUAAUUGGAAAUUUCAGAAUUCAAAGGCUGAUACCUCUCUUUUCUUCAAAGAAGUGCAGGGCUCAAUGAUACUCAUCUUAAUCUAUGUAGAUGACAUUCUAAUGACAGGACCUGACAAUGGUGAACUGGAGAAAUUCAUCUCAAAAUUCAGUAAGACUUUUGCUUUAAAAGACUUGGGAAUUCUGUCAUAUUUUCUAGGAAUAGAAGUGUCCUAUGCUGAAGAUUGCAUCUAUCUAUCUCAGAAGAAAUAUAUCUUGGAUUUGUUAUCCAAAGCUAAUAUGCAAAAUUGUAAAGGCUGUGACACUCCCAUAGUUACUGGAUCAAAGCUUCAGAAAGAAGUCACAGGCUGUUUGGGUCAAUAUAUUGAGGAUGCAACAAGCUAUAGAAGCUUAGUUGGAGGUUUACAAUAUCUAGUAUUAACCAUACCAGAGAUAGCAUUUGCUGUGCAUAAGUUGAGCCAGUAUGUGACAGCUCCAACACUCCAGCAUGUUAUGGCUUGUAAAAGAGUUCUUAGAUACCUCAAGGAGACUGCAGAUUAUGGUUUGAAGUUUUCAGCAGGUGGGGAAAUGAAGAUCACAGGAUUUACAGAUGCAGAUUGGGCAUGUGAUGUUGAUGACAGAAAAUCAAUAGGAGCCUAUUGCAUUUAUUUUGGAAGCAAUCUAAUUUCCUGGUCAUCCAAGAAGCAGGCUGUGGUUACACGAUCCAGUGCAGAGAGUGAAUAUCGUGCUCUUGCUUCUGCAAGUGCAGAGAUAACAUGGAUCCAGUCGUUAUUCAAUGAACUUAGCAUUAAGUGUACUUCAUUACCAACUAUCUGGUGUGACAAUAUAAGUGCAACAGAGUUGGCCAAGAAUCCAGUUUAUCAUUCAAGGACUAAACACAUUGAACUGGAUAUGCACUUUAUUAGAGACAAGGUUUUGGCAAAGGAGUUAGAGAUUAACUAUAUUCCCAGCGAGGAGCAAAUUGCUGAUGCUUUGACAAAGCCUCUGACAUUUAUUCAUUUCAACUAUUUCAGAGCCAAACUCAAUGUGCAACCAUGCCCCUUGAGUUUGAGGGGGACUGUCAAGGAAGCUCAUAAUGCAUGGAAGGAUGCAGCACACGUGUGAGAUGAAUAUAGUCAGCUGAAUCAAUUGAAGAGUGGAGUGCCAGCUCAGCUGAAGUUAGUUAGACACGUUAAGAUCAAGUUUUAGUUAGUUCUUCAUUUUCUGUUAAGCUGAAAAACAGCUGAGUAUAAAUACAAGCAUAUUGUAAUCAUUUUGAAGUUAAGUAAAAAUAAAAUAAAGCAUUUGAUUCCAGAAGUUCUUUUACAAAUUUUCUUAGCACUUUAGAUACAUUUUCUCAGUAACCAAACAGUCUGUUCAUUCAAGCUUUUAAGCUUUCAAACAAGUACUUCUAGCAUAGCCGCCGCUACUUGAGCCAUACAGAGCCGCAUGUGCCUCGGUGAAGUUUGUUGACAUAGGCUCGUAGUAUUCAGCUGUAACAACAUGAACCUAAUUCAAGUUUCGUUGCAUCGAUUUCAAAAGGUACGAAUUGUCUGGUGGUAAAUAACGAAAUCUUGCGGUCAGGAUCAGCUGGGAUUGCUGGCGGCCAGAGUUUUUUGCCUCUAAUUGUGUAGCAGCUCGGCACUCGUCAAAGAAUAAACCCGUAUUGGACAUAUCGGUGCUCGUGUUCGGAGCUUUCCAAGCAAAGUCUAGGCCCUGAAAGCCAUAAAGCCUAGCUAUUCUUAUUGAAGAGUCGAUGAAAGAUUUCCUGUGAGAAGAAUUUCUCACCAUUGAAGAAUAUAUAGAAUAGUUUGUAUAUCUUCCUUGUCUAAUGGAGAGAAGUGUAGUGGUUGAUGGGUUCUUUUGUUUCACAGUGCCUGUAAAUUUGGGGAAUAUUUGAUUUCCAUCAAACGGUGAUGAUAAAGAUAGCUGGUAAGUGGUGGAAUUGAUAUCAGCGUAAGAGCAGAUAAGGUGAGUGAAGAGAUCAUAAUUUAUGCCCGAAAUGGUGGACACUUCGCUUGGAUCCAAGUAGCCGACCCUGAUCCACGGUUUUGCUUUCGCGGGAUGAAAUUCUGAAUAGAACAACAUGUGGAAGAUGAUGCUGAUAAUUAUGGAUGCCAUUUGAGAGGCUUAUGCUUCUUAAUUACCACUUCGAUGGGAAUGGAAAUGAAUGCACACUAAUAGAAAUUAAAUAAACACAAGUUUCACAGUUCAUUAAGCUCUCAUGUGUACUAUUAACGUAUAGGUUCAUUUCGUUGCCCAAAAAAAUCUUAUGUGCUCCUGAUAGGGACACAUACAUUGGAUGAUAAGAUGAUGAUAGGCGAUGCGACCAUUGCCCAAGAACUAAGAUUUUCUUCUAUCGCGUGGGUGACUUUUCAUGAAGAAAAAUGAUGUUUUGAUUGACAUAUGGUUAAACCGAUGCCAUAUUUCGGGCUACAAAUAUCAGUAUUGUUUUAUUAAAUAAUUAAAAAAAUUAAUUUUACGUGCAUGUUGAAGGUAAUAUUGCAGUCUUUUGAGCCUGUGUUGAAUUUCAUUCGUGUGCGUUCAUUUAUUAUCUAUCCUCUUUUUUCUCUGUGUGUCUGCUAGCUCUAGUCAUCUUAAAAGAAUAACAUGUUUAAUUAAUGCAUGUAAAUGCACCGCAAAAGUAGUUAAGAAAGACUUGAUCAAAGAUCAGACAUUUUCUCUCUACUCAAAAAGUAGUUAUUGGACUAAUUAAGAUUCUAAUCCCUUUAAGAAAUAUUGAAAAAGGGUUACUGUCACUACUUCAGUCCUUGUUGUUACAUAUAUAUAUAUAUAUAUAUAUAUAUAUAAAUUUAAAGAAGCAUCACAUAAAUCCUUCCUAAUUAUAUUUUGUUUCAUUCAAGUUGUUGACUUAAUUUGUCUGCUUGGAAAAAUUAGUAAAAAGGUAAAAAUAAAAAAAUGUAAAUUCUACUUAUUAGACUAAAUAUAUAGUAUAAAUUUGCAGCAACCAGCAAAAGUUUGGAAUAUGAAAAAUCCUAUUAAUUUUUAAAAAAUCUCCGAAAGUUUGAAAACUAAUAUUUUAAGGUCCUUUUACAAUAACCAUAAUUAACAUGAAUUUACUAAAUUAGGCAAACCCGAAUUACUACCAUAUAAUAAAAUUUUAUAACAGAAAUAAGAAAACAAAACAAAUAGCAUCAAAUCUUAUAUCUAAAAAAAAAUCUUGAAAUAAAUAGAAAAAAUAAGAAAAUAACUAAAACUUGCAAAAUGACCAUGAAAGAAAUGAAAUUUCCGACUGAACCAAAGGGCCAAUACACAUAGCAUUAUUGGACUAGAUCUAUCAUGGUGCAAACUUCAAAACAGUAUAUUAUAUUUUCUAAAUGGACACAUAUAGGUUAAGUUAUGAUAUUAAAAAAUAUCCUAUUCAUCUUACACAACCAUUCUAUGUCACUAUAUCUAUACACUAAUAAUAUAACCCAAACAUUUAUGGAGCAUAACUCACAGACCUCCACUAAUUACACUAAAGUUUACUCUCAUUUUAUAAGAGAGAGAAAUGUUCUCGUUCUCCAUUUAUGGGGGAUUAAACCAAAUGGUCUGUUUUUGAUUUUCUGGUAAGUUGUGUAACGUUGGAGCUUUUUGGCACUUCUUUGACGAAAAGUCGUUCUCUUCGACAACCCAAAAUUCGGGCCAAUGGGCAAUUAUGAAAGUCCAUUGGAUGCAUUGGACCAAACUAAAAGUCCAUAUAUAUAUGUAUAUAUAUAUAUAUAUUCAAUAAAUGAAAUGAAAAAAUGCAAUUGGCUUGCAGUUGCAAAGCUUCUUUGUUUAUUAUUAUAUAAUAUAAUAUAAUAUAAUUUUAUAUCAUUUUGAAUAUCAAAAUUUUAUUUCAAAAUUUAUUUAACACUAGUGUUUAAUAUAAGAUACAAUACUACCAAAAUUCUAUUCAAUAGUUUAUUUAAAAUAGUAUUGACUAUUAAAAAUAAGAAUUUACACUAAUAUUAAAUAUUAAAUUCAACAAUUAGUAACAUUAUUUAAAAUAAUUAUAGUAUUUAAAUGGUUAUUUAUCUUUAUUAAAUAAGAUUUAACAUAAUCCUCUGCGACAUUUUACUAAAUAAAUACAGUACUAUAUAUAAUCCAAUCUAAUCUUAAACAAUAAUCUAUUCUAUUCCUACCUUCCAAAUAUAAACACAAUAGAUAAUGAGAGCAUGAGCUAUGAGAUUAUAAAUCAUGGAUCAAGGGAGUAGAGAUACAGACCUUGAGAUCAUAGAUCGUAGACUAUUAGAGACUAAAGACCGUGGACAAAUCCGAGUACAUUAAAAAAAGGGGAAUUUUAGUCAAAUGUAGAUUGAUAUUAAGGAAUUCAGCAAGCAAGCUACAAGAAUAUCCAAAAGCGUGUAAUUUAUGUUUAAGGAAACAAGUGGAGAUAGAGAUGAAAUUGUAAAUUCAUCCCAAUCUUAAGUGGCUUAAUUCAAGAUGUAUGUUACCUACAAGCACAAUAAUAUGUACACGUUAUGUAUACAUGCAUCACAUACGUGCGUCGAUCAUCGAUGUAAAAGUAACAGUAAAUUUCUAGUAAAACAAACAUCAUUACUUUUAGUAUAAGAUGUAAAAAAUAUCAAUUAAUAACCAUUAGAAAAUAAAAAUUUAUGUAAUUGAUGCAGAUAAAUGGAAUCAAGUAGUAACAUUUCCUUCUCAUUGAAGAGAAAAGAUUAAAAAAAAGAAAAGGGGGGGGGGGGGGGGGGGGGAGGAGCGCAAACAUGACAAUUAUUUUUAUCCGCACGUGCCAUGAUAAUCGAUAAUCCGAUAUACCAACCGCGUCUAAUUGUCUGAAUUCUCAAGCUUAUCAAGCUUGCUCAAUCGCACCGCAGACACUGACCAUGGGAGAUUAAUCACCACUCGCAGUAUUAGGCGCGUGAAGGACACAUUCGCCAAUAAUUUAUAGCGGACAGUAGCAUUCCCGAUGCUGCGCGGAGAAAAAUAGUUGGGCUUGCGAAAGUUAAAUUGACUUGACUCGACAGAGUGAAGAAUGGUGGUGGUUGCUGUUAAGCAGUCGGUACUUCUGGCGACUGCUUGGCUUACACGCAGUUCCCGGGGGUGUCAUUUGACUGUGAAAGAGAAUUUUGGCUUUAUUGAUAUCUUGUUGGAUUUGGAAUUUUGGAUGGCUUCGUGUAGACCAUAAGACACGAUAUCGUUCAUAACACGUUAGCAUUCUUUCUCACGGGAGAAAAACUCGGGUGGGAGCAGAUGUACCAUCUCAACUGCCGUUUAUAAAUGGCUGUCAAAUAAUUAAUCAAAAUUUUAUUAUUUACGGUUAUAAUUGGAAUGAUAAAAAAUCAAUUCGAUGUUAUUCUUUGUGGCUCUGCUUAGAAUACUAAAAAAUCAAAUCGACUUAUUUAUUUUUAUAUUGAUCAUUACAAGUCUCUUGAAUUUUUUACCUACUUCAUUAACUUGUUAUUUUGAGUUGUACGUAACAUGGCUUUUUUUGUUUUUUACUUUACUUUGGUUUUCUUUAUAACCCAUAAAAAUUUUCUUGUUAAGACUGUGUGAACCAAUUGAAACUUCAGAUUCAUACUAGAACUAUGAUGAUUUGAUAAGAGCUUCAAAUUAAAUCCACAGAUUCUAUGAAAAGAAAAGAAAAGAAAAAGUCUUUUAUUGGUAAAAGAAGAAAGCUCUUCGGCACUGAUCCGAAGAAAAAUCAUUCUCCAUACAAUGAGCAAAACAAAGUCCAAUUCGCAUUACAUAGAAGUAAAACCGAAGCAUUGGACUAAAAGCAUACAUUAGUCUUAUUUUUCGUUACUGAUAACAUUUUUUUUCCCUUAUAUUAUCACCUUAAUUAAGAAAAAUAAUAAUUUGUUUAACUAAUUACAAAAAAGGAUGGCUAUAUACAAUAUUCUUGUGUUGGAUGGCCUUAAAAGUCAAUUCUUUUGAAACAGGAAAACUGGUAUCGUUUUUCAAAACACAAAAAUAUUAUGUUAAGAAAAUGAAUGGUCUUUAAGAGUUAUGACAAUGAUAUCAAUAAAAUUACAAAAUCUUAAGAGUUUAUAGAUGUAGUUAGUGAUAUUACAUUACAUUAAUUAAUACAAUGCAAAUUGUUUACUAAUAGAGCCUCAGGAGAGUGAUUCAUUAUUUAGUUGGCCAAUUAAACAACUGCAGCAGUCACUAGCAGCUUGCCAAGAGCUAGCAUAGAUCAAUUGUUCAUCUACCAACCAAUUUUGAAAUUGUUACAUCAUUACUUGAACAUAUUUCCAAUCCAAUCGUGGCUUUGUUUUGUUCAUCUUCAUAAGCUUUGUUUGAGAAACUUGCAGGCUUCUUUGGAGUCAUUAUAUCAGCUGUAUUUUCAUUUUCGAUCAACGAAGAAAUUUCUAGUAUAGAAGGUCUAUUGUUUGGGUUCUCCUGAACACAUAGCAAAGCUACUUGCAGACAUGUCAAUAAUUUCCAUGAGGAAUGCGUAUCAUCUAGUGAUGGAUCCAUUAACUCCGUGCCUUUCCCAUCCUUCCACAACUCGUAUGCCUGAAAACAUCAAAUAUGUUAUUGACUAACAUUCAAUUAAUUAGCACUGUAAUGUUUUGAUUCAGUGAAUAUUAAAAAGGGGGUUAUGAAGAAACUUACAUACUCUACAAGGCUUAGAUUUUCAUUUUGACCAUAUCGAAUGAAAAGUCUUCGCCCACUUAUAAUUUGCAGAAGCAAAACCCCAAAACUGUAGACAUCAGAUUUAGUGGAGUAGAUGCCUCUUCCGACAUAUUCAGGAGGGAUAUAGCCUCUGUAGUAUCAAGUAAUUAUAAAUGUCAGUGUUUGACAUAAAAGAUUAAGUUGAUUGGUAAAGGUUCAACAAUAAUAUUAAAGGCAUGUCAGACAAUAAUAGACAAAUAUACACUUACUGUGUUCCAACAAUUCGAUUUGUGUUUGCUUCAAGAUCAUCUUUCACAAAAAUUCUAGCCAAGCCAAAAUAUGAUAUUUUAGGUGUCAAAUCUUCAUCCAACAAAAUAUUACUAACUUUUAAGUCUCGAUGAAUAAUUGUUAAUCUAGAAUAUUCUUGGAGAUAGAGAAGCCCCUGAAUAAUUCCUUAAAUGAUAUAAAUACGUUUUUUCAAAUCCAAAAUAAGCCUUCGGAUGGGAUCUGCAUCAAAUGUAAACUUAGUUGGACGGUCAGCACCAUUAGCAUUUGGAGACAGAGAAAUGCAAAUUGAGGCACAAAAAUUAGAAAUUAAGCAGUUAAGCACACACCAAAAAGGAAAUAGUCUAAGCUUCGUUUUGGCAUAUACUCAUAGAUGAGCAUAUAUUCUUGCGUGUCGAUGCAAAAACCCAAAACUCUGAUCAAAUUUAUGUGUUGAAGCUUUGCAGUAAGCAUAACCUCAUUCUUGAACUCCUCAAAUCCUUGUGUGGAUGUCUUCGAGAGUUUCUUCACUACUAUUAUUUGUCCAUCAGGUAAUGCACCCUGCAAGCACCCCCCAAAAUAUAUGUUUUUUUAAAAAUCAGUGUGUUCACACACACACACACGUAGCUUGCACUAAUUAAUUAAUAAGCUAAGAGAUAACCAAGCUACCGAUACAUAACCUUGUAAACAGGACCAUAUCCACCCUCCCCGAGCUUAUUUUCGAUUGAAAAUCUAUCCGUGGCCACCUCAAUAUCAGCCAAGCUAUAUUCUCUCAGAUCAGGAUCAUUGCUGUUAAAAUCUCCAGCAUCUGCUUGACUAUUUUCGCUGUCCUUUGAUGCUUUGGCUGAGUCAAUUACGGUCCAAUUAAUAUCAACCAAGAGAAAGAAAGCUAAUUUAAGUGAAUUGCCCACUUCUUCAUCUGUGUUAAAUGGAAUAGAAGUAAAAAUAUUCCUAAUCCCGUGUAGAAGAAGUUACCUUUUAAUUUGAGGUUUUUCAUCCAGCAGUAGUAAUACAGUAAAAAACCAAUUAGAAGAAUACAAGCUGCCGUUAUAGGGAAAACAAUUGCCCAUAAUAGUCGCUUAUUUUGUCGAUUCUUAUUUUCCUCUUGAGCUGAAAAGUCAAAUCACUUUGUGUUAGUUAAACAUUUGAUGGUCAAAUAAAGAUCUUAAUUGAAGUCAUUAUGCAGAGAACUGAUCAAAUGGAUAGCAGGCAGUGACUGAGGCUUUGCAUUUGCUUACCUGCAGCUUGAGAAAGCAUCCAAUAAUGAUCAUAGGAAACUAGCCACACAAAGUAACCACGUAGUUUCUUCUCCUUGGCAUAUGAAACCUUCACUCUAACGGCUUCGACAUCAUCAAAACCAAACCAAAUCUUCCCAAUCGAGAAGUAAUUCAUCACAUAAGUUGAAUUGUACAUAACUUGAACGUUAGGACCAUAGUGCUUGAUGCGAUUCUUGAUUUCCUUAUAAGUCACAAGGCCGCUAGAAUACAAAGCUGGUCCUGUUGCUGCUGCACCAAUACCGUUGUCCUCAGGUUUCACAAGCGUCCAUGCAUAGCCAUAGAAAGGUAAACAUAAAACCAAUUUAUCAGCCGAUAACCCUUCCUCAAUCCAUUCCGUGAUUCCGUAUUCAGUAUUGGAGAUACUAUUUGGAUCAUACAGAGCCGCGUGAGCACCAGUAAAAUUUGACCACAUAGGUUUUGUGUAUUCAGUAGUCAAAACAUGAACCCAAUUCAAGUAUUGACUUAUCGAGUCGACUGGGUAAGCUCCUGCUCUUGAGAAUGGUGAAUAUGCGACCAUUGCCGUCAAAAUCAACUGUGAUUGGCUCGAGUUAUUUCUUGCUUCUAAAUCUACGGCUGCUCGCCACUCUUUAAAGAGAAUGCCAAUAUUGUACUUAUCCCAGCUUGUGUUUGCCUGAGGCCAAGAGAGAUCUAAGCCUUGAAAGCCAUAAAGUCUUCCUAUUUUUAUUGAGGAGUCAAUGAAGGAUUUCCUAGAAGAAGGAUUGCUCGCCAUGGAAGAAUAAGUUGAAUAGUUUGCAUCAUUUCCUCCGAUGGAAAGAAGUGUAGUGAUUGAUGGGUUCUUUAUUUUGACAGUGUCAGUGAAGUUAGAGAAUUGUUUUUCAUCAGAAGGUGAUAAAGAAAGCUCAUAGGAAGUUGAAUUCGUUGAAACAAAAACAAACGUUAUGCCUUUGAUCGUGCAUUUCCAAAUAAACACAUAUUUUAGGUAAUUCCGAAAUUUACCACGAUCUCCCAUGAAUCCGAACUUGCAGCUUGUUAUGGAGCUUCAACAGAGUUGCUGCUGCUUCGGUCUAGCUUCUGAAUUCCGCUUUCUUUUCCUUCAGCUCCAGAUUCGGCUUUUCUCAGUAAGUUACUGUACACACACGGGAGAGAAACGGGAGAGAGAGAGAUGCACUGCACUCAUGCCAGAGAUUUCUUGAACAGUCAACUUCCAAUGGGCUGAAGUUACUUAAAUACAGUGGUUGAGCGCAGGGAACCCUCAUGUGUUAGUACAAAAUUACCCAUCCCAUUAUGGGCUUAAAUAACACAAUUAAGGAUAUACUUGUCCAUAAUAUACUACUGUACAGGGUAUGUCAAAAUUAGACUCAUUAACACCAUAUUUGAUCACUUAAUAAAUGAGUCUGUCAAAAUUGCUCAACAAUAUUUGACUUUAGUCACGUAUUAAUUCGGUAAAAUAUAGAAAAUAAUUAGAAUGAUUUAUGUCAGUCCACAUAAUGUGAGAAAUAAAUCUAACAGAAUUGACAUUAGCAAAACCACAUAUAAGGUGAGUGAAAAGAGCAGAAUUUACAUCUGAAACGGGGAACCCGUUGCCUGAAUCCCAGUAACCAGCUCUGAUUAAAGUUUGUGUUCCUGCAGGAAGCGAUUCUGAAAAUAUAAAAAUGUGGAGGACAAGAAUGAUAAUUUUGGAUGCCAUUGUGGGAACCUAGCUGCUUUGAGGCAUACCUAGUAAGUGAUUACAUAUAUAUGUACACACACAAUGUAAUGGAGAAAAUAUCCGAUAGCGAUUGAGAUUAGUUAUUGGACUAUAAUACAAACCUGAGGCAACUUUCAGCUCAUGAGCUUAUCUCAUAGGUCUUUAUACGAUAUCAAAGUCAAGUUACGAACGAGUGAUUCUAUACUACCUUUUAAUUUAACAAGGAGAAAGAUAAGAGAUCAACCUACACGUGACAGGGUGAUAGAAAAAAUUUAUCACAUUAGCUAAGAUUAAUUACUAUGUUAAUGAUAUAAGCUCAAAACAACACUCAACUCAAUAACAAGUUGUAAUUUAAUAAAGUUAGGUCAACUCGAUAUUUUAUAGAGUAUGUCGUGAGUGAGGAGGAGUUUAAGCAACAAAUCGAGCUCAUGAGUGAGGACACGUUUGAUUUUCACAAGAUUUUGCGUUUUGUGCACGUUGGUCAUGGACUGAAUCAACUUAGAAAAUAUUUUCACAAGAUUUUGCCUUCCAAUUGCAUGGAUGGAGUUAUAGAGGAAUACAUCGAAAAGUUCGUCUUCUUGCCAUGAUGAUAAGUGAAAAGAUUGAGGUUCUUAAAUUAAGCUAUGACCUUUUACCUCCACUUAGCUUGACUUUUGAAGCUGAAGACUCGUUCUUUUGUAUUGACUUUGUUGGUAUUUAAAUGACCUCGGAGUCUUGGACGUGUUUCUGAAGCAAUGUCAUGGUCUAUGAGUAGAUUUUUUUUUUUGGGUAAGAAAGGGAAAGUCUGUCGUUGGGAAAACAUCCUGACAACGGGAUGGUGGGAGGGAAAAAAAAAAAAAAAUUAUACACUUAGGGUCUGUUUGGAAAAAUGAUUAUAGGGUAUUAUAAUACUAUUCAUAUUGACUUAAUAUCAAUACUAUUCACAUCGAGUUUAGCUUAAUGUGGUAGUUGCCGCAUUAACGUUUUGCUUUUGUUUUUUUUUUUUUACUUUUGCUUUUUAAUAAUAAUAAAUAAUUAUAACUUUUUAAUUUAAUAUAUUAUUAUAUAAUAUCAAUUAUUAUUUUUUAUUUUUACCUCAAAAUUAUUAAAAUAAAUUAAUAAUUUUAUAAUUUAUUAUUCAUAUUUUAAUUUUUAUUAUAUUAAAAAUAUAACUAAAUAAUGUAUUAUUUAAUUAUAUAAUAAUUAAUAUAUAAAAUUAAUUAAUAUUUAAUAAGUUAAUAUAACUAACAAUAAGUACUUAAAUAAUAUAUAAAAAUUGAUUAUUAUUUAGAAAUUUAAUAUAACUAACAAUAAAUAUUUAUAUAUGAAUAAAUUUAAAUAAUAUUAAUUUAAAAUUAAUAUCAACAAAAAUAAUAACGUAAAAUAUCAUUAUGUUAUGAUAUUAUUUAGAGAUUAUUUGAUUAAAUUAUUUACUUCGAUCUUUAUUUCACAUGUUAUAUAUUUAGAAAAUACUGAAAAAUAAAUGUUAUGCUGCCGAAAAUAUAAGGCUAUAAGUUUCGAUCUUUACAAAAAAUUGUGAUGCUUUUUAACAUUUAUACUAAAAAAUAAUGUUAAAUUUCUAAAAUUUAAGACUUAUAUAUUUAGUAGUUUUCUAGGUACUAUAAAUAUUAUUUCCUAAAUAUAUAAUUUAAGUUAAUCACAAAAAAUUAAUACAAUAUAGUGUAGCAUCAAACGUUGUAUAACAUUAUUAUAAUAUAGUGCUAAUACAAUACAGCAUAAUGCAAUACACAUCCAUUAAAAUAAUAUAACAUAGUGUGCUAAACUCACCAUUAAUUACUUCCUAAUGUUAAAAUUCAGUAGUAUUGUAAUUUUAAUAAAAAAUUGAGACCCUUUUAUCAUUUAGAUGUAAUAUACUUACAUUGUUCCCACAACUUGUUUUGUAUUCGCUUCGAGACUCUUUUGCAAAAAUCCUAACCAUACCAAAAUCUGAAAUUUUAGGUUUCAUAUCUUGACCUAACAAAAUAUUACUAGCUUUCAAAUCUCGAUGGAUAAUAGUCAGUCUUGAGUAUUCUUUGAGGUAUAAAAACCUUUGAGUCAUCCCUUCAAUGAUAUGAACACGUUUUUUCCAAUCCAAAAUAAACCUUCUGAUGGGAUCUACAACAGAUAUAUAGUUUUAGACAAUAAGUGAUAUGCAAAUGAAUUAUAUACACAAUUAAUAUUAACUUGAUUUCAGAACAAACCAAAAAGGUAGCAAUCCAAGCUUUGUUUGGCAUGUACUCGUAGACUAGCAUUCGUUCCUCACUGUCAAUGCAAAAACCUAAAACUCUAAUAAGAUUUACAUGUUGGAGUUUUGCAGUAAGUAUAAUCUCAUUCUUAAACUCCUCAAAUCCCUGUGUGGAUGCUUUCGAAAGUUUCUUCAUUGCUAUCACCUCUCCGCAGGGUAGUAUACCCUGCAACCAAAAAACAAAUGUUCAUAUAAAGCUUGCACUAAUUAAAUAAGUUGAGAAAUGUUUGCCAAACAAUAUGUUUCCCUCCAAAGUUGAGGGCACCAUUUUAAGUCCUUUAAGUCCCCAUAGACGCAUGAAUCUCCUCUCAGAAAAUAUGGAUAUGGGUAGACAUAUCUUCCUAAAUAUUAGUAGAAGUAGUUAUAUCUCUCUAGUGCGAGGUCAGAGGUCUCAUGUCUAAUAGGUAUAGAUUUUUAAAUUAUAUGUUUUGGGCCUCUGAAUUUUACUCUAAGUGUAUGAAUUCAAAGUUCCGACAGAAUCCAAAUUGUAACAUUUGUGGAUUUUGUGUGUGUGUGUGUGUUAACUUGUAAACAGGACCAUAUCCACCUUCCCCUAGCUUAUUUCUAACUGAAAAUCCCUCGGUGGCCGCCUCAAUAUCAGCCAAACUAUAUACUCUGAGGUUAGGAACAUUUCUGUUAAAGUCUCCAGCUUCUGCUUCAUCAUUUGCUCUCGUGUUUGACGCUUUAGCAGAGUCCUCUGUUCCUAACAUCAACCAAGAGUAAAUAUUAGAUAAUUAAUUAAAUUUCAGUCUCAGUUACAUGUAUAUGAGUGAAAUACAUACUUAAUUAUAAUUAAUAACUGAAACUUGUUACCUUCAAUUAAGUUGAGCCUUUUCAUCCUGUUGUAUUUAUAUGCACAAAAGCCUAGAAGGAGAGUCAAAGCUGCCGCAGCAGUCGAAAUGAGGACCAAGGACAGACGCCGGUUAUUACUAUGUUCAUCUUUGUCAGCUGAAGCAGAAGUAAUCCUGUCUUUUUGUGCUGGAAAUAUGUAUAGUUCACCAAUUAAUAAUAACUAGCUAGAGAUGCCAUAACAAUCAUUAUUAAUCAGAGAGAACAAUUAUUGCAUAGAUAAAUACCUGCAGCUUGAGAAAGCACCCAAUUAUGAUCAUCAUAAUCCACUCGCCACACAUAGUAACCAAGCAAUCUCUUCUCUUUGGCAUAGGCGAUCUUAGCUCUAACAGCCUCCACAUCAUCAAAACCAAACCAAACCGCCCCAGUGGAGAAGUAAUUCACCACAUAAGUUGAAUUGUACAUAACUUGAACAUUAGGAGCAUAGUUCUUGAUGUGAUUCUUGAUAGUCCUAUAGGUCACAAGGCCAUCAUUAGUCAAAGCUGGUCCUGCUGCUGCUGCUCCAAUACCAUUGUCUUCAGGUUUCACAAGCCUCCAUGCAUAGCCAUAGAAAGGCAAAGACAUAGCCAACUUAUCAGCCGAUAGCCCUCUCUCAAUCCAUGCCUUUAAAACCUGAUCGGUACUUUUAGCAAAGCCGCCGCUACUUGAGCCAUGGAGAGCCGCAGGUGGCGCAGUGAAGUUUGUUGACAAAGGCUCGUAGUAGUGUUCAGUAGCAACAUGAACCCAAUUCAAGUUUCGUUGCAUCGAAUUCACAAGGUACGAAUUGUCUGGUGGUGAAUAAUGAAACCUUGCGGUCAGGAUCAGCUGGGAUUGCUGGCGGUUAGAGCUUUUUGCCUCUAAUUUUGUGGCAGCAGCUCGCCACUCGUCGAAAAGUAAACCAAUAUUGAGCAUAUCGGUGCUUGUGUUAGGAGAUGUCCAAGCAAAGUCUAGGCCCUUAAAGCCAUAAAGCCUAGCUAUUCUUAUUGAAGAGUCGAUGAAAGAUUUCCUGUGAGAAGAAUUUCUCACCAUUGAAGAAUAUAUAGAAUAGUUUGUAUUUCUUCCUUGUCCAAUGGAGAGAAGUGCAGUGAUUGAUGGGUUCUUUUGUUUCAUUUGUUUCACAGUGCCUGUAAAUUUGGGGAAUAUUUGAUUUCCAUCAAAUGGUGAUGAUAAAGAUAGCUGGUAUGUGGUGGAAUUGAUAUCAGCAGAAGAGCAAAUAAGGUGAGUGAAGAGAUCAUAAUUUAUGCCCGAAAUGGCGGAAACAUCGCCUGAAUACAAGUAACCGACCCUGAUCCACGGUUUUGCUUUCGCGGGAUGAAAUUCUGAAUAGAAAAACAUGUGGAAGAUGAUGCUGAUAAUUAUGGAUGCCAUUUGAGAGGCUUAAGCUUCUUAAUUAUUACCACUUCGAAGGGAAUGGAAAUGAAUGCACACUAAGAGAAAUUAAAUAAACACAAGUUUCACAGUUCAUUAAGUUCUUAUGUGUACUAUUAACGUAUAGGUUCAUUUCGUUGCCCAAAAAAAAUCUUAUGUACUCCUGAUAGGGACACACACAUUGCAUGUUAAGAUGAUGAUAGGCGAUGCGACCAUUGCCUAAGAACUAAGAUUUUCUUCUAUCGCCUGGGUGACUUUUCAUGAAGAAAAAUAAUGUUUUGAUUGACAUUUGGUUAAACUGAUGACAUAUUUCGGGCUACAAAUAUCAGUAUUGUUUUAUUAAAUAAUAAAAAUAAUAAUUUUACGUGCAUGUUGAAGGUUAUAUUGCAGUCUUUUGAGCCUGUGUUGAAUUUCAUUCGUGUGCGUUCAUUUAUUAUCCAUCCCCUUUUUUCUCUGAGUCUGCUAGCCGUAGUCAUCUUAAAAGGAUAACAUGUUUAAUGCGUGUAAAUGCACCUCAUAAGUAGUUAAGAAAGAUUUGACCAAACCAGAUAAUUUUCCUCUUAACACAGAAGUAGUUAUCGGACUAAUUAAGAUUCUAAUCCAUUUAAGAAAUAUUCAAAAAGGGUUAUUGUCACUACUUUAGUCCUUGUUGUUUUAUUAAAGAAAAAAAAAAGAUAUUUAAAGAAGCAUCACAUAAAUCCUUCCUAAUUACAUUUUGUUUCAUUCAAGUUCUUGACUUAAUUUGACUGCUUGGAAAAAUUAGUAAAAAGGUAAAAAUGAAAAAAAAAAUGUAAAUUCCAGUUAUUAGACUAAAUAUAUAUAAAUUUGCAACAAGUAGCAAAAGUUUAGAAUAUGAAAAACCCUAUUUUGUUUACGAAAUAAAGGAAAUUCGAAUCAUUUUCAAAAAAAAAAUCUCUAAAAGUUUGAAAACUAAGAUUUUAAGGUCCUUCUAGACUAACCAUAAAUAACAUGAAUUUACCAAAUUAAGCAAACUCGAAUUAUUAUUACACAAUAAAAUUUUACUAAUGGAAAUAAGAAAACAAAAUAAAUAACACUCAAAUUCGAUGUCUAAAAAACAAAGAUAAAAAUCAUGAGAGCAAUAGAAAAAAAAUAAAAUAAACUAAAACUUGCAAAAUGACCAUGAAAGAAAUAAAUUUUUUUGCUGAACCAAGGGGCCGAUACAUAUAGCCUUAUUGUACUAGAUUCAUCUCACUGCAAGUUUCAAAACAAUAUAUUAUAUGUCUUAAACAAACUCUUGUAAAUUAAGUUAUGACCUUAAAAAAUAUCCUACUCAUCUUACAUAAAUAUCCUAUGUCACUAUAUAGCUAUACAAUAAUAAUAUAAUCCAAACACUUAUGGAGCAUAACUCACGCACCUCCAUUAAUAACCGUGAAAUUUACUCACAUUUUAUAAGAGAGAGGAAUGUUCUCAUUUAUUGGGGAUUAAACCAAAUAGUCUAUCUUCGAUAUUUCUGCUAGGUUGUGUCAGGUUGGGCUUUUUAGAAUUUCUUUGACGAAAAGUCAUUCUCUUCAACAGCCAAAUCUUGGGCCAGUGGGCAAUUAUGAAAGUCCAUUGGAUGCAUUGGACCAAACUAAACGUACAAUUUUUUUUUUCUUACAAAAAAAAAAUUAGAGUUGGACUAUUGACACCCCUCUCAUCUCCUCAUAAAACCCCCUUUUUAGUUAUAUUUAUUUUAUUUUAGAAAAUGCCCUUUUUUAGAUACACGUUUCUAAGUUUUUAAUUUUCAUUUGAUUUGUUUUAUUGUUAAAACUCAAAGUAUUAUUGUGUUAUUUUUUAAUUAUUUUCAAUUUUAUUAUUAAUCUACAUACAAAUUAAAAAUUUAUAUGGGUGAUAAGUUUUUUAGUGUUAAUCAUUGGUUGAAAUAACACAUAUUUCAAAUUAUAAUUUCAAAGCAAUUUUAAGUAUAAAAAUAUUUAAUCAAUAAGAAAUCAAAAGAGAAUAAUAGAUUAUUCUAAAUUUGUACAAUUUAUUUUAGUUAAAUAGGAAGUAAAAUAUAAAUUUUUUUAAAAAAUGAUUGAUUAUGAAUUAAGUAAUUUGCUGGGAAAAAAAAUCUAUAUAUGUUUAAUUUUCAAUUGUCUUUAAUUGUAAUUUUAUUUAAAGUGGUGUUUUGUAAGAAUAAUGUAGGGGUGCCAAUAGCUCCACUCAAAAAAUUAUAUCUAUAUAUUCUCUUCAACAACCUAAAACUGGGCCAAUGGGCAAUUAUGAAGUCCAUUGGAUGUAUUGCACCAAACUAAAAGUCCAAUUUUUUUUAUUACUACAAUAUAUAUAUAUAUAUAUAGUAGUUUUCUAAUUAGGGAUUCCUGACUUUAAUAAAGUCAUGGAUCAGCUAAAAGACAAAUAUACAGUGCAUUGGAGUCUGUGUUUAUUUUGUCUUUUAGCUAAUUCCUGAUUUUAUUAAAGUCAGGGAUCCCUGAUUGGAAAACUACUAUAUAUAUAUAUAAACAAAUGUUUUAAUUUAGAAUUUUAAAGUGCGGGAUAGUAUAUAUAUAUAUAUAUAUAAACAAAUGUUUUAAUUUAGAAUUUUAAAGUGCGGGAUAGUCUGGAAUAUGCAGUUUUAAAAACUUAAAACUGUAAGCCUUUAAAACCAUACAAUUUUAAAUUUUUCUCAAAUUUUCUCGUACUUUAAAAUUUCAUACUAAAAAACUACUACAUAUAUCAAUAAAUGAAAUGACACAAUACAGUUGGCUUGCCGUUGCAAAGCCUCUUUGUUUGUUAUUAUUUAUUGGCUUAUUGCAAUAAAGACUAAAGAGAGCUUUGAGCCAUGCAGCAUGGGAAGCUACAUUAAAAAAUAAAAGAAUUUAAAGCUUCAAGGGCAUAAAGCGUGCCCACCCAAUUAAAUUUUUCUUUAAAAAAGAAAAAAAAAGGCUGCAAUUGCAAUGACUUGAAUUUAUCAUCAAUUCUGGCUUAAUUUGCCCCCGUCAUUUUUUCAAGGAGAAUGUCCAACUCAAUUGUGACGGCUACUGCUUCAAUUUUAAUUUUAUUUUUCUCAAGAAUAGUCAUUUUCAUCCACCAUAUUCCUGCAUCCUGAUGCGUCCUUAUUGCUUAUAUUAUUAUAGACCACUUUUGGAAGCAUAACAAAUUUUGCACACAUGGUAUCCAUCUUGCGGACCCAAAUGUUGAUGAUAUACUUGCAUGCUGCAAAAUAAGCCCUUUUAAUAACUUAUCAUCUGGUAAAUGAUAGUUUAUUUAUUUAUUACAUAACAAAUAUGUUAUGCCAUAUGCCACCUAUUAGUGAAAGAUGUUUAAAUAACUACUCUUGUAGUAAACUCCUGAAUGAUGGCAAGUUAGAUUUAUACUUAAUGCACUAACUUCGAUAUUAUUUUUUUUUUACAUGGUAAUUAUUUUCUUCUCGCUAGGAAGUUGCAAUGAUUGAUAAUAAGGGAGCAUUUUGCUUUAUAUACAAUCCUUAAUAGAAGAUUUUCUAGAGAUGUUUAUUAUUAUUAUUAUUAUUAUUAAUCCCGCGUUGGUCAGGAUUUGAUUACUAUAAUAUUGACGAUUCGAUUUCUAACAAUUUUGUUUAUUAUAAAAUUAAAACAAAUGAGUAGUCAUCUAGAAAAUCAUAAUCUCUUUAAAGGCAUCAAAAGGCAAUGGCAAUGUAAAGUGAAUGUGCAUGAAUCUAUUAGUAACAUGUUUGCACGUGUAUUAAUCUUAAAAUAGUCAGUCUUGAAUAUUCCUGGAGGUAUAAAAGCCCUUGAGUUAUCCCUUCAAUGAUAUGAACACGUUUUUUCCAAUCCAAAAUAAGUCUUCUGAUGGGAUCUACAACAAAUAUAUAGUUUUGGACAAUAAGUGAUAUGCAAAUGAAUUUUAUACACAAUUAAUAUUAACUUGAUUUCAGAACAAACCAAAAAGGUAGCAAUCCAAGCUUUUGUUUGGCAUGUAUUCGUAGACCAGCAUCCGUUCCUCACUGUCAAUGCAAAAACCUAAAACUCUAAUAAGAUUUACAUGUUGGAGUUUUGCAGUAAGAAUAACCUCAUUCUUAAACUCCUCAAAUCCCUGUGCGGAUGAUUUCGAAAGUUUCUUCACUGCUAUCACCACUCCACAGGGUAAUACACCCUGCAACCCAAAAAAAAAACCACGUUCAUAUAAAGCUUUCACUAAUUAGAGACGCUGAGAAAUGUUAGCCAAACAAUAUGCUACCCCCCAAAGUUGAGGGCACCAUUUUAAGUCCUUUAAGUCCCCAUGGACGCAAAAUGUAAAUCUCCUCUCACAGAAUAUGGAUAUGGGUAGAGGUAUCUUCCUCAAAUGUUAGUCGAAGUAGUUAUAUCCCUCUAGUGUGAGGUUAGAGGUCUCAUCUCUAAUAGGCAUAGAGUUUUAAAUUAUAUGUUUUGGGCCUCUGAAUUCUACGACGAGUGUACAAAUUCAAACUUCCGAUAGGAUCCAAAUUGCAACAUUGUGGAUUGUAACAAAUUAAAAUAUAGGUACACACACACACACAUGUUACCUUGUAAACAGGACCAUAUCCACCCUCCCCAAGGUUAUUUCUAAUUGAAAAUCCCUCGGUGGCCGCCUCAAUAUCAGCCAAACUAUAUACUCUGAGAUUAGGAACAUUUCUGUUAAAGUCUCCAGCUUCUGUUUCAUUAUUUUCUCUCGUGUUUGAUGCUUUAGCAGAAUCCUCUGUUCCUAACAUCAACCAAGAGUAAAUAUUAGAUAAUUAAUUGUAUGUCAGCCUAAGUUUUAUAUAUAUAUGAAAUGCAUGCUUAAUUAUAAUUGGUAGCUGAAGCUUGUUACCUUCUAUUAACUUGAGCCUUUUCAUCUGGUUGUAUUUAUAUGCACAACAACUUAGAAGGAGAGUCAAAGCUGCCGCUGCAGUCGAAAUGAGUACCAAGGACAGAUGGCGGUUAUUACUAUGUUCAUCUUUGUCAGCUGAAGCAGAAGUAAUGCUGUCUUUUUGUGCAGGAAAUAUGUAUAGUUCACCAAUUAAUAAUAACUAGCUAGAGAUGCCAUAAAAAUCAAUAUUUAUUGGAGAGAACAAUUAUUGCAUAUAUAAAUACCUGCAGCUUGAGAAAGCACCCAAUUAUGAUCAUCACAAUCAACUCGCCACACAUAGUAACCAAGCAAUCUCUUCUCUUUGGCAUAGGCAAUCUUAGUUCUAACAGCCUCCACGUCAUCAAAGCCAAACCAAAUCGUCCGAAUCGAGCAGUAAUUCACCUCAUAAGUUGAAUUGUACAUAACUUGGACAUCAGGACCAUAGUCCUUGAUGUGAUUCUUGAUUUCCUUAUAAGUCGCAAGGCCGCUAUCAUACAAAGCUGGUCCUGUUGCUGCUGCACCAAUACCAUUGUCUUCAGGUUUCACAAGCCUCCAUGCAUAGCCAUAGAAAGGCAAACACAUAACCAACUUAUCUGCCGAU
rnacentral:lncRNA from 1 species